CUGAACUCAUCUCAGACAUAUGGCCUGUCGGCAGACAUGAUCUACUCAUCAGAUACUGGAGGAUGGACUUUCACACAGCACAAUGAUUUCAGUACAUAUCCAAUUAGUUAUUUGGAAAGCACCUUCCUGAAUAACACUAUGCAUUUCCCUACUCGUUAUUCGGUAAUAGUCACAGUGGAUAUGGAAAGGAAAGAUUGGACCGAGAUUAAGAUGCCACGUGGCAUGACAAAUGAAUAUGGUGAUGUUUCCAUUGGGAAGUCCCAGGGACGCUUGUUUGCUUGGCAUAUAAAGAAUGAAGGUGAUUAUCAACUCUCUAUUUGGGUUCUUGAAAAUUAUGACAGCGGAAACUGGACCCUAAAGUGUACUGUUAGCUGUUCCAAACUGUUUGGAAGGGAUUGUCGCGAAAAUUACGAGUCCUACUCGAUGUUCGCAAUUCAUCCAGAAUGUAAUUUGAUUUUCCUUACUGACAAUAAGAAGAAGACAUUGUCAUAUGAUAUGGAUAAUCAGGAAGUACAUAUUAUCUGUGCUACUGGAGAUUUCUUGGAAGGUCUACCUUACACUCCCUCUUUUGUGGAAUGGACAUCAGAUGGUCACUAAAGCUUGCAAUACUUGGCAUGGCUCUAGUAUCUUAGUAAACAUCAGUUGUCGGGUAUUUCCCAAUUCUUGAAGGUGUAUGUUGGAUUAGUCUUACGUAGCCAUGAAGAAUUUGUAACUGCCCUAUUUGCUUUCAUGUAAUAAUUGUUGAUGUCACUCUUUUAGCUUCUCGUAUGGGGACAAAUGUGAGACAAAUAUAUUAUCUAUGUUUGAAAUGUUUAUUUUCCUGCAAAUAUAUCUUUAGUAUGCAACUUUGUAUCCACCAACCUUAAAUAUUGAUUUGCCCUGCUUUUAUGCAUUAGGAAGAUUUAUUUGUUAUGUCCUUCUGGAUUGGCUUUUCAAUGUAUGUUACAACAUAUACAAUGGGUAUAAAGAAGGCUUAGUUUCCUUUCAAGUAUGAAACUUGCAUGGUCUUCGAUUGAUGAUACCAAACAAUAUGCAGCUUUACAAACCUAGUAGAGAACUUAGUUCACUAAGUUGAUAUGUUUGUAGUUAAUACAAGGUUAGUACCCUUCAAAUUUGUAGCUUAUGAUUCUAACUCAUGCACCUCUAGUGUUUUUUUUUGGAUUGAGCAACCAUUUUAUUUUGUUCCUUAACUCUGGUUAGACUGUCUUAUUUGGAUUCUCCGGAUCAAAAAUGGCGGGUUGAGAAUCUUGACAAUGAUGGAUGUCUUCGAAGCCCCAGGCUAAACAGUCCUCGAUAUUACGGCCUCGGAGAGAACCAAAUCGAUUCGGGUGAAUAAUCAUCAAGGUAACCCGCUGAAGAUGAUUAACCAGAAGUUUUGUGAUCACUCUUAGGCAUCAGUUGAGCAAACUGCUGGGCUGGUAAUCUUUAGCUGUCUCAGGCGAGGCAUUUUUUUAUAUAAUCAAAGUAGCCUGUAUUGUGCUCUCGAUAUUUAGUUUAUCAGUGCAAAAAAUCUGAGCAAAGGCGACAGAAGUCCUCUUUGACAGUGCUCCAACAUGUUUUCGUGGCUAACAAUAUCUGGCAAGCGAAGGCAGAGCCGAACCACAAACUUUUUGCUUUGCUCAUCCUCCAUAAGAGUGCUUUGAUGGCAGACCGCCUGGCGGAGCAAGGUUGGCCCCAUGAUCAAGCUUGCAAGCUUUGCGACAUGGAUUCUGAGACAAAUGAUCACAUUUGCACGAGGCUGCCUGUUCUCUCGGGGACUGAUGGAUUGUCGCGGACUGGAAGGGCCUCCAAGUAGGGUGACCCUCAGGAUUUGUGGAGGAAUUUGAAGGUUAGGAGUUUCAUAGAAGAGUUCGUUUGGCGCCCUCGGGAAUAGGAAAAGGAGAUCCUGGAGUAUUGGCUUCAUAUCCUUCAGGUUUCAAAAGAAAAAGAAAACCAUUUGCUUGAGAGUUUGCUGCGGAGGUUUGUCUUCGCUGAGGCAGCACAGCAGGUAGCUGCAUCCAACAAAAACGUGUGGGUAGGGUAUGCAGCUUGGACUGAGGCAGCAGGUUAGGUUUGUUGGUGAAGCUUGUCCAUGCAUUGCUGCCGAUGCUCACAUGCUUUGCCUGAUGGCCUCACGUAUUUGGCCAUUCACAGCCUUUAUGUGUUUCGUCUGUGAAUGCCGUGGAUAACACCAACGCCAACGUGUGUUUUCUCUUGUCCGGAUCGAUGUUUGUAAAGCGUGUAGCCUCAGGGGCGCGCACCGCUGCCAGCCAGUGCAACUUAUAUCUGGCAAAACGAGAGACAUGGACAUAGCUUUGUCCGUUGGUUCCACGGCACAGGACAGGCACCGUAGAAGAAGAAGCUAGCGUACGUCCGUAUGUAUAACCGUCUAGCACCCUUGCCUUCUUCCAGCUCUUCUUGGCUGCUAAGGUGACAGACACUCUGUGGAAUAGUAGAUACACCUUGCGAUGAAAAUGGCGAGGGCCGUGUUUGUCGCUCUUCUUCUCGCCUCGUGCUUUGUGGCUCUUGGCCUGUCCGGCCGCGCCGAUGGGGCGGCCGAGAGGAAGACCGUCGGUGUGUACGAGCUCAAGAAGGGGGAUUUCUCCAUCAAGGUCACCAACUGGGGUGCCACCCUCAUGUCUGUAAUCCUCCCCGACUCGAGAGGUGAUGAACUGACACGCUUCUUUCUUUAUUCCCUUCCGUUACUUCUGCAAAAUAACACAACAUGCGUCUCACUUUUGUUCCCUUGUACUGUAGGAAACUUGGGGGAUGUGAUCCUGGGCUAUGAUACGUAUGGUCGCUGAAUAUGUGGUAAGAUCAUGCGUGCAUAAACGCCUCUUGUUUCUUUUCUUAACACAACAUGGUUCAGUUCUUCCUUCUUUAGCCGCUGACAAAGUUGGUUUCUGCUUUUGCAUCUCGAUCACGUGUGUACGUAUUAUACAGAAUGGCACCGCCUACUUUGGAGGGUUGAUCGGCCGCGUCGCCAACAGGAUCGCCAACGCCCGGUUCACGCUGGACGGCAAAGUCUACCGGCUGAUUCCCAACGAUGGCAACAACACGCUACACGGUACGUACAAGAGGAAAAACUUCCCUCCCCUGACUCCUCCCACGGGCUGUAAUCCAUCAUCUUCUCUGCCGUGUUCUCUAGGUGGUCACCGGGGAUUCGAUAAGGUCGUAUGGACGGUGAAGGAGCACGUCGCCGGCGGCAGCUCCCCCUUCAUCACUCUGUAUUACCAUAGCUUCGACGGAGAGCAAGGUAAGGAAUUUGGAGCCCUUACAAUUUCGUGAUAUUUUCAUCGAGAGGGGAUUGCACAUGUGACUUCAGUCUUAAAUGAUCAAUCUGGGAAGUUUUCAGCCAAUUUAGGCCAGCCAUUUUUAAAUUUGGACAGGUUUUGUAAGAACCGGUCAAAUUUUCUUAAAAAAUCAAAGUUUUCAAAGAAAUCUGAAAAAACUGCAGUAAUUCAAAACAUGCUAAGUGAUCAAUCUGGGGAAUUUUCAGCCAAUUUAGCCCAGCCAUUUAAAAUUUGGACAGGUUUUGUAAGAUAGAAGUGUUUUUUGUCACUUAUUAGUCCUGGAGUUUUGGUUUUCUGUUAAAAUUCCCUAGAGUUGCGGUUUCGUGCUACCUCAGUCCCAAAAAUUGUGUAUUUGUGCAAUUUCCUCUUUCAUCAAAUAUAUUAAUCUUUACUUCUGAUUUUAUUUCAAAACAUAACCAAUUUUAACGAAGUAGCUGAACUUGAACAGGGUUUCCAGGCGACGUGGAUGUGCACGUGACGUACCAACUCUCGAGCCCGCACGUGCUGAGCGAGCGCAUGAACGCAACGGCGCGGGGCAAGGCCACCCCGGUGAACCUGGCGCACCACGCCUACUAGAACCUCGGCGGCCAUGGCAGCGGCAGCGUCCUUGGCGAGGUGUUCCGCCUCUUCGCCUCCCAGUACACGCCCGUGGACACCGGGCUCAUCCCGACUGGCCGCCUGACGCCCGUGGCCGGCACGCCCUACGACUUCUGCACGCCGGCCGCCGUGGGCUCGCGCAUCGGGGGCCUCCUGAGCCGGGCCGUCAAUGGGUACGGCGCACUGCCUGGAGACGCAAGGGUUCCCCGAUGCCGUGAACCGCCCGAGUUUCUCGUCGCAGAUCGUCCGACCGGGGAAGGUGUACAAGCAUGACAUGGUGUUCAAGUUCUCCUUCUAGUAGCUACUAGUGGUAUCCGAGGUCCUGAACUCGGUCGUUUGUCAGGCAACGAUCGAACACAUGGUCGCUCUUGUCUUUUGUGUACCGUCUGAAUCUGAUCGGUUGAGCUUCAAGGGAGGAAUAAAAGCAUGCAUGCUGCAGGUUCAAGGUUUUUUCAUCUGGAGCUUCGCGCGUAGUGCGCUGGAUAGUGAGCAAACGUGCACCCUGGCGCAGGUUGGCCCACACCAUUUGGCAGGCCAACUUACCCGAUUUGUUGUUUCUUUUCCUGGCAUGAAGCUGAGAGCAACUAAUUAGUGGGUACUUCUUGGCGAGCCCUGCAAGGGCAUGUUGGGUGGGCUGAAAACGCGUCAGUGGUGCGCUCACAUCCAUCGCCAUGUGUCACGUUUUGGGUGCUCCCUUUGAAUAUUAUUUUUUUACUUUUCUAUACAUAUUUUUGGCUUUUAGAUGAUUUUUUUCUUUCCUGAGAGGCAUAGAUUUAGUUCUCGUAGAGGCAUGGAUUUUUUUUUUUUUAUUUUGCUUCCGAGGGAGACACGGUUUUACUUUCAUGCAGGAACGGAUUUGCUCACGUGAGUUAGAGUCGUGCCACUUGGAAAAGGAAAAAAAUAGUUUUUUUUACUUUCAUGAGAGGCACAUAUUUACCUCUCAUGGAGGCAAAGAUUGGGGGUAGGGGUGCCUCUUCGGAAAGGAAAAAUGUGCUCCUGCCUCCCAGUUUGAUUUUUUUCGUGAAAACAAAGUUUGUAGAAACCAAUCAACAUGGGAUCCAGGCUGGAAGAUCUUGACGCGAGAGAUCCAACGGUGAAAACGGUUUGAGGUUUGGACGCACUGUGUAAGAGAUAAAAUAUUUUGAAUAAAUGAAUAUAUGAAAAAAAACUCUCAAAUUGCAACAAGUGACACGCAUGCAGUGCGCCACUUAUCGCAACCCGGGAAGGUGCGAGUGAUCUUUGAAAAGAGUACUCUUUAAUUAGUGAUUUCAGACUAUUAGACUGGUUUUAGUUCUGAAAAUAAUAGACAACCCGCUUUGAGUCUUGUUUUCCAAGAAAACAAACAUAUCACUGUAGCAACUUAAAAAAUGAACAUGGAUUAGAAAAUGUUUAUGAAUUCAAAAAAUAUUUUUGAAUUUCAGAAAAUGUUCAUGAAUUCAAAACUUUUCCAAACUUUCAAGAAAUAUUUGUCGAUUCUUAAAUGUUCAUGAACAACUUUUUUUACCUGUUUUAAAAAAGUUCAUGAAUUUAAAAAAUCGUCAAUCCAAAAAAUAUUCAUCAAUUAGUAAAACAACUCGAAUUUCAAAAAUUGUUCCCACAUUUCAAAAAUUGUUCCCACAUUGAUUAAAGAAACCAACGGUUCAAAAAAUAUUCACGAAUUUCAAUUAUUGUUCCAAACUUUAAAAAAAUCAUGAGUUUCAACGGUUAUUCCUGAAAUUCAAAAAUUAUUCAUAAAUUCAAAAUGGGUUUGCAAAUUUCAAAAAAUAUUCCCAAAAUAAAAAAAACGAAUUGUAAAAUGAAAAAAGAAGAAAAACUCAAAAGAAAGUAAACACAUAGAGAAAGAAAAACCUUUUUCAGAAUAUGCACCAGCCCAUAUGUGAGCGAUCGAGGAGGAUUAAUAGGAUUCCCGGUCUCAGAACUCACGAAAUCACUAGUUAAGGAGUACUCGUUGCAAAGAUCACUCCCACCUUCCUAGGUUGCGACAAGUGGCGUGCUGCAUGGGCGCCACUUGUCGCAACCUGAGAGUUUUUCUUUUUUCAUAGAUUCGUUUAUUCAAAAUGUUUUAUCUUUUAAGUCAUGCGUCCAAAUCUCGACCGUUUUCACUGUUGGAUUCCUCGCGUCGAGAUCUUCAAAACCAGUAUCCAUGUUGAUAGGUUUUGUUGAACUUUUUUUUCACGAAAAAAAUAGGACGAAAAAAACGAACCGGGAGCACGGGGGUUUUCCCUUUCCGGAAGAGGGACGCCCGUGCCUCUUGCGGAAUCACAACCGUGCCUCUCGCGGAAGGAGAAAAAGAAGAUAUUUUUUCGUUCCCGAGGAGGCACGGCCGUGUUGGAAAUAUGCCCUAGAGGCAAUAAUAAAAUGGUUAUUAUUGUAUUUCCUUGUUCAUGAUAAUUGUCUGUUGUUCAUGCUAUAAUUGUAUUAACUGGAAACCGUAAUACAUGUGUGAAUACAUAGACCACAACAUGUCCCUAGUAAGCCUCUAGUUGACUAGCUCAUUGAUCAAUAGAUGGUUAUGGUUUCCUGACCAUGGACAUUGGAUGUCAUUGAUAACGGGAUCACACCAUUAGGAGAAUGAUGUGAUGGACAAGACCCAAUCCUAAGCAUAGCACAAGAUCGUGUAGUUCGUUUGCUAGAGUUUUUCUAAUGUCAAGUAUCAUUUCCUUAGACCAUGAGAUUGUGCAACUCCCGGAUACCGUAGGAAUGCUUUGGGUGUACCAAACGUCACAACGUAACUGGGUGGCUAUAAAGGUGCACUACAGGUAUCUCCGAAAGUGUCUGUUGGGUUGGCACGAAUCGAGACUGGGAUUUUUCACUCCGUAUGACGGAGAGGUAUCUCUGGGCCCACUCGGUAAUGCAUCAUCAUAAUGAGCUCAAUGUGACCAAGUGUUUGGUCACGGGAUCAUGAAUUACGGUACGAGUAAAGUGACUUGCCGGUAACGAGAUUGAACAAGGUAUUGGGAUACCCACGAUCGAAUCUCGGGCAAGUAACGUACCGAUUGACAAAGGGAAUUGUAUACGGGAUUGAUUGAAUCCUCGACAUCGUGGUUCAUCCGAUGAGAUCAUCGUGGAACAUGUGGGAGCCAACAUGGGUAUCCAGAUCCCGCUGUUGGUUAUUGACCGAAGAGUUGUCUCGGUCAUGUCUGCAUGUCUCCCGAACCCGUAGGGUCUACACACUUAAGGUUAUGUGACGCUAGGGUUGUAGAGAUAUUAGUAUGCGGAAAUCCAAAAGUCGUUCGGAGUCCUGGAUGAGAUCCCGGACGUCACGAGGAGUUCCGGAAUGGUCCGGAGGUAAAGAUUUAUAUAUGGGAAGUCCUAUUUUGGCCACCGGAAAAUGUUCGGGAUUUUUCGUUAUUGUACCGGGAAGGUUCUAGAAGGUUCCGAAGUGGGGCCCACCUGCAUGGGGGGACCCACAUGAACGUGGGUAGUGGGGGCAAGGCCCCCACACCCCUGGUCAAGGCGCACCAAGAUCCCACCUUAGAAGGAAUAAGAUCAUAUCCCGAAGGGAUAAGAUCAAGAUCCCUAAAAAAGGGGGAUAACAAUCGGUGGGGAAGGGAAAUGAUGGGAUUUCUUUCCCCCACCUUUGCCAACGCCCCAAUGGACUUGGAGGGCAAGAAACCAGCCCCCUCCACCCCUAUAUAUAGUGGGGAGGCGCAUGGGAGCAGCACCCCAAAGCCCUGGCGCCUCCUUCCCUCCCGUGACACCUCUUCCUCCCCGCUUGCGCUUGGCGAAGCCCUGCCGGGAUCCCGCUACUUCCACCACCACGCCGUCGUGCUGCUGGAUCUCCAUCAACUUCUCCUCCCCCCUUGCUGGAUCAAGAAGGAGGAUACGUCCCCGCUCCGUACGUGUGUUGAACGCGGAGGUGCCGUCCGUUCGACGCUAGGAUCAUCGGUGAUUUGGAUCACGACGAGUACGACUCCAUCAACCCCGUUCUCUUGAACGCUUCCACUCGCGAUCUACAAGGGUAUGUAGAUGCACUCUUUUCCCUCUCGUUGCUAGAAGUCUCCUAGAUUGAUCUUGGUGACACGUAGGAAAAUUUUGAAUUUCUGCUACGUUCCCCAACAGUGGCAUCAUGAGCUAGGUCUAUGCGUAGAUUCUAUGCACGAGUAGAACACAAAGUAGUUGUGGGCGAUGAUUUGUUCAAUUUGCUUACCGUUACUAGUCUUAACUUGAUUCGGCGGCAUUGUGGGAUGAAGCGGUCCGGACCGACCUUACACGUACACUUACGUGAGACAGGUUCCACCGACUGACAUGCACUUGAUGCAUAAGGUGGCUAGCGGGUGUCUGUCUCUCCCACUUUAGUUGGAUCAGAUUCGAUGAAAAGGGUCCUUAUGAAGGGUAAAUAGCAAUUGGCAUAUCACCGUUGUGGCUUUUGCGUAGGUAAGAAACGUUCUUGCUAGAAACCCAUAGCAGCCACGUAAAACAUGCAACAACAAUUAGAAGACGUCUAACUUGUUUUUGCAGGGUAUGCUAUGUGAUGUGAUAUGGCCAAAAGGAUGUGAUGAAUUAUAUAUGUGAUGUAUGAGAUUGAUCAUGUUCUUGCAAUAGGAAUCACGACUUGCAUGUCGAUGAGUAUGACAACCGGCAGGAGCCAUAGGACUUGUCUUAAUUUAUUGUAUGACCUGCGUGUCAAUGAAAACCGCCAUGUAAUUACUUUACUUUAUUGCUAACCGUUAGCCAUAGUAGUAGAAGUAAUAGUUGGCAAGACAACUUCAUGAAGACACGAUGAUGGAGAUCAUGAUGAUGGAGAUCAUGGUGUCAUGCCGGUGACGAAGGUGAUCAUGCCGCGCCUCGAAGAUGGAGAUCAAAGGCGCAAGAUGAUAUUGGCCAUAUCAUGUCACUUUAUGAUUUGCAUGUGAUGUUUGUCAUGUUUACAUCUUAUUUGCUUAGAACGACAGUAGCAUAAAUAAGAUGAUCCCUCACUAAAAUUUCAAGAGACGUGUUCCCCCUAACUGUGCACCGUUGCGAAGGUUCGUUGUUUCGAAGCACCACGUGAUGAUCGGGUGUGAUAGAUUCUAACGUUCGCAUACAACGGGUGUAAGCCAGAUUUACACAUGCGAAACACUUAGGUUGACUUGACGAGCCUAGCAUGUACAGACAUGGCCUCGGAACACAAUAGGCCGAAAGGUCGAACAUGAGUCGUAUAGUAGAUACGAUCAACAUGGAGAUGUUCACCGAUGAUGACUAGUCCGUCUCACGUGAUGAUCGGACACGGCCUAGUUGACUCGGAUCAUGUAUCGCUUAGAUGACUAGAGGGAUGUUUAUCUGAGUGGGAGUUCAUUAAAUAAUUUGAUUAGAUGAACUUAAUUAUCAUGAACAGAGUCAGAAGGUCUUUGCAAAUUAUGUUGUAGCUUACGCUUUAGUUCUACUGUUUAAGAUAUGUUCCUAGAGAAAAUUUAGUUGAAAGUUGAUAGUAGCAAUUAUGCGGACUGGGUCCGUAAACUGAGGAUUGUCCUCAUUGCUGCACAGAAGGCUUAUGUCCUUAAUGCACCGCUCGGUGUGCUGAACCUCGAGCGUCGUUUGUGGAUGUUGCGAACAUCUGACAUACACGUUUUGAUGACUACGUGAUAGUUCAGUGCGUAAUGUUAAAACGGUAUAGAAUUGAGGCACCGAAGAUGUUUUUGAAACGUCGCAGAACAUGUGAGAUGUUCCAAAGACUGAAAUUGGGAUUUCAGACUAGUGCCCACGUCAAGAGGUAUGAGACCUCUGACAAGUUUCUUAAGCCUGCAAACUAAGGGAGAAAAGCUCAAUCGUUGAGCAUGUGCUCAGAUUGUCUGAGUACUACAAUCGCUUGAAUCGAGUGGGAGUUAAUCUUCCAGAUGAGAUAGUGAUGGUUCUCCAAAGUCACUGCCGCCAAGCUACUAGAGCUUCGUGAUGAACUAUAACAAAUCAGGGAUAUAUAUGAUGAUCCUUGAGCUAUUCGCGAUGUUUGACACCACGAAAGUAGAAAUCAAGUAGGAGCAUCAAUUGUUGAUGGUUAGUAAAACCACUAGUUUCAAGAAGGGCAAGGGAAAGAAGGGAUACUUCAUGAAAUGGCAAAUCAGUUGCUGCUCUAGUGAAGAAACCCAAGGUUGAACCCAAACCCGAGACUAAAUGCUUCUGUAAUGAGGGGAACGGUCACUGAAGCAGAACUACCCUAGAUACUUGGUAGAUGAGAAGGUAGGCAAGGUCGACAGAAGUAUAUUGGAUAUACAUCAUAUUAAUGUGUACUUUACUAGUACUCCUAGUAGCACCAGGGUAUUAGAUACCGGUUCGGUUGCUAAGUGUUGGUAACUCGAAAUAAAAGGCUACGGAAUAAACGGAGACUAGCUAAAGGUGAGAUGACGAUAUGUGUUGGAAGUGUUUCCAUGGUUGAUGUGAUCAAGCAUCGCAUGCUCCCUCUACCAUCGAGAUUGGUGUUAAACCUAAAUAAUUGUUAUUUGGUGUUUGCGUUGAGCAUAGACAUGAUUGGAUUAUGUUUAUCGCAAUACGGUUAUUCAUUUAAGGAGAAUAAUGGUUACUCUGUCUAUUUGAAUAAUACCUUCAAUGGUCUUGCACCUAAAAUGAAUGGUUCAUUGAAUCUCGAUCGUAGUGAUACACAUGUUCAUGCCAAAAGAUAUAAAAUAGUAAUGAUAGCACCACAUACUUGUGGCACUGCCAUUUGAGUCAUAUUGUUAUAAAACGCAUGAAGAAGCUCCAUGUUGAUGGAUCUUUGGACUCACUCGUUUUUGAAAAGAUUGAGACAUGCAAACCAUGUCUAUUGGUAGAUAUGCAUGAAGAAACUCCAUACAGAUGGAUUGUUUGGACUCACUUGAGACAUGCAAAUCAUAACACAUGGGCAAGAUGACUGAAAGGCCUCGUUUUCAGUAAGAUGGAACAAGAAAGCAACUUGUUGGAAGUAAUACAUUUUGAUGUGUGCAGUCCAAUGAGUGCUGAGGCAUGCAGUGGAUAUCGUUAUGUUCUUGCUUCACAGAUAAUUUGAGUAGAUGCUGAGUAUAUUUACUUGAUGAAACACAAGUCUGAAUUAUUGAAAGGUUCAAGUAAUUUCAGAGUGAAGUUGAAGAUCAUCGUGACAAGAGGAUAAAAUGUCUGUGAUAUGAUCAUAGAGAUGAAUAUUUGAGUUACGAGUUUGGCACACAAUUAAGAAAUUGUGGAAAUUGUUUCACGACUAAUACCGCCUGGAACACCAUAGUGUGAUGGUGUGUCUGAACAUCAUAACUGCACCCUAUUGGAUAUGGUGCAUACCAUGAUGUCUCUUAUCGAAUUACCGUUAUCAUUUAUGGGCUAGGCAUUAGAGACAACCGCAUUCACUUUAAAUAGGGCACCACGCAAUUCCGUUGAGAUGACACCGUAUGAACUAUGGUUUAGAGAAACCUAAGCUGUCGUUUCUUAAAAUUUUGGGGCUGCGACACUUAUGUGGAAAAGUUUCAGGCUAAUAAGCUCGAACCCAAAGCGGAUAAAUGCAUCUUCUUAGAAUACCCAAAACAGUUGGGUAUACCUCCUAUUUCAGAUCUGGAAGCAAAAGUGAUUGUUUCUAGAAACGGGUCCUUUCUCGAGGAAAAGUUUCUCUCGAAAGAAUUGAGUGGGAGGAUGGUGGAGACUUGAUGAGGUCACUGAACCGUCACUUCAACUAAUGUGUGGCAGGGCACAGGAAGUUGUUCCUGUGGCACCUACACCAAUUGAAGUGGAAGCUUAUGAUAGUGAUCAUGAAACUUCAGAUCAAGUCACUACCAAACCUCAUAGGACGACAAGGAUGCGUACUACUUCAGAGUGGUACGUAAUCAUGUCUUGGAAGUCAUGUUGUUGGACAACGAUGAACCUAUGAGCUAUGGAGAAGCGAUGGUGGGCCCGGAUUCCGACGAAUGGCUCGAGGCCAUAAAAUCCGAGAGAGGAUCCAUGUAUAAAAACAAAGUGUAGACUUUGGAAGAACUACUUGAUGGUCGUAAGGAUGUUGGGUGCAGAUGGAUUUUAAAAGGAAGACAGACAAUGAUGGUAAGUGUCACCAUUAAGAAAGCUCGACUUGUCGUUAAGAUGUUUUCCGGCAAGUUCAAGGAGUUGACUGUGAUGAGACUUUCUCACUCGUAGCGAUGCUAAGAGUCUGUUGGAAUUAUAUUUAGCAGUUACUGCAUUAUUUAUGAAAUCUUGCAGAUAGGAUGUCUAAACAUUGUUUCCUCGACGAUUUUCUUGAGGAAAGGUUGUAUGUGAUACAACCAGAGGGUUUUGUCAAUCCUGAAAGAUGCUAACAAGUAUGCAAAGCUCCAACAAUCCUUCUAAGGAUUGGAGUAAGCAUCUCGGAGUUGGAAUGAACGCUUUGAUGAGAUGAUCAAAGAUUUUGGGUUUAUACAAAGUUCAUGAGAAACUUGUAUUUCCAAAGAAGUGAGUGGGAGCACUAUAGAAUUUUUGAUGAGUAUAUGUUGUUAACAUAUUGUUGAUCAGAAAUGAUGUAGAAUUUCUGGAAAGCAUCCAGGGUUAUUUGAAAAGUGUUUUUAAUGGAAAACCUGGAUUAAGCUACUUGAACAUUGAGCAUCAAGAUCUAUAAGGAUAGAUCAAAAACGCUUAAUAGUACUUUCAAAUGAAUACAUACCGUGACAAGAUUUUGAAGGAGUUCAAAAUAGAUCAGCAAAGAAGGAGUUCUUGGCUGUGUUACAAGGUGUGAGUAUUGAGUAAGACUCAAGACCUGACCACGGCAGAAGAGAGAGAAAGGACGAAGGUCGUCCCCUAUGCUUUAGAUGUAGGCUCUACAGUAUGCUAUGCUGUGUACCACACCUGAAAUGUGCCUUGCCAUGAGUUAGUCAAGGGGUACAAUAGUGAUCCGGGAAUGGAUCACAUGACAGCGGUCGAACUUAUCCUUAGUAUCUAGUGGACUAAGGAAUUUUCUCGAUUAUGGAGGUGGUAAAACAGUUCGUCGUAAAGGGUUACGUCGAUGCAAACUUUGACACUAAUCCGGAUGACUCUGAGUAGUAAACCGGAUUCGUAUAGUAGAGCAGUUAUUUGGAAUAGCUCCAAGUAGCGCGUGGUAGCUACAUCUACAAGAUGACAUAGAGAUUUGUAAAGCACACACGGAUCUGAAUGUUGCAGACCCGUUGACUAAAGCCUCUCUCGUAAGCAUAACAUGAUCAAACCCUAGAACUCAUUGAGUGUUAAUCACAUGGUGAUGUGGACUAGAUUAUUGACUCUAGUGAACUUUGAGUGUUAAUCACAUGGUGAUGUGAACUAGAUUAUUGACUCUAGUGCAAGUGGGAGACUGUUGGAAAUAUGCCCCAGAGGCAAUAAUAAAAUGGUUAUUAUUGUAUUUCCUUGUUCAUGAUAAUUGUCUGUUGUUCAUGCUAUAAUUGUAUUAAUUGGAAACCGUAAUACAUGUGUGAAUACAUAGACCACAACAUGUCCCUAGUAAGCCUCUAGUUGACUAGCUCGUUGAUCAAUAGAUGGUUAUGGUUUCCUGACCAUGGAUAUUGGAUGUCAUUGAUAACGGGAUCACAUCAUUAGGAGAAUGAGGUGAUGGACAAGACCCAAUCCUAAGCAUAGCACAAGAUCGUGUAGUUAGUUUGCUAGAGCUUUUCUAAUGUCAAGUAUCAUUUCCUUAGACCAUGAGAUUGUGCAACUCCCGGAUACCGUAGGAAUGCUUUGGGUGUACCAAACGUCACAACGUAACUGGGUGGCUAUAAAGGUGCACUACAGGUAUCUCCGAAAGUGUCUGUUGGGUUGGCACGAAUCGAGACUGGGAUUUGUCACUCCGUAUGACGGAGAGGUAUCUCUGGGCCCACUCGGUAAUGCAUCAUCAUAAUGAGCUCAAUGUGACCAAGUGUUUGGUCACGGGAUCAUGCAUUACGGUACGAGUAAAGUGACUUGCCGGUAACAAGAUUGAACAAGGUAUUGGGAUACCCACGAUCGAAUCUCGGGCAAGUAACGUACCGAUUGACAAAGGGAAUUGUAUACGGGAUUGAUUGAAUCCUCGACAUCGUGGUUCAUCCGAUGAGAUCAUCGUGGAACAUGUGGGAGCCAACAUGGGUAUCCAGAUCCCGCUGUUGGUUAUUGACCGGAGAGUCGUCUCGGUCAUGUCUGCAUGUCUCCCGAACCCGUAGGGUCUACACACUUAAGGUUCGGUGACGCUAGGGUUGUAGAGAUAUUAGUAUGCGGAAAUCCGAAAGUCGUUCGGAGUCCCGGAUGAGAUCCUGGACAUCACGAGGAGUUCCGGAAUGGUCCGGAGGUAAAGAUUUAUAUAUGGGAAGUCCUAUUUUGGCCACCGAAAAAUGUUCGGGAUUUUUCGGUAUUGUACCGGGAAGGUUCUAGAAGGUUCCGAAGUGGGGCCCACCUGCAUGGGGGGACCCACAUGAACGUGGGUAGUGGGGGCAAGGCCCCCACACCCCUGGUCAAGGCGCACCAAGAUCCCACCUUAGAAGGAAUAAGAUCAUAUCCCGAAGGGAUAAGAUCAAGAUCCCUAAAAAAGGGGGAUAACAAUCGGUGAGGAAGGGAAAUGAUGGGAUUUCUUUUCCCCACCUUUGCCAAUGCCCCAAUGGACUUGGAGGGCAAAAAACCAGCCCCCUCCACCCCUAUAUAUAGUGGGGAGGCGCAUGGGAGCUGCACCCCAAAGCCCUGGCGCCUCCUUCCCUCCCGUGACACCUCUUCCUCCCCGCUUGCGCUUUACGAAGCCCUGCCGGGAUCCCGCUACUUCCACCACCACACCGUCGUGCUGCUGGAUCUCCAUCAACUUCUCCUCCCCCCUUGCUGGAUCAGGAAGGAGGAGACGUCCCCACUCCGUACGUGUGUUGAACGCGGAGGUGCCGUCCGUUCGGCGCUAGGAUCAUCGGUGAUUUGGAUCACGACGAGUACGACUCCAUCAACCCCGUUCUCUUGAACGCUUCCGCUCGCGAUCUACAAGGGUAUGUAGAUGCACUCUUUUCCCUCUCGUUGGUAGAAGUCUCCUAGAUUGAUCUUGGUGACACGUAGGAAAAUUUUGAAUUUCUGCUACGUUCCCCAACAGGCCGUGCCUCUAGCGAAAGCACAACCAUGCCUCUCGCGGAAGCAAAACCGUGCCUCUCGCGAAAUGAAAAAAAAACAGGAAAUGCGUUUUUUUCGUUUCCGAGAGGCACGGUCGUGCCUCUCGUGAAAGCACAAUCGUGCCUCUCGCGGAAGCAAAACCGUGCCUCUCUCGGAGGAAAAAAAACAGAAAACGUGUUUUUUUCUCCUUUUCGAGAGGCACGGCCAUGCCUCUCGCGAAAGGAAAAAAACAGAAAACGCGUUUUUUUUUCGUUUCCGAGAGUCACGGUCGUGACUUUCAUGAAAGAAAAACCAUGCCUCUCGCGGAAGCAAAACAGUGACUCUCGUGAAAUAAAAAAACACGUUUUUUCGCGCAAUUUGUUUUUCAAAAAUAAGUUUUUGCUCCAAAAGUUAAGGAAGACCGGUGGAAAACCGAAACAUAAAAAAAAACUCAGAAUAAAAACGUUUAAGAAGCCGAAAACGCCGAUGGUUAGAGCAACUCUCCGGGCCGCGUUUUUCCGGGAUGCUCCAAAAAAUCGCAAGACAACCAGGUCCGCUAAAAACGGCCCGGCCCGUCAAACAUUUACGAGAGGCCCGUAAACUUGCCCCGGAAUCCAUGAUAUACACCAGCGCCGGGUCGUUCUAGGGUCCCGUUCUCCUUUUUCCCUUAUCUUCCUUCGCCGCAUUUCAUCUUCUCCGGUGACCAAUCGUCCUCCCUCCAGCGUAUUUUCCGGCGAGAGUAGCCACCAAAGCCAUAUGCAUGGCAUCGUCUCUGGGGUGUUCUUUCUGGCGAGGUCCCCUGUUCUUCGUGUCCAAUUCCUCAUGUGGCUCCUACUUCGCCGAUGCCAUCAGUUCUUGCUGUGGAUGUGUGACGCCCAGAUAAUUAAGCUAGAGUGAACCUCAGCUAAUGAUGCCACGUCACCUCGGUUACUGUUGUUAAUCUCGCGUUAGUUCAAAACCGGUUCAGAAUUCAAAUUUAACCUAAAUUAAGAUAAAUUAUUUCUACAAAAAAAUAAAACUAAAAUGUUCAGAAUAUUCUAUAAAUUUCACCUGGUCAUUGUCAUGUUGAACCCAACAUUAUUUGACCCACCAAUUAAUUCCUAAGAAAAUAAUAAAUGGUCCAUCAGCAAUUAAAAUGACCUUUUUAAAAUAAACAAUUAUUUAUUUAAUUCACAUUGCCUCCAAAAAGUUUGUGAGCAUCAUCAUAACACGACAUUGCAUUUAUGUGCUAGGUUUCAUAUCUUACUAAAAUUAUUUAGUGCCUCAAAUAAAUAGGAGACAAUGAUAGAAAAAGGAAAUAGAAAAUGAAACAAAACAAAGAAAGGAAGUAGAAGAAGAAAAGGGUCCAAGUGGGACUGGAAGGCCCAACCCACUUGGGUUACCUUCAACCUGUAGCAGGGGGUUGCGUGGAGCACAUCCACCUACACCAUGGCGCCGUGGCGCGCAUCCACGACUCCCCCUCGCCCUACACAGCCCCGGCGCCCCCUCUCCACAAACCCUAGCUCCCCCACUUGCCUCGUUUUCCCCUUUCCCGAGCCGCUCCUCUCCUCCCCUCCCUGCACCGAGCUGCCGGCGCCAUGGUUGCCGUCGUACGCGCGCCCUCUGUCGUCCCCGCACUGUAGGGAGGUGCCCAUCCGCUCCGUCAUCCUCCCCUUCGUCGUCUACACCCAUGGGAUCGAGCCUGGAGCCGCCCCAUCAUCGCCGUCGUCCUCGUCUUCAUCGGCGGUCGCCACCGAUGCCCCGCCGCGGAUCCAUGCUCCGGCACGCCCCCGACCGAUCCGAGCUCGACGUCAACCCUCCCUUGGUGAGCAGCGCCGAUUCCCCUUGUCUCCCCCUCUGUUAAUCGCGUUGUAGCGCCGUCCCCGUGAUUUGGUCGCCGUGCCUUGAGUUCUCUGAAGCCCGCGUCCUCCCGUGCCGAGCCGUCGCCUGGGCGCUCCCCUGCACCCCCGCGCGCCUCUGUGCCCGCUUGCGUGCCCCCGCGCGCGCCCGCACCCAUUGUCGCCCGCCCUUGCCCGCUGCCGCCGCCCUUGCCCGCUGUCGGUGCCCCGCGACCGCGGCCGUCGCUGCUGCUGACCGUCAGCUGUUGCCACUACCGCCGCGUACUGCUCCUGCCGCAGCGUUUCACUGCUCUGCUACCGCUGCUACAGUAACUGAAUGUUACUGUAGCGCUGGCUAGCUUUUGCUAUUUCUACCUUCUUAGCUCUCUGGAUGGCAACAAAAUUAUGGUCAAACAAAGUCUAACUUCGUUGAAAUUAAUUUGUGUUGGGAGUACACAUGACAACCUCCAAAUUAUUCCAUUGGACCAAAUUCAAAUACGGCAUGGAUUCAUUCCUAUAAAAAUAACAAAAGUCUAUGUUCUGUUAAGAGAGAAAACUGAAAAACAGAUUUACUGUCUUAACUACUUCAGAGCUGUAAAUGGACCUAUUACAGAAGUUGUUCCGGCUAUCUAAUGGCAUGGCCUUGUAGUGCUGUUGAUGUAGAGUAAAACACUUAUAUGUAGUGUCUUCAUUAGGUCUACAUAACAUUAGUUAUAGCCUUUGGAAAACAGCCAAGUGAAGUUUAAAAAAAAACUGAACAAUUCUCAGACUUAGCCAAUUUUCAGGAAUUCCAUAAUAUUGUUUAAACUUCGAAAAAUCAUAGAAAAUAAGCUGUAGCUCGGAUGAAAAAACUUUGUACAUGAAAGUUGCUCAGAACGACGAGACGAAUCCGAAAACACAGUCCGUUCGUCCGCCACACAUCCCUAGCAUAGCGAACACGCAACUUUCCCCCUCCGUUCACCUGUCCGAAACGCGAAACACUGGGGAUACUUUCCCGGAUGUUUUCCCCCUUCGUCAGUAUCACCUCCUACCGCGUUAGGGCACACCUAGCACCGCGCAUUGUCUUGUCAUGCACCGUCAUGCUUAUGUUUGCAUUAUAUUUAUUGUUUCUUCCCCCUCUUCUCUCGUUAGACACCGAGACCAACGCCGCUGCUACCCAGUACGACUACGGUGUUGACGACCCCUCCUUCUCGGCUGAGCUUCCAGGCAAGCCUCCCCCCUUGAUCACCAGAUAUCGCCUAUUCCUUCUCUCUACUGCUUGCAUUAGAGUAGUGUAGCAUGUUACUGCUUUCGUUUAAUCCUAUUCUGCUGCAUAGCCUGUCAUUGUUGCUACAAUUGUUACCUUUACCUGCUAUCCUAAUGUUUAGUAUAGGAUGCUAAUGUUCCAUCAGUGGCCCUUCACUCUUGUCCGUCUGCCAUGCUAUACUACUGGGCCUUGAUCACUUCGGGAGGUGAUCACGGGCAUAUGCUAUAUACUUUAUACUGUUACAUUACUUAUGAUACUGUUCGGAGAUGGGGGCUGAAGGGGCAGGUGGCUCCAUCCUGGUAGAGGUGGGCCUGGGUUCCCGACGGCCCCAACUGUUACUUUGUGGCGGAGCGACAGGGGAGGUUGAGACCACCUAGGAGAGAGGUGGGCCUGGCCCUGGUCGGCGUCCGCGGAUACUUAACACGCUUAACGAGAUCUUGGUAUUUGAUCUGAGUCUGGCCACUGGCCUAUACGCACUAACAAACUACGCGGGAAUAGUUAUGGGCACUCGGUGUCGUGGUAUCAGCCGAAGCCUUCAUGACGUCAGCGACUGAGCGGCGCGCGCCGGAUUGGACUGGAACGCCUGCUAGGCUAGGUCUUCUUCCGGGCGUGUACGCAACGUGCAGGUGUGCAAUGGGCGAUGGGCCCAGACCCCUCGCGCGUAGGAUUUAGACCGGCGUGCUGACCUCUCUGUUGUGCCUAGGUGGGGCUGCGACGUGUUGAUCUUCCGAGGCCGGGCAUGACCCAGGAAAGUGUGUCCGGCGAAAUGGGAUCGAGCGUGUUGGGUAAUGUGGUGCACCCCUGCAGGGAAGUUUAUCUGUUCGAAUAGCCGUGUCCCUCGGUAAAAGGACGACCCGUAGUUGUACCUUGACCUUAUGACAACUAGAACCGGAUACUUAAUAAAACACACCCUUCCAAGUGCCAGAUAUAACCCGGUGAUCGCUCUCUAACAGGGCGACGAGGAGGGGAUCGCCGGGUAGGAUUAUGCUAUGCGAUGCUACUUGGUGAACUUACCAUCUACUCUCUUCUACAUGCUGCAAGAUGGAGGUGGCCUGAAGUGUAGUCUUCGACAGGAUUAGCUAUCCCCCUCUUAUUCUGGCAUUCUGCAGUUCAGUCCACCGGUAUGGCCCUUUACACAUAUACCCAUGCAUAUGUAGUGUAGCUCCUUGCUUGCGAGUACUUUGGAUGAGUACUCACGGUUGCUUUUCUCCCUCGUUUCCCCCUUCCCUUCUACCUGGUUGUCGCAACCAGAUGCCGGAGCCCAGGAGCCAGACGCCACCGUCGACGACGACUCCUACUACACCGGAGGUGCCUACUACUACGUGCAGGCCGCUGAUGACGACCAGGAGUAGUUUAGGAGGAUCCCAGGCAGGAGGCCUGCGCCUCUUUCGAUCUGUAUCCCAGUUUGUGCUAGCCAUCUUAGGGCAUCUUGUUUAACUUAUGUCUGUACUCAGAUAUUGUUGCUUCCGCUGACUCGUCUAUGAUCGAGCACUUGUAUUCGAGCCCUCGAGGCCCCUGGCUUUUAUUAUGAUGCUUGUAUGACUUGUUUUAUUUUUAGAGUUGUGUUGUGAUAUCUUCCCGUGAGUCCCUGAUCUUGAUCGUACACGUUUGUGUGUAUGAUUAGUGCAUGAUUGAAUUGGGGGCGUCACAAGUUGGUAUCAGAGCCGACUGCCUGUAGGAAUCCCCCUUCCACACUCCUUGGCCAAAGUCGAGUCUAGACAUUGCAAAACUUUUACUAACAUGGCUGUGUGUCUUACGGGCUCACGUCGCCAUUUGGGUGGUAUUAGGAUCUUUUACUCCUCGAUCUUUACUCUGGGUCUCUGAACUCUCUUCUAUUCAGGUUAAAAUGAAUUUACUAACUCUGACUCUAUGGUCUCGUAGUUACUUCCUCCCGGAGAGACCCUCACUCCAGAUGAUUGCUUGGUGCAUCGAAGGAUUCCAAAGAUACCCUCCGAUGUUCUCUCGAGACUUUGUGCAUCGGUAUUGCAAUUCCCUUCCAUCGAUAAACCCCUAUGGGUAACCACGUGCACUUGCCAUUCAUACAAUCAUUCCGCGUUGAUCUUGUUAUUACAAGAUACCCUGGAAUUUUCACUAUUGCUCCGAGAAUACUUUGUGCCUACUGCCUUGCAGUUCUUGCCACAUGAAUACCCCCUACGGAUAAUUCCUCGCACUUAUCGAGUAUCCGUUCUUCCCCCGUUGUUCUUAUGAUUCACAAGAUACAUGGAAAUACUAUCUGAUCUUUUGAGAAUCCUCUGCAGCCUAUGGCUCUUGAGAUUCUUGUCUGCCUACAUUAUGGUUAAUUCCAAAUGCCUAGCAAUGUUCAUUGAUGUCCUUUUCCUAUAUCAUCUUGGGUCCCUUGAUUCAAUAUGUUAUGAAUGUUUGCAAUCCUUAAUCAGAUCCUGGAAUUCAUCCUUUCGGCUCAGACGUCAUUUUAAACAUGGGCUGGAUCUCGACCAAUCAAAUUGCCAUCGAUUGUACCCCUAAGCCUACUCAACUUAUCCAUCCUUUAUCAGAGCGUUUGCUUCUGAUCCCUUGAUUUGGAAAUCAUAAUUCUUUUGCAUUUGAGCUUUGAAUUAGCCUGUUAUUUCUAAAACCUGAUCUCCUUGCAUUCUUUCUUCAACUAGUUGUGUGCCGAUGCUCACAUCAGCUCCACUAUAAACCGUCAGAUCCUUUGUUGGAUUAUUAUUUGACAAUGUCCCUCAUAUUUAAUCGCCUUGUGAAUUCUUCCCUGAAACAAAAUGCCAUUAGUAAAUCCUAUUCCCUGAUUUGGCCAACCAUGCUCUGCUUUCGAGCUGGUGAUAUUUACUCUUGAAACUCGUGGUAUAUGUUUAUAAGAUGUCUUGAUGGGUUGAACCUUAUGCCUUCCUUAAUCUGUGUGAACCCGAAAACUUUUCAUGGGUCAUACUCCUCUAGUAAUUCACCCGGUAGGUUUUCACACAGAAAUCAUUUUUAUUAGAGCAGUGAAUGAAAGGUUAUGCAUUGGAGAAGUGGGAGUCGACCUUGAACUUUGUGUUCAUGCCCAUGGACAUGAUGUAGAUCUUACCAUUAAAGCUUCUCCUAAAUUAAAUUAUUCCCUUGGUAUAAGUUCAUCUUAUAUCUGGGAUCUGGCCUUUUGCAAUCGUGGUUCCGACCAUGUUCUCCUUUAAAUACCAUUUCACGUGCAAGUUUAAGCACUUGUCUUCUGUAGAGCAAUACCCCAGUCCAACCUCUAUUUUGAUCUGUCGUCGAGUAUUACCCCGAGGUAUCUCGAUAAUAUCACAGAACCAUAUUACGUCUUAUGAGUUCUUCUUCAAGUAUUAUUUCUCACUGAUUCCAAUUUUCCCUGGGUUCUGAGUUGUUAGACACUCAAGGACACCAAUAGUGAACCGAGUCUGUACUCCGAUUCAAUAACUCUAAGUAAUUUUCAUUGUUUACGAGUUUAAUAAUCCUUCAAGUUAAUCCAAGCCUAAUCGGCUAUAUCAUUAUCGUGCUAAAUGUUAACUGUGCUACAUGGUCCUUAUUCCCGGAGCACAACUUUCGACAAUGAGCUAAGCUUAUGUCGAUUUCCUCGUCUUAUCGUUUCACCUCGAAUAGCAAACUUGAACUUGAUUUCAAGUUUGUGUCGUUUCCGUGGAUCCAAUAAUCUCUCGCUGCAUCAGUCCUUUUGCUGGAUGCAGUCGCUGUUCGAAUACAUCUUCAUGGAGCCUCUCGACAAAAUUUGUCGUGAUCAUCAUCAAUAUUUUGACUCCUUUCAGGAUGUCAAUUGAAUUCAUGAUGAGACAUACCAUCGUUGCCCCUCGAUGAUUGUGUUAUCAUCGACAACAUUCUUGCCUUCCCCCAACAAAAACUUGUUCAUGUUAUAGAUGCAACUUGCUGUCCAGCUUGUAUGAUGUUCUACCUUGAAGUAUUAAUGUCCUUUAUGACAAGGAUGUUGUGAGGAUUGCUCCACCUCUUAAGAAUUCUGGGUAUAGUGAUACUUCUCACCAUCAUCCUUCUUUCUUGGUCCUCGUGUUGAUUCGAACGGUGCUGUUUGGAUUCUGCCCUUCUAGCAACCAUAUUGCUUUGAAGUUAAUGGUCGGCCGUUCAUUCUUAGACUAUUGAUUAUUGAAUCACCAUCCUGACAUUGGUCGUGCAACCCAACCCAUAUUUCGGGCGCACCUUUCAACCAAUGUUUAAUUGUGUAUGUUUUCCUCGAGCUUACUUCAUUAUAUCAUUUGAUCUGACAAAUGUUAUCUCCUUAUCCACAUAAUUGUGGAGAUCCAUUUUUUUGGAUACCUCGUUGAAUUAUCGUUGAGUCCAUCAGCCACCUCCUCAUGCUCUCCUUGGCUUAAUGAUGAACCCUUGUUCGAAACUCGCUUACAUAGUUCAUUUCCCUAGAAUCAUAUAAUGUCAUCUCGUCAAUUGUGUUGCACCUUUCCUUCUCAGGCAUCCUGAAUUUGAGGUAUCCUGACACCAAUCAGAUCUGAAUCUCGGUUAGAUAUGAUGGUUGGAACAUAUUUUCAAGGGUUAUAACAUUGGUCUUUAUAUGAACUGGUAAGAUGAUGUCAUGCCUAGCACACCUGGCCGGAGGCCCUAUUGUUGUAGUUUCCUUUUUAACAAAGUUAGCCAUUCUUCCAUGAGGAAAUUGUAAGACUUAUUCUAUAAGUUGUUCCUGAUGGAUCCCUUGUGUAUCCAAAGUCCGACCUUUCCUUGAAGACCAUGUCAGUGCUAUCUCGAAGCAUGUCUAUGGUACUCCGAUUUUCAACAAGAACAUUUGAAGCCCAAUGCUACAUGUUUCCUGCUCAAUUAUCCAAACACCAAUGUAUGGGUAAUGUCAUGAAAAAUUCUUCCCCUUACCUAAAGAGUUUUCUACAUUAUAUCCUGUCAUGGAUAUCAUGCUCUGCUUGUCCUUGGGAAGGAUAUAACCUUGAAAUAUGUGUUUAAACACAUUUUUCUUUCCAUUGUUCUGUUUAAUCUGAUAAUCAUAUUUUCCUUUCCAUUGGUUGGUUUAACGUUGCUUGUGAUCUAUAUGAUCUAAGCAGUAAUAUUCUCCUGCUUAUGUAAACAUCUCGGUGUACAAUUCUGUCAGCAAGACCCUGUUUCUAUUAUUGAUGACAUUUCGGUAACCGCCGAUGGACUAGAACUUUGCCUAUUGGUCCGCCUCGUUCAAUGAGCAGGAAAAUGGUUUUGUUCGUCCCUCGCCCUUGGUAUCGAUGUUGUUGCCGACAUAACCGAUAGACUAUCCUCUGACAUGCCUUGCUUACAUGAUCGUGCAAGAUGUCACCACCCUUCCUACUUUUAACCCACAUGGUGGGCCCAUAACCCACAGUUCCAUAGGAUUGAAACCUGACUCUCAUGUACAUCACUGUUCCGAAGGUUAUUCCUCAUGCUUGGCUUCGUAUGAAAUUCACGGGCCACCGUCCUAGUGAUCUUUUCUGGUAACAGACGCAAUACUCAAUCUCGUUGCUCUGGACCCCUUCCGCACGGUCUUUCAGUCAUCGAACGAUUGCCUAUCCGUUUGAAACUUCUCAUGGUACCUUCUUACUUUGCUCUCGAUAUCUUCUUAAGUUUCAACUCGGGAGAUACUUAUGCUUCUUCCCCUGAGUUAACCGUCCGAUGCUCAAUUUUAUUAGGAUCCGUCCUUAUAGAGUUUUCCCCUCUUAUCCUUUCGUAAGUACAGUUUAGAUCCUGAAGGAAGGACGACAACUUCAUCGUGAUGCAUUGAUGCAUAGGAAUGAAGACAUCAACGCUAUGGAUCGACCUCUUCGAGAAGAGCUACCAAGACCAAGAAGAUUCGUUAGAAUUUUGGAACCAAACUUUUCCCCCUUACUCUACCUCUUAAAUCUCGGGACGAGAUUUCUUGUAGUGGAGGAGAUUUGUGACGCCCGGAUAAUUAAGCUAAAGUGAACCUCUGCUAAUGAUGCCACGUCACCUCGGUUACUGUUGUUAAUCUCGCGUUAGUUCAAAACCGGUUCAGAAUUCAAAUUUAACCUAAAUUAAGAUAAAUUAUUUCUUCAAAAAAAUAAAACUAAAAUGUUCGGAAUAUUCUAUAAAUUUCACCUGGUCAUUGUCAUGUUGAACCCAACAUUAUUUGACCCACCAAUUAAUUCCUAAGAAAAUAAUAAAUGGUCCUUCAGCAAUUAAAAUGACCUUUUUAAAAUAAACAAUUAUUUAUUUAAUUCACAUUGCCUCCAAAAAGUUUGUGAGCAUCAUCAUAACACGACAUUGCAUUUAUGUGCUAGGUUUCAUAUCUUACUAAAAUUAUUUAGUGCCUCAAAUAAAUAGGAGGCAGUGAUAGAAAAAGGAAAUGGAAAAUGAAACAAAACAAAGAAAAGAAGUAGAAGAAGAAAAGGGUCCAAGUGGGACUGGAAGGCCCAGCCCACUUGGGUUACCUUCAACCUGUAGCAGGGGGUUGCGUGGAGCACAUCACCUACACCAUGGCGCCGUGGCGCGCAUCCACGACUCUCCCUCGCCCUACACAGCCCUGACGCCCCCUCUCCACAAACCCUAGCUCCCCCACUUGCCUUGUUUUCCCCUUUCCCGAGCCGCUCCUCUCCUCCCCUCCCUGCACCGAGCCGCCGGCGCCAUGGUUGCCGUCGUACGCGCGCCCUCCAUCGUCCCCGCACUGUAGGGAGGUGCCCAUCCGCUCCAUCAUCCUCCCCUUCGUCGUCUACACCCAUGGGAUCGAGCCUGGAGCCGCCCCAUCAUCGCCGUCGUCCUCGUCUUCAUCGGCGGUCGCCAUUGAUGCCCCGCCGUGGAUCCAUGCUUCAGCACGCCCCCGACCGAUCCGAGCUCGCCGUCAACCCUCCUUGGUGAGCAGCGCCGAUUCCCCUUGUCCCCCCUCUGUUAAUCGCGUUGUAGCGCCGUCCCCGCGAUUUGGUCGCCGCGCCUUGAGUUCUCUGAAGCCCGCGUCCUCCCGUGCCGAGCCGUCGCCUGGGCGCUCCCCUGCACCCCCGCGCGCCUCUGUGCCCACUUGCGUGCCCGCGCGUGCGCGCCCGCACCCGCUGUCGCCCGCUUGCGUGCCCGCGCGUGCGCGCCCGCACCCGCUGCCGCCCGCCCUUGCCCGCUGCCGCCGCCCUUGCCCGCUGUCGGUGCCCCGUGACCGCGGCCGUCGCUGCUGCUGCCGCUGCCGCCGCGUACUGCUCCUGCCACUGUGUUUCGCUGCAAUGCUGCCGCUGCUACAGUAACUGAAUGUUACUGUAGCGCUGGCUAGCUUUUGCUAUUUCUACCUUCUUAGCUCUCUAGAUGGCAACAAAACUAUGGUCAAACAAAGUCUAACUUCAUUGAAAUUAAUUUGUGUUGGGAGUACACAUGACAGCCUCCAAAUUAUUCCAUUGGACCAAAUUCAAAUACGGCAUGGAUUCAUUCCUAUAAAAAUGACAAAAGUCUAUGUUCUGUUAAGAGAGAAAACUGAAAAACAGAUUUACUGUCUUAACUACUUCAGAGCUGUAAAUGGACCUGUUAUAGAAGCUGUUCAGGCUAUCUAAUGGCAUGGCCUUGUAGUGCUGUUGAUGUAGAGUAAAACACUUAUAUGUAGUGUCUUCAUUAGGUCUACAUAACAUUAGUUAUAGCCUUUGGAAAACAGCCAAGUGAAGUUUAAAAAAAACUGAACAAUUCUCAGACUUAGCCAAUUUUCAGGAAUUCCAUAAUAUUGUUUAAACUUCGAAAAAUCAUAGAAAAUAAACCGUAGCUCGGAUGAAAAAACUUUGUACACGAAAGUUGCUCAUAACAACGAUAUGAAUCCGAAUACACAGUCCAUUCGUCCACCACACAUCCCUAGGAUAGCGAACACGCAACUUUCCCCCUCCGUUCACCUGUCCGAAACGCGAAACACUGGGGAUACUUUCCCGGAUGUUUUCCCCCUUCGUCGGUAUCACCUCCUACCGCGUUAGGGCACACCUAGCACCGUGCAUUGUCUUGUCAUGCACCGUCAUGCUUAUGUUUGCAUUAUAUUUAUUGUUUCUUCCCCCUCUUCUCUCAUUAGACACCGUGACCGACGCCGCUGCUACCCAGUACGACUACGGUGUUGACGACCCCUCCUUCUCGGCUGAGCUUCCAGGCAAGCCCCCCCCCCCGUUGAUCACCAGAUAUCACCUAUUCCUUCUCUCUACUGCUUGCAUUAGAGUAGUGUAGCAUGUUACUGCUUUUGGUUAAUCCUAUUAUGCUGCAUAGCCUGUCAUUGUUGCUACAAUUGUUACCUUUACCUGUUAUCCUAAUGCUUAGUAUAGGAUGCUAGUGUUCCAAUAGUGGCCCUUCACUCUUGUCCGUCUGCCAUGCUAUACUACUGGGCCGUGAUCACUUCGGGAGGUGAUCACGGGCAUAUGCUAUAUACUUUAUACUAUUACAUUACUUAUGAUACUAUUCGGAGAUGGGGGCUGAAGGGGCAGGUGGCUCCAUCCCGGUAGAGGUGGGCCUGGGUUCCCGACGGCCCCCGACUGUUACUUUGUGGCGGAGCGACAGGGGAGGUUGAGACCACCUAGGAGAGAGGUGGGCCUGGCCCUGGUCGGCGUUCGCGGAUACUUAACACGCUUAACGAGAUCUUGGUAUUUGAUCUGAGUCUGGCCACUGGCCUAUACGCACUAACCAACUACGCGGGAAUAGUUAUGGGCACUUGGCGUCGUGCUAUCAGCCGAAGCCUUCGUGACGUCAGCGACUGAGCGGCGCGCGCCGGAUUGGACUGGAACGCCUGCUAAGCUAGGUCUGCUUCCAGGCGCGUACGCAACGUGCAGGUGUGCAAUGGGCGAUGGGCCCAGACCCUUGCACGCAUAGGAUUUAGACCGGCGUGCUGACCUCUCUGUUGUGCCUAGGUGGGGCUGCGACGUGUUGAUCUUCCGAGGCCGGGUAUGGCCCAGGAAAGUGUGUCUGGCCAAAUGGGAUCGAGCGUGUUGGGUAAUGUGGUGCACCCCUGCAGGGAAGUUUAUCUAUUCGAAUAGCCGUGUCCCUCGGUAAAAGGACGACCCGGAGUUGUACCUUGACCUUAUGACAACUAGAACCGGAUACUUAAUAAAACACACCCUUCCAAGUGCCAGAUAUAACCCGGUGAUCGCUCUCUAACAGGGCGACGAGGAGGGGAUCGCCGGGUAGGAUUAUGCUAUGCGAUGCUACUUGGUGAACUUACCAUCUACUCUCUUCUACAUGUUGCAAGAUGGAGGUGGCCUGAAGCGUAGUCUUCGACAGGAUUAGCUAUCCCCCUCUUAUUCUGGCAUUCUGCAGUUCAGUCCACCGAUAUGGCCCUUUACACAUAUACCCAUGCAUAUGUAGUGUAGCUCCUUGCUUGCGAGUACUUUGGAUAAGUACUCACGGUUGCUUUUCUCCCUCUUUUCCCCCUUCCCUUCUACCUGGUUGUCGCAACCAGAUGCCGGAGCCCAGGAGCCAGAUGCCACCGUCGACGACGACUCCUACUACACCGGAGGUGCCUACUACUACGUGCAGGCCGCUGACGACGACCAGGAGUAGUUUAGGAGGAUCCAAGGCAGGAGGCCGGCGCCUCUUUCGAUCUGUAUCCCAGUUUGUGCUAGCCAUCUUAUGGCAUCUAUGAUCGAGCACUUGUAUUCGAGCCCUCGAGGCCCCUGGCUUGUAUUAUGAUGCUUGUAUGACUUGUUUUAUUUUUAGAGUUGUGUUGUGAUAUCUUCCCGUGAGUCCCUGAUCUUGAUCGUACACGUUUGCGUGUAUGAUUAGUGUACGAUUGAAUCGGGGGCGUCACAGGAUGCUAAUCAGAUUGCGAAGGAUCCAGCUAAGCUUGCUGAUGAGAUUGUCGUUUGUGCUUAUGAUCAGUAGGUUCUAGCUUAUGAGGAGGCUCUUCGCAGUUAUCAUGAGGCUCUGUCUGCUUACACUCAUUGGCUUGAUGAUAAUGCUCAUGUUGUUAUUGUUGUCCUCACUUGCAUUGUUCUGUUUCAGUAUUUCUCUGAGUUCCUAGGCCUCCCUAUCGUAUUUGAGAUGUGGACCCGUCUUUGUUAGCGCUAUCAGCCCUCUGGUGAUGCCUUAUACCUAUUUGUGGUCCGCCAUGAGCAUGCCAAGGUGACUCUAGUGUUGAUGAUUUCUAUGCAUAUAGUUCUGCUAUCUGACGUUAAGUUGAUUCUCUCCGCACUACUGGUUGUUGUACUUGCCAGUCUUCCAGGUUUGUUCGUGUUGGUUUUGAGUUUCAUCGUGUCUACGAGUUCCUGUCCCGGCUUCGCAAGGAAUUUGAGACCUAACGCGCUCAUUGCGUGUGGCCUUAUUUCCCUCAUGGUUGUGCUUUCUGAGAUUCGUGCUAAGGAGACUCGCUUACGUGGCCCUGGUUUACUUGAGGUUCCCUCUGCGCUCACUGCUUGAGCUCAUGCUAUGUCGCCUGCUGCACCGCUUCGACUCUUUCCCGCUGCAGUGCUCUGCUGCUCUUGCCCACUCCCAUUGACGGUCAAGACUGCUCUCAUCCUCAUUAUGGCUACCGCGACCAGGAUGGUCAUCUUGACCCUCAGUGCUUCCUUAAGAAGCGCCACAUGACGAAACAACAGACGUCGCCGCCGCCCGUCCCAUCCCCUUUCCAAACCCUCGACGAGCCGACCUGUGCCGCCGGCCGGCGACGGCCCCUGCCGAGGGCGCCGAAAUGGAGGAGGCAAUGCCGCUAGGAGGUAGCGGAGGCGAGCACGGCUACGGUGAGCCGGCAGCCGCCCGCGGAGGCCGGGACGAGGAAGAUCCAUCCCGUUCUCCGCAUCCGGCGCCGUUGCCGUUGCUGCGAGGCCUCGCCGUCAUUCCCACGGCAUCUGAGGUUUGCUCACAUCGUCCUUCCAAUCCUAGGUCUCGAAGUUGGUACCGGGAACCUGAAUCACUGAAUGAAUUCUUUAUACUACCAUUUUUAGAAGGAGGAAAAGAAACUGAAGGAUGUGCGGCAGGAGGAGGACGAGGUUCCAGCAGCGAGCUUUCCGGAGGACGCUCUCAUGGAGAUCCUGUCACGGGUGCCCGGCAGGCCGCUGUGCCGCUUCAAGUGCGUGUCCAAAGAGUGGCUCGCCCUCUGCUACUACUCCCACAUCCGCAAGAGGUCACCGCAGGCCAUGUCCGGCUUCUUCUACAAUGAUCACGGUUUCCGUUUCCACAAUUUGUCCGGAAAAGGUCCUCCCAUGGUCGACCCCGACCUCUCUUUCUUACGCAGCAGCUAUAAGCAUUUCAGUGUCACGCAGUGCAGCACCAGCCUUCUCUUUUGCAAAUGCUGGAAAGUUCCCUAUCCCAAGCAACUCGGUUGGAAUUCUCUUCCCAAAGGAAAACCCGAGCAAUUUUUUGAAUGGCCUGAGGCCGACGAAUUCGAUUACGUUGUCUGCAAUCCUGCCACUCAGGAGUGGACUUCGUUGUCUCCUAUAGAAUUGCCUGAUCACCUUCCGCUUUUCCGCCCAGGCAAAUACUUUUUGGGUUCUGACGCGGCCAUUCCUUCCCGCUUCGUCGUGUUGGUGCCCCUGAACUCAUGUCAGACAUAUGGCCUGUCGGCAGACAUGAUCUACUCAUCAGAUACUGGAGGAUGGACUUUCACACAACACAAUGAUUUCAGUACAUAUCCAAUUAGUUAUUCGGAAAGCACCUUCCUAAAUAACACUAUGCAUUUCCCUACUCGUUAUUCGGUAAUAGUCAUAGUGGAUAUGGAAAGGAAAGAUUGGAGCGAGAUUAAGAUGCCACGUGGCAUGACAAAUUUACCUCUCAUGGAGGCAAAGAUUGGGGGUAGGGGUGCCUCUUCGAAAAGGAAAAAUGUGCUCCCUCCUCCCGGUUUGAUUUUUUUUUCGUUUGUAGAAACCAAUUAACAUGGGAUCUAGGCUGGAAGAUCUUGACGCGAGAGAUCCAACGGUGAAAACGGUUUGAGAUUUGGACGCACUGUUUAAGAAAUAAAAUAUUUUGAAUAUAUGAAUAUAUGAAAAAAACUCUCAAAUUGCAACAAGUGACACGCAUGCAGUGCGCCACUUAUCGCAACCCGGGAAUGUGCGAGUGAUCUUUGAAAAGAGUACUCUUUAAUUAGUGAUUUCAGACUAUUAGACUGGUUUUAGUUUUGAAAAUAAUAGACGACCCGCUUUGAGUCUUGUUUUCCAAGAAAACAAACAUAUCACUGUAGCAACUUAAAAAAUGAACGUGGAUUAUAAAUGUUUAUGAAUUCAAAAAAUAUUUUUGAAUUUCAGAAAAUGUUGAUGAAUUCAAAACUUUUCCAAACUUUCAAGAAAUAUUUGUCGAUUCUUAAAUGUUCAUGAACAAUUUUUUCCCAAUUUUAAAAAAGUUCAUGAAUUUAAAAAAUCGUCAAUCCAAAAAAUAUUCAUCAAUUAGUAAAACAACUCGAAUUUCAAAAAUUGUUCCCACAUUGAUUAAAGAAACCAACGAUUCAAAAAAUAUUCACGAGUUUCAAUUAUUGUUCCAAACUUUAAAAAAUCAUGAGUUUCAACAGUUAUUCAUGAAAUUCGAAAAUUAUUCAUAAAUUCGAAAUGUGUUUGCAAAUUUCAAAAAAUAUUCCCAAAAAUUCAAAAAAAAGGAAUUGCAAAAUGAAAAAAAGAAGAAAAACUCAAAAGAAAGUAAACACAUAGAGAAAGAAAAACCUUUUUCAGAAUAUGCGCCAGCCCAUAUGUGAGCGAUCGAGCAGGAUUAAUAGGAUUCCCGGUCUCAGAACUCACAAAAUCACUAGUUAAGGAGUACUCGUUGCAAAGAUCACUCCCACCUUCCUAGGUUGUGACAAGUGGCGCGCUGCAUGGGCGCCACUUGUCGAAACCUGAGAGUUUUCCCUUUUUCAUAGAUUCGUUUAUUCAAAACGUUUUAUCUUUUAAGUCAUGCGUCCAAAUCUCGAACCGUUUUCACCGUUGGAUUCCUCGCGUCGAGAUCUCCGAAACUAGUAUCCAUGUUGAUAGGUUUUGUUGAACUUUUUUUUCACGAAAAAAACAGGACGAAAAAAACGAAUCGGGAGCACGGGGGUUUUCCCUUUCCGAAAGAGGCACGCCCGUGCCUCUUGCGGAAUCACAACCGUGCCUCUCGCGGAAGGAGAAAAAGAAGAUUUUUUUCAUCUACUAGGAGGCACGGCCGUGCCUCUGGCGAAAGUACAACCAUGCCUCUCGCGGAAUGAUAACCCACAAGUAUAGGGGAUCGCAACAGUUUUCGAGGGUAGAGUAUUCAACCCAAACUUAUUGAUUCGACACAAGGGGAGCCAAAGAAUAUUCUCAAGUAUUAGCAGUUGAGUUGUCAAUUCAACCACACUUGGAUAACUUAGUAUCUAUGGGAGGAUGAUAUUUAAACCACUUCUCCUUAGGGAGAUGAAUAUGAGCAGCAAAAGAUUCACAAAAAGAAGCUACUAUCUCAGAGUCAAGUCCAUAUUUAGUGCUAAACUUACGGGAAACAUCGGUAUCCAUAAAAGAUUUAACACAAUCAAACUUAGGUGUCAUACCUGACUCCUUACCUUCAUCGAGGUCCCAAUCUUUAGAGUUGCGUUUAAUUCUAUCCAAUAAAUCCCAUUUGAAUUCAAUAGUCUUCAUCAUAAAAGAGCCAGCACAAGAAGUAUCGAGCAUGGUGCGAUUGUUUUCAGAAAGCCGAGCAUAAAAACUUUGAAUAAUUAUUUCUCUUGGAAGUUCAUGAUUGGGGCAUGAAAUAACAUUGAUUUAAGCCUCCCUCAAGCUUGAGCGAUGUUUUCUCCUUCGCGAGCCCAAAAAUUAUAUAUGUAAUUGCGAUCACGAUGAACAAGGUGCAUAGGAUAAACUUUCUGAUGAAAUUCCAAUUUCAAUCGUUUGUAGUUCCAUGAUCCCGUAUCAUCACAUAGCCUAUACCAUGUCGAUGCAUCUCCCUUCAAAGAUAAAGGGAAGACCUUCUUCUUAAUAAAAUCACCGGGUAUACCUGCAAGCUUAAAUAAUCCACAAACUUCAUCCACAUAUAUUAGGUGCUCAUCAGGAUGCUUUGUUCCAUCUCCUGCAACAGGAUUAGCUAGCAGUUUUUCUAACAUACCCGAAGGAAUCUCAAAGUGAACAUCUUCAUUUUCAGUAGGUUCAGUAGGUUGAGGAGCAACUCUUUGCUCUACUGGUCGGGGUGAAGAUGCCCGGAACAAGCCCCUCAGAGGAUUACUUUCCAUAGUAACAAGUGACAGUAAAUUUCAGCACACUAUAUAAAUUUUUCCUUACCAAAUUCCACCUACCAAAGGCGCUUCACUCCCCGGCAACGGCGCCAGAAAAGAGUCUUGAUGACCCACAAGUAUAGGGGAUCUACCGUAGUCCUUUCGAUAAGUAAGAGUGUCAAACCCAACGAGGAGCAGAAGGAAAUGAUAAGCGGUUUUCAGCAAGGUAUUCUCUGCAAGCACUGAAAUAAUAGGUAACAGAUAGUUUUGUGAUAAGAUAAUUUGUAGCGAGCAACAAGUAACAAAAGUAAAUAAAGUGCAGCAAGGUGGCCCAAUCCUUUUUGUAGCAAAGGACAAGCCUGGACAAACUCUUAUAUAGAGAAAAGCGCUCCCGAGGACACAUGGGAAUUAUCGUCAAGCUAGUUUUCAUCACGUUCAUAUGAUUCACGUUCGGUACUUUGAUAAUUUGAUGUGGGUGGACCAGUGCUUGGGUGCUGUUCUUACUUGAAAAAGCAUCCCACUUAUGAUUAACCUAUAUUGCAAGCAUCCGUAACUACAACAAAAGUAUUAAGGUAAACCUAACCAUAGCAUGAAACAUAUGGAUCCAAAUCAGCCCCUUACGAAGCAACGCAUAAACUAGGGUUUAAGCUUCUGUCACUCUAGCAACCCAUCAUCUACUUAUUACUUCCCAAUGCCUUCCUCUAGGCCCAAAUAAUGGUGAAGUGUUAUGUAGUCGAUGUUCACAUAACACCACUAGAGAAUAGACAACAUACAUCUCAUCAAAAUAUCGAACGAAUACCAAAUUCACAUGACUACUAAUAGCAAGACUUCUCCCAUGUCCUCAGGAACAAACGUAACUACUCACAAAGCAUAUUCAUGUUCAUAAUCAGAGGGGUAUUAAUAUGCAUAUAGGAUCUGAACAUAUGAUCUUCCACCAAAUAAACUAACUAGCAUCAACUACAAGGAGUAAUCAACACUACUAGCAACCUACAGGUACCAAUCCAGGACUUGGAGACAAGAAUUGGAUACAAGAGAUGAACUAGGGUUUGAGAGGAGAUGGUGCUGGUGAAGAUGUUGAUGGAGAUUGCCCUCUCCCGAUGAGAGGAGCAUUGGUGAUGACGAUGGCGAUGAUUUCCCCCUCCCGGAGGGAAGUGUCCCCAGCAGAACAGCUCUGCCGGAGCCCUAGAUUGGUUCCGCCAAGGUUCCGCCUCGUGGCGGCGGAGUAUCGUCCUGAAAGCUUGCUUAUGAUUUUUCUUCGGACGAAAGACUUCAUAUAGCAGAAGAUGGCCACCGGAGGGCCAACAGGGGGCCCACGAGGCAGGGGGCACGCCCAGGGGGGUAGGGCGCGCCCCCCACCCUCGUGGCCAGGUGGAGGCCCCCCUGAUGUAUUUCUUCCGCUCAAUAUUUUUAUUAUUUCCAAAAAUAACUUUCGUGGAGUUUUAGGACUUUUGGAGUUGUGCAGAAUAGGUCUCUAAUAUUUGCUCCUUUUCCAGCCCAGAAUUCCAGCUGCCGGCAUUCUCCCUCCUUAUGUAAACCUUGUAAAAUAAGAGAGAAUAGGCAUAAGUAUUGUGACAUAACGUGUAAUAACAGCCCAUAAUGCAAUAAAUAUCGAUAUAAAAGCAUGAUGCAAAAUGGACGUAUCAAACAGUCAUAACAUAGGGUGACACAGAACUAGCUCCAAUUUAUCAAUGUAAUGAAAAAGGCAUGUAUUCCGAAUAUAGUCAUACAUGCUUAUGGAAAAGAACUUGCAUGACAUCUUUUGUCCUACCCUCCCGUGGCAGCGGGGUCCUAAUGGAAACUAAGGGAUAUUAAGGCCUCCUUUUAAUAGAGUACCAGACCAAAGCAUUAACACAUAGUGAAUACAUGAACUCCUCAAACUACGGUCAUCACCGGGAGUGGUCCCGAUUAUUGUCACUUCGGGGUUGCCGGGUCAUAACACAUAGUAGGUGACUAUAGACUUGCAAGAUAGGAUCAAGAACUCACAUAUAUUCAUGAAAACAUAAUAGGUUCAGAUCUGAAAUCAUGGCACUCGGGCCCUAGUGACAAGCAUUAAGCAUAGCAAAGUCAUAGCAACAUCAAUCUCAGAACAUAGUGGAUACUAGGGAUCAAACCCUAACAAAACUAACUCGAUUACAUGAUAAAUCUCAUCCAACCCAUCACCGUCCAGCAAGCCUACGAUGGAAUUACUCACGCACGGCGGUGAGCAUCAUGAAAUUGGUGAUGGAGGAUGGUUGAUGAUGACGACGGCGACGGAUUCCCCUCUCCGGAGCCCCGAACGGACUCUGAUACGUCUCCAACGUAUCUAAAUUUUUGAUCGCUCCAUGCUAUAUUAUCUUCUGUUUUGGACAUUAUUGGGCUUUAUUAUUCACUUUUAUAUUAUUUUUGGGACUAACCUAUUAAUCGGAGGCCCAGCCCAGAAUUGCUGUUUUUUGCCUAUUUAAGAGUUUCACAGAAAAAAAUAUCAAACGGAGUCCAAACGGAAUGAAACCUUCGGGAACGUGAUUUUCGGAACGAACAUGAUCCAGGAGACCUGGACCCUACGUCAAGAAACAAAGCAGGAAGCCAUGACGUAGGGGGCGCGCCUACCCCCCAGGGCGCGCCCUCCACCCUCGUGGGCCCCACGUUGCUAAACCGACGUACUCCUUCCUCCUAUAUAUACCUACGUACCCCCAAACGAUCAGAUACGGAGCCAACAACCUAAUUCCACCGCCGCAACCUUCUGUACCCACGAGAUCCCAUCUUGGGGCCUGUUCCGGAGCUCCGCCGGAGGGGGCAUCCAUCACGGAGGGCUUCUACAUCAACACCAUAGCCUCUCCGAUGAAGUGUGAGUAGUUUACCUCAGACCUUCGGGUCCAUAGUUAGUAGCUAGAUGGCUUUCUCUCUCUUUUUGGAUCUCAAUACAAUGUUCUCCCCCUCUCUCGUGGAGAUCUAUUUGAUGUAAUCUUCUUUUGCGGUGUGUUUGUUGAGAUCGAUGAAUUGUGGGUUUAUGAUCAAGUUUAUCUAUGAACAAUAUUUGAAUCUUCUCUGAAUUCUUUUAUGUAUGAUUGGUUAUCUUUGCAAGUCUCUUCGAAUUAUCAGUUUGGUUUGGCCUACUAGAUUGAUCUUUCUUGCAAUGGGAGAAGUGCUUAGCUUUGGGUUCAAUCUUGCGGUGUCCUUUCCCAGUGACAGUAGGGGCAGAAAGGCACGUAUAGUAUUGUUGCCAUCGAGGAUAACAAGAUGGGGUUUUUAUCAUAUUGCAUGAAUUUAUCCCUCUACAUCAUGUCAUCUUGCUUAAGGCGUUACUCUGUUCUUAUGAACUUAAUACUCUAGAUGCAUGCUGGAUAGCGGUCGAUGUGUGGAGUAAUAGUAGUAGAUGCAGGCAGGAGUCGGUCUACUUGUCUCGGACGUGAUGCCUAUAUACAUGAUCAUACCUAGGUAUUCUCAUAACUAUGCUCAAUUCUGUCAAUUGCUCAAUAGUAAUUUGUUCACCCACCGUAAAAUACUUGUGCUCUUGAGAGAAGCCACUAGUGAAACCUAUGGCCCCCGGGUCUAUCUUCAUCAUAUUGAUCUUCCAACACUUAGUUAUUUCCGUUGCUUUUUACUUUGCUUUUAUUUUACUUUGCAUCUUUAUCAUAAAAAUACCAAAAAUAUUAUCCUAUCAUAUCUAUCAGAUCUCACUCUCGUAAGUGACCGUGUAGGGAUUGACAACCCCUUAUCGCGUUGGUUGCGAGGAUUUAUUUGUUUUGUGUAGGUACGAGGGACUCGCGCGUAGCCUCCUACUGGAUUGAUACCUUGGUUCUCAAAAACUUAGGGAAAUACUUACGCUACUUUGCUGCAUCACCCUUUCCUCUUCAAGGGAAAACCAACGCAGUGCUCAAGAGGUAGCAAGAAGGAUUUCUGGCACCAUUGCCGGGGAGGUCUACGCAAAAGUCAACAUACCAAGUACCCAUGACAAACCCUUAUCUCCCGCAUUACAUUAUUUUCCAUUUGCCUCUCGUUUUCCUCUCCCCCACUUCACCUUUGCCUUUUCUUCGCCCUCCUUCGGUUCGAUCUUGUGUUACCAUGUGCCUUCUUUUUUCUUGCAUCUUCGCUUGCUAAAAGUUUAUGGAUCCUCAUCCCCUUGCUAAUAUUUUUAAGAGAUCCAAUUAUGAUGAACCAAUUUCUAGUGAUUUGAGCACUAGAUUAUCUUUAUGAGGUUUUGCUUGAAAUUCGUGAAUCUUAAAAUUGUGAUGAAGAAAUUUAUGAAGAGAUUCACGAUAGCUCCUUGAAUAAAAAGCAUGAUUGCAAUGAUUUCACUAUAAAUUCUCUUGAUGUAAAUUGUGCUAAUAAUAUGCAAAACCCUAAUCUUGGGGAUGCUAGUUUUGCUAUGUCUACUACUUGUUGCAAUGAUCAUGAUUGGGGUGAUUCUUCUUAUGAUCUUGAAAAUUUAUUUAAGCCCCAUGAUGAAUAUGAGAUUGAUAAUAUUGUUUGCAAUAAUAUUGAAAGUGGGUUUGGAAGAGUGUCAACUUUGAUCCCACAUAUUUGGAGAAUAUUCAAUCUUAUGAAAUGUUUGAUAAAAGUGGGUUUGGAGAGGUCAUGACUUUAGUUAAUGUUAAUCCCACUAUUUCGGAAGAGUGUCAACUUUGCAUGCAUGUGGAUCGUGUUGAAAAUAUUUUAUGUGAUAGCUAUUUUGUUGAAUUUGCUUAUGAUCCCACAUGUAAUUAUUAUGCGAGAGGAAAAUAUGGUCGUAGAAAUUUUCAUGAUAAUAAGUUACCUCUCGUUAUGUUGAGAUUGCUAUUGUUUCUUUCCGCUUCGCAUAUGCUAGUUUUUGCUUGCUAUGAUAAUUUGUUUGCCUAUAAGAUGCCUAUGCAUAGGAAGUAUGUUAGACUUGGAUGUGUUUGUUGCAUGUUUCAUGAUGCUCUCUUUGCGCUUCAAUUCUUGUCUUUGAUGUGAGCAUCGUUAAAAUUAUCAAUGCCUAGCUAGGGGCGUUAAACGAUAGCGCUUGUUGGGAGGCAAUCCAAUUUUAUUUUAUUUUUAUUUAUUUUUAUUUUUGCUUCUGUUAGGAAUAAAUAUUUGAUCUAGCCUCUGGUUAGAUGUGUUUUUAUGUUUUAAUUAUUGUUUGUGCCAAAUUAAACCUAUAGGAUCUUCUUGGGUGAUAGUUAUUUGAUCUUGCUGUAAUUUCCAGAAACUUUCUGUUCACGAAAACAAUUGUUAAAAAUCACCAGAACGUGAUAAAAUAUUGAUUCCAAUUGCUGCUGAUCACUAAAAAAUUGUCUAGGCCAUCCUAUGUUGGCUGAUUAUUUGGAGUUCCAGAAGUUUGCGUUAGUUACAGAUUACUACAGACUGUUCUGUUUUUGACAGAUUCUGUUUUUCGUGUGUUGUUUGCUUAUUUUGAUGAAUCUAUGGCUAGUAAAUAGUUUAUAAACCAUAGAGAAGUUGGAAUACAGUAGGUGUAACACCAAUAAAAAUAAAGAAUGAGUUCAUUACAGUACCUUGAAGUGGCCUUUUGUUUUCUUUCGCUAACGGAGCUCACGAGAUUUUCUGCUGAGUUUUGUGUUGUGAAGUUUUCAAGUUUUGGGUGAAAGAUUUGAUGGAUUAUGGAACAAGGAGUGGCAAGAGCCUAAGAUUGGGGAUUCCCAUGGCACCCCCAAGAUAAUCUAAGGACACCAAAAAGCCAAAGCUUGGGGAUGCCCCGGAAGACAUCCCCUCUUUCGUCUACUUCCAUCGGUAACUUUACUUGGAGCUAUAUUUUUAUUCACGACAUGAUAUGUGUUUUGCUUGGAGCGUCUUGUAUGAUUUGAGUCUUUGCUUUUUAGUUUACCACAAUUAUCCUUGCUGUACACACCUUUUGAGAGAGACACACAUGAUUCGGAAAUUAUUAGAAUACUCUAUGUGCUUCACUUAUAUCUUUUGAGUUAUAUAGUUUUUGCUCUAGUACUUCACUUAUAUCUUUUAGAGCACGGGGGUGGAUUUGUUUUAUAGAAACUAUUGAUCUCUCAUGCUUCACUUAGAUUAUUUUGAGAGUCUUAAAUAGCAUGAUAAUUUGCUUAAUUAAUCCUAAUAUGCUAGGUAUUCAAGAUUAGUAAAAAACUUUCUUAUGGGUGUUUUGAAUACUAAGAGAAGUUUGAUGCUUGAUGAUUGUUUUGAGACAUGGAGGUAGUGAUAUUAAAGUCGUGCUAGUUGAGUAGUUGUGAAUUUGAGAAAUACUUGUGUUGAAGUUUGCAAGUCCCGUAGCAUGCACGUAUGGUAAACGUUAUGUAACAAAUUUGAAACAUGAGGUGUUCUUUGAUUGUCUUCCUUAUGAGUGGCGGUCGGGGACGAGCGAUGGUCUUUUCCUACCAAUCUAUCCCCCUAGGAGCAUGCGCGUAAUGCUUGGUUUUUGAUGACUUGUAGAUUUUUGCAAUAAGUAUGUGAGUUCUUUAUGACUAAUGUUGAGUCCAUGGAUUAUACGCACUCUCACCUUUCCACCAUUGCUAGCCUCUUCGGUACCGUGCAUUGUCCUUUCUCACAUUGAGAGUUGGUGCAAACUUCGCCGGUGCAUCCAAACCCCGUGAUAUGAUACGCUCUUUCACACAUAAACCUCCUUAUAUCUUCCUCAAAACAGCCACCAUACCUACCUAUUAUGGCAUUUCCAUAGCCAUUCCAAGAUAUAUUUCCAUGCAACUUUCCACCAUCCAGUUUAUCAUGACACGUUCAUCAUUGUCAUAUUGCUUUGCAUGAUCAUGUAGUUGACAUAGUAUUCGUGGCAAAGCCACCGUUCAUAAUUCAUUCAUACAUGUCGCUCUUGGUUCAUUGCAUAUCCCGGUACACCGCCAGAGGCAUUCAUAUAGAGUCAUACUUUGUUCUAGUAUCGAGUUGUAAUCAUUGAGUUGUAAAUAAAUAAAAGUGUGAUGAUCAUCAUUUUCUAGAGCAUUGUCCCAAGUGAGAAAAAAUAAUAUAAAAAAGAGAGAGAAAGGCCAUAAAAAAAAGAGAAGGCCCAAAAAAAUGAGAGAACAAGAGAGAAGGGACAAUGUUACUAUCCUUUUACCACACUUGUGCUUCAAAGUAGCACCAUAAUCUUCAUGAUAGAGAGUCUCUUGUUUUGUCACUUUCAUAUACUAGUGGGAAUUUUUCAUUAUAGAACUUGGCUUGUAUAUUCCAACAAUGGGCCUCCUCAAGUGCCCUAGGUCUUCAUGAGCAAGCAAGUUGGAUGCACACCCACUUAGUUUCUUUUGUUGAGCUUUCAUAUAUUUAUAGCUCUAGUGCAUCCGUUGCAUGACAAUCCCUACUCCUUGCAUUAACAUCAAUCGAUGGGCAUCUCCAUAGCUCAUUGAUUAGCCUCGUUGAUGUGAGACUUUCUCCUUUUUUGUCUUCUCCACAUAACCCCCAUCAUCAUAUUCUAUUCCACCCAUAGUGCUAUGUCCACGGCUCGUGCUCAUGUAUUGCGUGAAGGUUUAUAAGUUUGAGAUUACUAAAGUAUGAAACAAUCGCUUGGCUUGUCAUCGGGGUUGUGCAUGAUGAGAGCAUUCUUGUGUGACGAAGAUGGAGCAUGACUAAACUAUAUGAUUUUGUAGGGAUGAACUUUCUUUGGCCAUGUUAUUUUGAGAGGACAUAAUUGCUUAGUUAGUAUGCUUGAAGUAUUAUUAUUUUUAUGUCAAUAUGAACUUUUAUCUUGAAUCUUUCGGAUCUGAAUAUUCAUACCACAAUUAAGAAGAAUUACUUUCAAAUUAUGCCAAGUAGCACUCCGCAUCAAAAAUUCUGUUUUUAUCAUUUACCUACUCGAGGACGAGCAGGAAUUAAGCUUGGGGAUGCUUGAUACGUCUCCAACGUAUCUAUAAUUUUUUAUUGCUCCAUGCUAUAUUAUCUUCUAUUUUGGACAUUAUUGGGCUUUAUUAUUCACUUUUAUAUUAUUUUUGGGACUAACCUAUUAACCGGAGGCCCAGCCCAUAAUUGCUGUUUUUUUGCCUAUUUAAGAGUUUCACAGAAAAAGAAUAUCAAACGGAGCCCAAACGGAAUGAAACCUUCGGGGACGUGAUUUUCGGAAUGAACAUGAUCCAGGAGACUUGGACCCUACGUCAAGAAACAAAGCAGGAAGCCACGAGGUAGGGGGCGCGCCCUCCACCCUCGUGGGCCCCAUGUUGCUAAGCCGACGUACUCCUUCCUCCUAUAUAUACCUACGUACCCCCAAACGAUCAGAUAUGGAGCCAAAAACCUAAUUCCACCGCCGCAACCUUCUGUACCCAUGAGAUCCCAUCUUGGGGCCUGUUCCGGAGCUCCGCCGGAGGGGGCAUCCAUCACGGAGGGCUUCUACAUCAACACCAUAGCCUCUCCGAUGAAGUGUGAGUAGUUUACCUCAGACCUUCGGGUCCAUAGUUAGUAGCUAGAUGGCUUUCUCUCUCUUUUUGGAUCUCAAUACAAUGUUCUCCCCCUCUCUCGUGGAGAUCUAUUUGAUGUAAUCUUCUUUUGCGGUGUGUUUGUUGAGAUCGAUGAAUUGUGGGUUUAUGAUCAAGUUUAUCUAUGAACAAUAUUUGAAUCUUCUCUGAAUUCUUUUAUGUAUGAUUGGUUAUCUUUGCAAGUCUCUUCGAAUUAUCAGUUUGGUUUGGCCUACUAGAUUGAUCUUUCUUGCAAUGGGAGAAGUGCUUAGCUUUGGGUUCAAUCUUGCGGUGUCCUUUCCCAGUGACAGUAGGGGCAGCAAGGCACGUAUAGUAUUGUUGCCAUCGAGGAUAACAAGAUGGUUUUUUUUAUCAUAUUGCAUGAAUUUAUCCCUCUACAUCAUGUCAUCUUGCUUAAGGCGUUACUCUGUUCUUAUGAACUUAAUACUCUAGAUGCAUGCUGGAUAGCGGUCGAUGUGUGGAGUAGUAGUAGUAGAUGCAGGCAGGAGUCGGUCUACUUGUCUCGGACGUGAUGCCUAUAUACAUGAUCAUACCUAGGUAUUCUCAUAACUAUGCUCAAUUCUGUCAAUUGCUCAACAGUAAUUUGUUCACCCACCGUAAAAUACUUGUGCUCUUGAGAGAAGCCACUAGUGAAACCUAUGGCCCCCGGGUCUAUCUUCAUCAUAUUGAUCUUCCAACACUUAGUUAUUUCCGUUGCUUUUUACUUUGCUUUUAUUUUACUUUGCAUCUUUAUCAUAAAAAUACCAAAAAUAUUAUCCUAUCAUAUCUAUCAGAUCUCACUCUCGUAAGUGACCGUGUAGGGAUUGACAACCCCUUAUCGCGUUGGUUGCGAGGAUUUAUUUGUUUUGUGUAGGUACGAGGGACUCGCGCGUAGCCUCCUACUGGAUUGAUACCUUGGUUCUCAAAAACUUAGGGAAAUACUUACGCUACUUUGCUGCAUCACCCUUUCCUCUUCAAGGGAAAACCAACGCAGUGCUCAAGAGGUAGCAAGAAGGAUUUCUGGCACCAUUGCCGGGGAGGUCUACGCAAAAGUCAACAUACCAAGUACCCAUGACAAACCCUUAUCUCCCGCAUUACAUUAUUUGCCAUUUGCCUCUCGUUUUCCUCUCCCCCACUUCACCUUUGCCUUUUCUUCGCCCUCCUUCGGUUCGAUCUUGUGUUACCAUGUGCCUUCUUUUUUCUUGCAUCUUCGCUUGCUAAAAGUUUAUGGAUCCUCAUCCCCUUGCUAAUAUUUUUAAGAGAUCCAAUUAUGAUGAACCAAUUUCUAGUGAUUUGAGCACUAGAUUAUCUUUAUGAGGUUUUGCUUGAAAUUCGUGAAUCUUAAAAUUGUGAUGAAGAAAUUUAUGAAGAGAUUCACGAUAGCUCCUUGAAUAAAAAGCAUGAUUGCAAUGAUUUCACUAUAAAUUCUCUUGAUGUAAAUUGUGCUAAUAAUAUGCAAAACCCUAAUCUUGGGGAUGCUAGUUUUGCUAUGUCUACUACUUGUUGCAAUGAUCAUGAUUGGGGUGAUUCUUCUUAUGAUCUUGAAAAUUUAUUUAAGCCCCAUGAUGAAUAUGAGAUUGAUAAUAUUGUUUGCAAUAAUAUUGAAAGUGGGUUUGGAAGAGUGUCAACUUUGAUCCCACAUAUUUGGAGAAUAUUCAAUCUUAUGAAAUGUUUGAUAAAAGUGGGUUUGGAGAGGUCAUGACUUUAGUUAAUGUUAAUCCCACUAUUUCGGAAGAGUGUCAACUUUGCAUGCAUGUGGAUCGUGUUGAAAAUAUUUUAUGUGAUAGCUAUUUUGUUGAAUUUGCUUAUGAUCCCACAUGUAAUUAUUAUGCGAGAGGAAAAUAUGGUCGUAGAAAUUUUCAUGAUAAUAAGUUACCUCUCGUUAUGUUGAGAUUGCUAUUGUUUCUUUCCGCUUCGCAUAUGCUAGUUUUUGCUUGCUAUGAUAAUUUGUUUGCCUAUAAGAUGCCUAUGCAUAGGAAGUAUGUUAGACUUGGAUGUGUUUGUUGCAUGUUUCAUGAUGCUCUCUUUGCGCUUCAAUUCUUGUCUUUGAUGUGAGCAUCGUUAAAAUUAUCAAUGCCUAGCUAGGGGCGUUAAACGAUAGCGCUUGUUGGGAGGCAAUCCAAUUUUAUUUUAUUUUUAUUUAUUUUUAUUUUUGCUUCUGUUAGGAAUAAAUAUUUGAUCUAGCCUCUGGUUAGAUGUGUUUUUAUGUUUUAAUUAUUGUUUGUGCCAAAUUAAACCUAUAGGAUCUUCUUGGGUGAUAGUUAUUUGAUCUUGCUGUAAUUUCCAGAAACUUUCUGUUCACGAAAACAAUUGUUAAAAAUCACCAGAACGUGAUAAAAUAUUGAUUCCAAUUGCUGCUGAUCACUAAAAAAUUGUCUAGGCCAUCCUAUGUUGGCUGAUUAUUUGGAGUUCCAGAAGUUUGCGUUAGUUACAGAUUACUACAGACUGUUCUGUUUUUGACAGAUUCUGUUUUUCGUGUGUUGUUUGCUUAUUUUGAUGAAUCUAUGGCUAGUAAAUAGUUUAUAAACCAUAGAGAAGUUGGAAUACAGUAGGUGUAACACCAAUAAAAAUAAAGAAUGAGUUCAUUACAGUACCUUGAAGUGGCCUUUUGUUUUCUUUCGCUAACGGAGCUCACGAGAUUUUCUGCUGAGUUUUGUGUUGUGAAGUUUUCAAGUUUUGGGUGAAAGAUUUGAUGGAUUAUGGAACAAGGAGUGGCAAGAGCCUAAGAUUGGGGAUUCCCAUGGCACCCCCAAGAUAAUCUAAGGACACCAAAAAGCCAAAGCUUGGGGAUGCCCCGGAAGACAUCCCCUCUUUCGUCUACUUCCAUCGGUAACUUUACUUGGAGCUAUAUUUUUAUUCACGACAUGAUAUGUGUUUUGCUUGGAGCGUCUUGUAUGAUUUGAGUCUUUGCUUUUUAGUUUACCACAAUUAUCCUUGCUGUACACACCUUUUGAGAGAGACACACAUGAUUCGGAAAUUAUUAGAAUACUCUAUGUGCUUCACUUAUAUCUUUUGAGUUAUAUAGUUUUUGCUCUAGUACUUCACUUAUAUCUUUUAGAGCACGGGGGUGGAUUUGUUUUAUAGAAACUAUUGAUCUCUCAUGCUUCACUUAGAUUAUUUUGAGAGUCUUAAAUAGCAUGAUAAUUUGCUUAAUUAAUCCUAAUAUGCUAGGUAUUCAAGAUUAGUAAAAAACUUUCUUAUGGGUGUUUUGAAUACUAAGAGAAGUUUGAUGCUUGAUGAUUGUUUUGAGACAUGGAGGUAGUGAUAUUAAAGUCGUGCUAGUUGAGUAGUUGUGAAUUUGAGAAAUACUUGUGUUGAAGUUUGCAAGUCCCGUAGCAUGCACGUAUGGUAAACGUUAUGUAACAAAUUUGAAACAUGAGGUGUUCUUUGAUUGUCUUCCUUAUGAGUGGCGGUCGGGGACGAGCGAUGGUCUUUUCCUACCAAUCUAUCCCCCUAGGAGCAUGCGCGUAAUGCUUGGUUUUUGAUGACUUGUAGAUUUUUGCAAUAAGUAUGUGAGUUCUUUAUGACUAAUGUUGAGUCCAUGGAUUAUACGCACUCUCACCUUUCCACCAUUGCUAGCCUCUUCGGUACCGUGCAUUGUCCUUUCUCACAUUGAGAGUUGGUGCAAACUUCGCCGGUGCAUCCAAACCCCGUGAUAUGAUACGCUCUUUCACACAUAAACCUCCUUAUAUCUUCCUCAAAACAGCCACCAUACCUACCUAUUAUGGCAUUUCCAUAGCCAUUCCAAGAUAUAUUUCCAUGCAACUUUCCACCAUCCAGUUUAUCAUGACACGUUCAUCAUUGUCAUAUUGCUUUGCAUGAUCAUGUAGUUGACAUAGUAUUCGUGGCAAAGCCACCGUUCAUAAUUCAUUCAUACAUGUCGCUCUUGGUUCAUUGCAUAUCCCGGUACACCGCCAGAGGCAUUCAUAUAGAGUCAUACUUUGUUCUAGUAUCGAGUUGUAAUCAUUGAGUUGUAAAUAAAUAAAAGUGUGAUGAUCAUCAUUUUCUAGAGCAUUGUCCCAAGUGAGAAAAAAUAAUAUAAAAAAGAGAGAGAAAGGCCAUAAAAAAAGAGAAGGCCCAAAAAAAUGAGAGAAAAAGAGAGAAGGGACAAUGUUACUAUACUUUUACCACACUUGUGCUUCAAAGUAGCACCAUAAUCUUCAUGAUAGAGAGUCUCUUGUUUUGUCACUUUCAUAUACUAGUGGGAAUUUUUCAUUAUAGAACUUGGCUUGUAUAUUCCAACAAUGGGCCUCCUCAAGUGCCCUAGGUCUUCAUGAGCAAGCAAGUUGGAUGCACACCCACUUAGUUUCUUUUGUUGAGCUUUCAUAUAUUUAUAGCUCUAGUGCAUCCGUUGCAUGACAAUCCCUACUCCUUGCAUUAACAUCAAUCGAUGGGCAUCUCCAUAGCUCAUUGAUUAGCCUCGUUGAUGUGAGACUUUCUCCUUUUUUGUCUUCUCCACAUAACCCCCAUCAUCAUAUUCUAUUCCACCCAUAGUGCUAUGUCCACGGCUCGCGCUCAUGUAUUGCGUGAAGGUUUAUAAGUUUGAGAUUACUAAAGUAUGAAACAAUCGCUUGGCUUGUCAUCGGGGUUGUGCAUGAUGAGAGCAUUCUUGUGUGACGAAGAUGGAGCAUGACUAAACUAUAUGAUUUUGUAGGGAUGAACUUUCUUUGGCCAUGUUAUUUUGAGAGGACAUAAUUGCUUAGUUAGUAUGCUUGAAGUAUUAUUAUUUUUAUGUCAAUAUGAACUUUUAUCUUGAAUCUUUCGGAUCUGAAUAUUCAUACCACAAUUAAGAAGAAUUACUUUCAAAUUAUGCCAAGUAGCACUCCGCAUCAAAAAUUCUGUUUUUAUCAUUUACCUACUCGAGGACGAGCAGGAAUUAAGCUUGGGGAUGCUUGAUACGUCUUCAACGUAUCUAUAAUUUUUGAUUGCUCCAUGCUAUAUUAUCUUCUAUUUUGGACAUUAUUGGGCUUUAUUAUUCACUUUUAUAUUAUUUUUGGGACUAACCUAUUAACCGGAGGCCCAGCCCAGAAUUGAUGUUUUCUUGCCUAUUUAAGAGUUUCACAGAAAAAGAAUAUCAAACGGAGUCCAAACGGAAUGAAACCUUCGGCGACGUGAUUUUCGGAAUGAACAUGAUCCAGGAGACUUGGACCCUACGUCAAGAAACAAAGCAGGAAGCCACGAGGUAGGGGGCGCGCCCUCCACCCUCGUGGGCCCCAUGUUGCUAAGCCGACGUACUCCUUCCUCCUAUAUAUACCUACGUACCCCCAAACGAUCAUAUAUGGAGCCAAAAACCUAAUUCCACCGCCGCAACCUUCUGUACCCAUGAGUUCCCAUCUUGGGGCCUGUUCCGGAGCUCCGCCGGAGGGGGCAUCCAUCACGGAGGGCUUCUACAUCAACACCAUAGCCUCUCUGAUGAAGUGUGAGUAGUUUACCUCAGACCUUCGAGUCCAUAGUUAGUAGCUAGAUGGCUUUCUCUCUCUUUUUGGAUCACAAUACAAUGUUCUCCCCCUCUCUCGUGGAGAUCUAUUCGAUGUAAUCUUCUUUUGCGGUGUGUUUGUUGAGACCGAUGAAUUGUGGGUUUAUGAUCAAGUUUAUCUAUGAACAAUAUUUGAAUCUUCUCUGAAUUCUUUUAUGUAUGAUUGGUUAUCUUUGCAAGACUCUUCGAAUUAUCAUUUUGGUUUGGCCUACUAGAUUGAUCUUUCUUGCAAUGGGAGAAGUGCUUAGCUUUGGGUUCAAUCUUGCGGUGUCCUUUCCCAGUGACAGUAGGGGCAGCAAGGCACGUAUAGUAUUGUUGCCAUCGAGGAUAACAAGAUGGGGUUUUUUAUCAUAUUGCAUGAAUUUAUCCCUCUACAUCAUGUCAUCUUGCUUAAGGCGUUACUCUGUUCUUAUGAACUUAAUACUCUAGAUGCAUGCUGGAUAGCGGUCGAUGUGUGGAGUAAUAGUAGUAGAUGCAGGCAGGAGUCGGUCUACUUGUCUCGGACGUGAUGCCUAUAUACAUGAUCAUACCUAGAUAUUCUCAUAACUAUGCUCAAUUCUGUCAAUUGCUCAACAGUAAUUUGUUCACCCACCGUAAAAUACUUAUGCUCUUGAGAGAAGCCACUAGUGAAACCUAUGGCCCCCGGGUCUAUCUUCAUCAUAUUAAUCUUCCAACACUUAGUUAUUUCCAUUGCUUUUUACUUUGAUUUUAUUUUACUUUGCAUCUUUAUCAUAAAAAUACCAAAAAUAUUAUCCUAUCAUAUCUAUCAGAUCUCACUCUCGUAAGUGACCGUGUAGGGAUUGACAACCCCUUAUCGCAUUGGUUGCGAGGAUUUAUUUGUUUUGUGUAGGUACGAGGGACUCGCGCGUAGCCUCCUACUGGAUUGAUACCUUGGUUCUCAAAAACUGAGGGAAAUACUUACGCUACUUUGCUGCAUCACCCUUUCCUCUUCAAGGGAAAACCAACGCAGUGCUCAAGAGGUAGCAGACUCCAGAUCAGCCCUCCCGAGAGGUUUUAGGGCUUGGCGGCGGCUCCGUUUUGUAAAACGCGAUGAAUCCUUCUCUCUGAUUUUUUCUCCCCAAACACGAAUAUAUGGAGUUGGAGUUGAGGUCGGUGGAGCGUUAGGGGGCCCACGAGGCAGGGGGCGCGCCCCCCACCCUCGUGGACAGGUGGAGGCCCCCCUGACGUGGAUUCUUCUUCCGGUAUUUUUAUUAUUUUCCAAAAAUAAGUUCCGUGGAGUUUCAGGUCAUUCUGAGAACUUUUGUUUCUGCACAUAAAUAACACCGUGGCAAUUCUGCUGAAAAGAGCGUCAGUCCAUGUUAGUUCCAUUCAAAUCAUGCAAGUUAGAGUCCAAAACAAGGGCAAAAGUGUUUGGAAAAGUAGAUACGACGGAGACGUAUCAACUCCCCCAAGCUUAAACCUUUGCUUGUCCUCAAGCAAUUCAGUUGAUAAACUGAAACUGAUAAAGAAAAACUUUUACAAACUCUGUUUGCUCUUGUUGUUGUAAAUAUGUAAAGCCAGCAUUCAAGUUUUCAGCAAAGAUUAUGACUAACCACAUUCACAAUAACACUUAGGUCUCAUGUUUACUCAUAUCAAUGGCAUAAUCAACUAGCGAGCAAUAAUAAUAAAUCUCGGAUGACAACACUUUCUCAAAACAAUCAUAAUAUGAUAUAACAGGAUGGUAUCUCGCUAGCCCUUUCUGAGACCGCAAAACAUAAAUGCAGAGCACCUUUAAAGAUCAAGGACUGACUAGACAUUGUAAUUCAUGGUAUAAGAGAUCCAGUCAUAGUCAUACCCAACAUAAAUUAAUAGUAAUGUAUGCAAAUGACAGCAGUGCUCUCCAGCUGGUGCUUUUAAUAAGAGGGUGAUGACUCAACAUAAAAGUAAAUAGAUAGGCCCUUCGCAGAGGGAAGCAGGGAUUUGUAGAGGUGCCAGAGCUCGGUUUUGAAGCAGAGAUAAAUAAUAUUUUGAGCGGCAUACUUUCAUUGUCAACAUAACAACCAAGAGAUGUCGAUAUCUUCCAUGCCACACACAUUAUAGGCGGUUCCCAAACAGAAUGGUAAAGUUUAUACUCCCCCUCCACAAACAAGCAUCAAUCCAUGGCUUGCUCGAAACAACGAGUGCCUCCAACUAACAACAGUCCCAGGGGAGUUUUGUUUGCAAUUAUUUUGAUUUAGUUUGCAUAAAACAUGGGACUGGGCAUCCCGAUGACCAGCCAUUUUCUCGUGAGUGAGGAGCGGAGUCCACUCCUCUUGAGAAUAACCCGCCUAGCAUGGAAGAUACGGACAGCCCUAGUUGAUACAUGAACUAUUCGAGCAUACAAAACAGAAUUUCAUUUGAAGGUUUAGAGUUUGGCACAUACAAAUUUACUUGGAACGGCAGGUAGGUACCGCAUAUAGGAAGGUAUAGUGGACUCAUAUGGAAUAACUUUGGGGUUUAAGGGAUUGGAUGCACAAGCAGUAUUCCCGCUUAGUACAAGUGAAGGCUAGCAAAAGACUGGGAAGCGACCAACUAGAGAGCGACAACAGUCAUGAACAUGCAUUAAAAUUAAUAAACAUUGAGUGCAAGCAUGAGUAGGAUAUAAUCCACCAUGAACAUAAAUGUAGUGAAGGCUAUGUUGAUUUGUUUCAACUACAUGUAUGAACAUGUGCCAAGUCGAGUCACUUAAUUCAUUCAAAGGAGGAUAGCACCCCAUCAUACCACAUCACAACCAUUUUAAUAGCAUGUUGGACGCAAGGUAAACCAUUAUAACUCAUAGCUAAUCAAGCAUGUCAUAAGCAACUAUGAUCUCUAAUUGUCAUUGCAAACAAGUUUAUUCAUAAUAGGCUGAGUCAGGAACGAUGAACUAAUCAUACUUACAAAAACAAGAGAGGUCGAGUUCAUACCAGCUUCUCUCAUCUCAAUCAGUCCAUCAUAUAUCGUCAUAAUUGCCUUUCACUUGCACGACCGAACGAUGUGAAAAUAAUAAGAGUGCACGUGCAUUGGACUAAGCUGGAAUCUGCGAGCAUUCAAUAAACAGGAGAAGACAAGGCAAUAUGGGCUCUUGGUUAAAUCAACAAUAAUGCAUAUAAGAGCCACUUCAACAAUUUAAUCGUGGUCUUCUCCUAUCGACCCCCAAAGAAAAGAAAAGAAAAUAAAACUAUUUACACGGGGAAGCUCCCAACAAGCAAAAGAAGAACAUGAAAUCUUUUUUGGUUUUCUUUUUAAUUAUUACUACUACAGCAAGAAAAGUAAACUAACUAAAAGCUACACUAUUUUUUUGUUUUUCUUAAGGUUUAUUAAACACACAAGAAGAAAGCAAGAAAAAGGAAAAUAAACUAGCAUGGAUAUUACAGUGAAAGAGUAUGAGCACCGACAUCUAGCAAUGAGUGUGUGAACAUGAAUGUAAUGUCGGUGAGAAAUACGUACUCCCCCAAGCUUAGGCUUUUGGCCUAAGUUGGUUUAUUUCCACGGGUGGCCUGGCGGAUAUCCAUAGUUGUAGUUGGGGUCGUACUGAGAUGCAGCGGUCAUUGCAUCGUGUGCUGCAGCUUGGAGGCGAUCUAUCUCAGCCCUCCUCCUAUACUCCUCCGCCUCCUCUCUGGUUAUGUAAUGUCUCCAUUUUUCCUGAAAGUCAAAGAGAGUAGGGGCAGGAAGAACAAUAUUGACGGCAUGACGCCUGUCAAAGAUUAGUCUAUACUGGAGAGGUGGUUCAUUCCUCUCGACAACCUGAUGAUGAACCAUAGCAUUAAAGUCUAGAUAAGUAGGAGGCAGUUCAAUAUCAUCAUCACGUAUGGUUACACCAAGAAAAUCAGCUAAGCGGGUUGCAUAAAUUCCACCAAAGAAAUCUCCAUUAAAUCUAUUAUGAUGCAACCUACGUGCAAUAAUGGCUCCCAAGUUAUAAGAUUUAUCUCCUAACACAGCACUCCUAAGAAUACUGAGGUCAGGGACACACAUGUGACAUGCUUCAUCUUUACCAUUUAUGCACCUACCUAUGAAGAGAGCAAAAUAAUGUAAAGCAGGAAAAUGAAUGCUCCCUAUGGUAGCUUGUGUUAUGUCUCUAGAUUCCCCCACAGUUAUACUAGCAAGAAAUUCUCUAAAUUCAGAUUUGUGAGGUUCACUAGUACUACCCCAUUGUGGAAGUUUGCAAGCAUUGGUAAAAUCCUCUAAGUCCAUAGUGUAAGAUUUUUCAUAGAGAUCAAACAGGAUAGUUUGAGAAUUGCGUGAAGAUGAAAAUUCAAACCUCCUCACAAAGGAACUAGUGAGAUAGUGGUACUGGCGGCACUUUUCUCCCUCGAAGCUCACAAGAUCAGCGUUACGCAAAUAUACGUUAAAUUCUUCCUUGAUUCCCGCUCGAUCCAUAAAGCCUUCUGAAGGCCAUUCACAAGGCCGCACUGGAGCGUUCCUUGGUGGCUCAUCAUUGGCAUCGUGCAUUGCGAGCCUCGGUCCUUGCUUCCUUGAAGGACCACCUUGGUAUAUUUUCCUAAGCAUAUUUCUUCCUUUGAAAAAUUUCUGAAGUUUUUAGUAACUUCAAAUAAAAGUGAACCAAGCUCAACAAAAGUGAUAGCAACUACUCCUACAAGUGCCUAGAGACUAUAUCAAGCAUUAGAACUACUUGGAACCAUAUAAAUUUGACAUGCAAGCUCAAGAACAUGGUCACCUAGGUAGGACAAUUUUGCAAUGAAUAAAGCACUAGAACAAAAACUAAUUGGACCAAUGGAGGAGUCACAUACCAAGGAACAAUCUCCCCAAGCAGUUUUGUGAGAGGUGCUUUGAGCAAGGAGAUCGAAAAUCGCAGCAAAAUGAGCUAGAACUCGUGCUUGAGCUAGAUGGUGAUUUUUUUGGGAGGAAGAAGAAGUGUGUGGGUGCAUGAAUAAGUGGAGGGGAGCCACCGUGGGCCCACGAGGCAGGGGGGCGCGCCCUGUAGGGGUGGGCGUGCCCUGGACCCUCGUGGCCAGGUGCUUGCUCCCCCUGCUAUGUUCUCAGUGCCAGAUAUUCUCAAAUAUUCCAGAAAAAAUCAUAUUCCAAUUUCAGGGCAUUUGGAGAACUUUUAUUUUCGGGGUAUUUUUAUAUUGCACGGAUAAUUCAAAAAACUGACAGGAAAAUACUAUUUUUGCUUUAUUUCAACUAAAUAACAGAAGGUAAAAGGAGGGUACAGAAGGUUGUGCCUUCUAGUUUCAUCCAUCUCAUGCUCAUCAAAAGGAAUCCACUAACAAGGUUGAUCAAGUCUUGUUAACAAACUCAUUCCGAAUAACAUGGAACCGGAGAAAUUUCGAAUAACACUAUGUUACCUCAACGGGGAUAUGCACAUCCCCAAUAAUAAGAACAUCAUAUCUCUUUUUGACAGUAGGAAGAGGAAAUUCAAAACCUCCAAAAAUAAUCGAUGGAAUUUUUCCAAUAGAGUUGAUACUGUGGACCUGAGUUUGUUUCCUCAGAAAGUGUACCGUAUGCUCAUUACCAUUAACAUGAAAAGUGACAUUGCCUUUGUUGCAAUCAAUAACAGCCCCUGCAGUGUUCGAAAAGGGUCUUCCAAGAAUAAUAGACAUACUAUCGUCCUCGGGAAUAUCAAGAAUAACAAAGUCUGUUAAAAUAGUAACGUUUGCAACCACAACAGGCACAUCCUCACAAAUACCGACAGGUAUAGCAGUUGAUUUAUCAGCCAUUUGCAAAGAUAUUUCAGUAGGUGUCAACUUAUUCAAGUCAAGUCUAUGAUAUAAAGAGAGAGGCAUAACACUAACACCGGCUCCAAGGUCACAUAAAGCAGUUUUAACAUAGUUUCUUUUAAUGGAGCAUGGUAUAGUUGGUACUCCUGGAUCUCCUAGUUUCUUAGGUAUUCCACCCUUAAAAGUGUAAUUAGCAAGCAUGGUGAAAAUUUCAGCUUCCGGUAUCUUUCUUUUAUUAGUGACAAUUUCUUUCAUAUACUUAGCAUAAGGAUUCAUUUUGAGCACAUCAGUUAAUCGCAUACGCAAAAAGAUAGGUCUAAUCAUUUCAGCAAAGCGCUCAAAAUCCUCAUCAUCCUUUUUCUUGGAUGGUUUAGGAGGAAAAGGCAUGGGUUUCUGAACCCAAGGUUCUCUUUCCUUACCGUGCUUCCUAGCAACAAAGUCUCUCUUAUCAUAACGUUGAUUCUUUGAUUGUGGGUUAUCAAGAUCAACAGCAGGCUCAAUUUCUAUAUCAUUAUCAUUACUAGGUUGAGCAUCAUCAUGGACAUCUUCAUUAACAUUAUCACUAGGCGCAUGUCCAUUACCGGAUUGUGUUUCAGCAUCGGAAAUAGAAAUAUCAUUAGGAUUCUCAGGUGGUUCAGCAAUAGGUUCACUAGAAGCAUGCAAAGUCCUAUCGUUUUUCUUUUUCUUCUUCUUAGAAGGACUAGGUGCAUCUACAUUAUUUCUCUGAGAAUCUUGCUCAAUUCUCUUAGGAUGGCCUUCAGGAUACAAAGGUUCCUGAGUCAUUUUACCGGUUCUAGUAGCCACUCUAACAGCAUAGUCAUUAUUCUUACUAUUCAAUUCAUUGAGCAAAUCAUUCUGAGCUUUAAGUACUUGUUCUACUUGAGUGGUGACCAUAGAAGCAUGUUUACUAAUGAGUUUAAGUUCACCUUUAACUCUAGACAUAUAAUCACUCAAGUGUUCAAUCAUAUAAGCAUUUUGUUUUAAUUGUCUACCAAAAUAAGCAUUAAAAUUUUCUUGUUUGACAAUAAAAUUAUCAAACUCUUCUAAGCAUUGUCUAGCAGACUUAUAGUGAGGAAUAUCACCUUCAUCAAAUCUAUAGAGAGAAUUUACCUUUACUACCUGUGUCGGGUUAUCAAGACCAUGUGUUUCUUCAAUAGGUGAAGGAUUAAGAUCAUAUGUUUCUUCAACAGGCGGUAAAUUAAUACCAUGUAUUUCUUCAAUAGGAGGUAAAUUCUUAACAUCUUCAGCUUUAAUACCUUUUUCUUUCAUAGAUUUCUUUGCCUCUUGCAUAUCUUCAGGACUGAGAAAUAGAACUCCUCUUUUCUUUGGUGUUGGUUUAGGAAUAGGCUCAGGAGCUGGCUCAGGAAGUGUCCAACUAUUUUCAUUGGUCAACAUAUUAUUUAAUAGAAUUUCAGCUUCAUUCGGUGUUCUUUCCCUGAAAACAGAACCAGCACAACUAUCCAGGUAAUCUCUGGAAGCAUCGGUUAGUCCAUUAUAAAAGAUAUCAAGUAUUUCAUUUUUCUUCAGAGGAUGAUCAGGCAAAGCAUUAAGUAAUUGGAGAAGCGUCCCCCAAGCUUGUGGGAGACUCUCUUCUUCAAUUUGCAUAAAAUUAUAUAUAUCCCUUAAAGCAGCUUGUUUCUUAUGAGCAGGGAAAUAUUUAGCAGAGAAGUAAUAAAUCAUAUCCUGGGGACUACGCACACAACCAGGAUCAAGAGAAUUAAACCAUAUCUUAGCAUCACCCUUUAAUGAGAACGGAAAUAUUUUAAGGAUAUAAAAGUAACGAGCUCUCUCAUCAUUAGUGAAUAGGGUGGCUAUAUCAUUUAAUUUAGUAAGAUGUGCCACAACAGUUUCAGAUUCAUAGCCAUAGAAAGGAUCAGAUUCAACCAAAGCAAUUAUACCAGGAUCAACAGAGAAUUCAUAAUCCUUAUCAGUAACAAAGAUAGGUGAAGUAGCAAAAGCAGGGUCAGGUUUCAUUCUAGCAUUAAGAGAUUGCUGCUUCCAUUUAGCUAAUAACUUCUUAAGAUCACUUCUAUCAUUGCAAGCUAAAAUAGCUCUAGCAGAUUCUUCAUCCAGAACAUAACCCUCAAUCACAACAGGUAAUUCAUAUUUAUUAGGGGGAGAGUCUUCAUCAUCACUACCUUCAAUAUUAUCAGUUUCAAUAAUUUCAUUCUCUCGAAUACUAGCAAGUUGUUCAUCUAGAAAUUCACCAAGUGGCACAGUAUUAUCAAGCAUAGGAGUGGUUUCAUCAUAAGUAUCAUGCAUAACAGAAGUGGCAUCAUCAAUACCAUGCGACAUAUCAGAAUUAAUAGCAGAAGCAGGUUUAGGUGUCGCAAGCUUACUCAAAACAGAAGGUGAAUCAAGUGCAGAGCUAGAUGGCAGUUCCUUACCUCCCCUUGUAGUUGAGGGAUAAAUUUUUGUUUUCUCGUCUUUCAAGUUCUUCAUAGUGACCAGCAGAUAUAAAUCCCAAGUGACUCAAAGAACAGAGCUAUGCUCCCCGGCAACGGCGCCAGAAAAUAGUCUUGAUAACCCACAAGUAUAGGGGAUCGCAACAGUUUUCGAGGGUAGAGUAUUCAACCCAAAUUUAUUGAUUCGACACAAGGGAAGCCAAAGAAUAUUCUCAAGUAUUAGCAGGGGAGCCAAAGAAUAUAGCUAUGCUCCCCGGCAACGGUGCCAGGAAAUAGUCUUGAUAACCCACAAGUAUAGGGGAUCACAACAGUUUUCGAGGGUAGAGUAUUCAACCCAAAUUUAUUGAUUCGACACAAGGGGAGCCAAAGAAUAUUCUCAAGUAUUAGCAGUUGAGUUGUCAAUUCAACCACACCUGGAUAAUUUAGUAUCUGCAGCAAACUAUUUAGUAGCAAAGUAAUAUGGAAAUAAACGGUAUCGGUAGCAAAAGUAAUAUUUUUUGGGUUUUGUAGUGAUUGUAACAGUAGCAACGAAAAAGUAAAUAAGCGAAGAACAAUAUGUGAAAAGCUCGUAGGCAUUGGAUCGGUGAUGGAGAAUUAUGCCGGAUGCGGUUCAUCAUGUAACAGUCAUAACAUAGGGUGACACAGAACUAGCUCCAAUUCAUCAAUGUAAUGUAGGCAUGUAUUCCGAAUAUAGUCAUACGUGCUUACGGAAAAGAACUUGCAUGACAUCUUUUGUCCUACCCUCCCGUGGCAGCGGGGUCCUAAUGGAAACUAAGGGAUAUUAAGGCCUCCUUUUAAUAGAGUACCGGACCAAAGCAUUAACACAUAGUGAAUACAUGAACUCCUCAAACUACGGUCAUCACCGGGAGUGGUCCCGAUUAUUGUCACUUCGGGGUUGCCGGAUCAUAACACAUAGUAGGUGACUAUAGACUUGCAAGAUAGGAUCAAGAACUCACAUAUAUUCAUGAAAACAUAAUAGGUUCAGAUUUGAAAUCAUGGCACUCGGGCCCUAGUGACAAGCAUUAAGCAUAGCAAAGUCAUAGCAACAUCAAUCUCAGAACAUAGUGGAUACUAGGGAUCAAACCCUAACAAAACUAACUCGAUUACAUGAUAAAUCUCAUCCAACCCAUCACCGUCAAGCAAGCCUACGAUGGAAUUACUCACGCACGGCGGUGAGCAUCAUGAAAUUGGUGAUGGAGGAUGGUUGAUGAAGACGACGGCGACGGAUUCCCCUCUCCGGAGCCCCUAACGGACUCCAGAUCAGCCCUCCCGAGAGGUUUUAGGGCUUGGCGGCGGCUCCGUAUCGUAAAACGUGAUGAAUCCUUCUCUCUGAUUUUUUUCUCCCCGAACACGAAUAUAUGGAGUUGGAGUUGAGGUCGGUGGAGCGUCAGGGGGCCCACGAGGCAGGGGGGCGCGCCCAGGGGGGGCAGGCGCGCCCCCACCCUCGUGGACAGGUGGAGGCCCCCCUGACGUGGAUUUUUCUUCCAGUAUUUCUAUUAUUUUCCAAAAAUAAGUUCCGUGGAGUUUCAGGUUAUUCCGAGAACUUUUGUUUUUGCACAUAAAUAACACCAUGGCAAUUCUGCUAAAAACAGCGUCAGUCCGGGUUAGUUCCAUUCAAAUCAUACAAGUUAGAGUCCAAAACAAGGGCAAAAGUGUUUGGAAAAGUAGAUACGACGGAGACGUAUCACGGAAGAAAACCCGUGCCUCUCGUGAAAUGAAAAAAAGAACAGAAAAUGCGUUUUUUUCGUUUUUGAGAUGCACGGUCGUGCCUCUCGUGAAAGCGCAACCGUGCCUCUCGCGGAAGCAAAACCGUGCCUCUCUCGGAAGAAAAAAAAUAGAGAAUGUGUUUUUUUUCAUUUCCGAGAGGCACGGCCGUGCCUCUCCCGAAAGGAAAAAAAAACAGAAAACACGUUUUUUUUCCGUUUCCGAGAGUCAUGGUCGUGACUUUCAUGAAAGCAAAACCAUGCCUCUCGCGGAAGCAAAACAGUGACUCUCGCGAAAUAAAAAAACGCGUUUUUUUUGCGCAAUUUGUUUUCCAAAAAUAAUUUUUUGCUCCAAAAGUUAAGGAAGACCGAUGGAAAAUCGAAACAUCAAAAAAACUCAGAAGAAAAACGUUUAAAAAGCUGAAAACGCCGGUGGUUAGAGCAACUCUCCGGGCCCCGUUUUUCCGGGACGCUCCAAAAAAUCGGCAAGACAACCAAGUCCGCUAAAAACGGCCCGGCCCGUCAAACGUUUACGAGAGGCCCGUAAACUUGCCCCGGAAUCCUUGAUAUACACUAGCGCCGGGUCGUUCUACGGUCCCGUUCUCCUUUUUCUUUUAUCUUCCUUCACCGCAUUUCAUCUUCUCCAGUGACCAAUCGUCCUCCCUCCAGCGUAUUUUCCGGCGAGCGUAGCCAUCAAAGCCAUAUGCAUGGCAUCGUCUCUGGGGUGUUCUUUCUGGCGAGGUCCCCUGUUCUUCAUGUCCAAUUCCUCGUGUGGCUCCUACUUCGCCGAUGCCAUCAGUUCUUGCUGUGGAUGCUAAUCAGGUUGCGAAGGAUCCAGCUAAGCUUGCUGAUGAGAUUGUCGUUUGUGCUUAUGAUCAGUAGGUUCUGGCUUAUGAGGAGGCUCUUCACACUUAUCAUGAGGCUCUGUCUGCUUACACUCAUUGGCUUGAUGAUAAUGCUCGUGUUGUUAUUGUUGUUCUCACUUGUAUUGUUCUGUUUCAGUAUUUCUCUGAGUUCCUAGGCCUCCCUAUCGUAUUUGAGAUGUGGACCCGUCUUUGUUAGUGCUAUCAGCCCUCUGGUGAUGCCUUAUACCUAUUUGUGCUCCGCCAUGAGGAUGCCAAGGUGACUCCAGUGUUGAUGAUUUCUAUGCACAUAGUUCUGCUAUCCGACGUCAAGUUGAUUCUCUCCGCACUACUGGUUGUCGUACUUGCCAGUCUUCCAGGUUGUUCGUGUUGGUUUGGAGUUUCAUCGUGUCUACGAGUUCCUAUCUCGGCUUCGCAAGGAAUUUGAGACCUAACGCGCUCAUUGCGUGUGGCCUUAUUUCCCUCGUGGUUGCGCUUUCUGAGAUUCGUGCUAAGGAGACUCGCUUGCGUGGCCCUGGUUUACUUGAGGUUCCCUCUGUGCUCACUGCUCGAGCUCAUGCUAUGUCGCCUGCUGCACCGCUUCGACUCUUUCCCGCUGCAGUGCUCUGCUGCUCUUGCCCACUCCCAUUGACGGUCAAGACUGCUCUCACCCUCAUUAUGGCUACUGCGACCAGGAUGGUCAUCUUGACUCUCUGUGCUUCCUUAAGAAGCGCCACAUGCGUAAGGAGUGGGCAUCAUCUUCAGGGACUCGUGCUUCUACAACGACACCUUUAGCCACCACGUUGACUGAGCAAGAUAUUCUGAGACUUAAGCAUCUAUUUGCCGCUUCGGAUUCUUCUUCGUCGGGUACUGCAGGUUUUGUGACUGAUACUUCCCGCACUGAGCGACCCCCCUCUACAUAAUCAAGUACACUCCUAGUCCAAAACACCAUCAAACGGUAACAAGGAUCUCACGGCAGCCAGAUAAGAUUUCCCUUUAUUAUUGCAAACAAGUUUUUUUUUCCUUUGAGGCUUUGAUAGUUUUUUUUUAUGAACUCGUUUCCCUUUUUUUAAGACAAUGAACUCGUUUCCUUUGAGAGCUCUACUCCUUUUUCUUGACAGUUUUGGGAGCUACUCCUGUUUUUUAGCAACUUUUGAGAGCUGCUCCUAUUUCAAACAAGUUGUCCACCAAAACACUUUUAUUUUAGGCAAAACACUUUAAGGGCGGGCCGAGAACAAUUACAUGGGCCGAAGUAACAGGAACUUUCCAGCAGUGGCAUGACAAAUGAAUAUGGUGAUGUUUCCAUUGGGAAGUCCCAGGGACGCUUGUUUGCUUGGCAUAUAAAGGAUGAAGGUGAUUAUCAACUCUCUAUUUGGGUUCUUGAAAAUUAUGACAGCGGAAAGUGGACCCUAAAGUGUACUGUCAGCUGUUCCAAACUGUUUGGAAGGGAUUGUCGCAAAAAUUACGAGUCCUACUCGAUGUUCGCAAUUCAUCCAGAAUGUAAUCUGAUUUUUCUUACUGACAAUAAGGAGAAGACAUUGUCAUAUGAUAUGGAUAAUCAGGAAGUGCAUAUUAUCUGUGCUACUGGAGAUUUCUUGGAAGGUCUACCUUACACUCCCUCUUUUGUGGAAUGGACAUCAGACGGUCACUAAAGGCUUGCAAUACUUGGCAUGGCUCUAGUAUCUUAGUAAACAUCAGUUGUCGGGUAUUUCCCAAUUCUUGAAGAUGUGCGUUGGAUUAGUCUUAUGUAGCCAUGAAGAAUUUGUAACUGCCCUAUUUGCUUUCAUGUAAUAAUUGUUGAUGUCACUCUUUUAGCUUCUUGUAUAGGGACAAAUGUGAGACAAAAAUAUUAUCUAUCUUUGAAAUGUUUAUUUUCCUACAAAUAUAUCUUUAGUAUGCAACUCUCUAUCCACCAACCUUGAAUAUUGAUUUGCCCUGCUUUUAUGCAUUAGGAAGAUUUAUUUGUUAUGUCCUUCUGGAUUGGCUUUUCUAUGUAUGUUACAGCAUAUACAAGGGUGUAAAGAAGGCUUAGUUUCCUUUCAAGUAUGAAACUUGCAUGGUCUUCGAUUGAUGAUAUCAAACAAUCUGCAGCUUUAUAAAUCUACUAGAGAACUUAGUUCACUAAGUCGGUAUGUUUGUAGUUGAUACCGAGGUAGUAGCCAGCUUAUCAUUCUAACUCAUGCACACCUCUAGUGUGUUUUUAAUUCUUGUUUGGAUUGAGCUGUGUCCAUAAACCAUUUUAUUUUUGUUCAUUAACUCUGGUUAGACUUUUAUUUGAAUUCUCUGGAUCAACAAUGGGGCAUUGAGAAUCUUGACUAUGAUGGAUGUCUUCAAAGCCCCAGGCUAAACAGUCCCGGAUAUUACGGCCUCGGAGAGAACCAAAUCGAUUCAGGUGAAUAAUCAUCAAGAUAACCUGCUGAAGAUGAUUAACCAGAAGUUUUGUGAUCACUCUUAGGCAUCAGUUGAGCAAACUGCUGGGCUGGUAAUCUUUAGCUGUCUUAGGUGAGGCAUCAUUUUUUUAAUCAAAGUAGCCCGUAUUGAUGCUCUCGAGAUUUAUUUCACCAGUGCACAAAUCUGAGCACUCCUCUUUGACAGUGUCCCAACAUGUUUUCGUGGCUAAUAAGAUCUGGCAAGCAAAGGCGGAGCCGAACUACAAACUUUUUGCUUGGCUCAUCCUCCAUAAGAGGGCUUUGAUGACAGACCGCUUGACGGAGGGAGGUUUUGGCCCCAUGAUCAAGCUUGCAAGCUUUGCGACAUGGAUUUGAAGACAAAUGAUCACAUUUGCACAAGGCUGCAUGUUCUCUCGGUGUUAAAGGAUUGACGGUUCCUUUCUUUUUUUGUAACCGUGAAUUGGCCUAGGGGGCAUCGUCGCCGGGGACAGGCUUUGAGGGUUCUUCCAUUCCUAUUUAAUUGGUUUAACCAGAAACAGAGGAUAGGAUUCGAAAAGUCAACCGGAGCCGCGUACUAUGAUUGCUUUCUUCUUGCUGUCAAAUCCCAGUCUAUCUUUCACUGAGCUUCCUUCGCUUGGAAUUCGAAGUCCAAAAAAAAGAAAGAAAGCGUACUGUGAGGUAUGAAUGAUCAAAUGUCUACGGGUGUCAUUGAAUAUCAUGGGUGUCGUGGACCGGAAGGACCUCCAAAUGGACAAUUCGACGGUGAACCUGAGGGUUCGUUUGGAGCACAUGUUUUGUGGAGUACUCCCUCCAUAAAGAAAUAUAAGAUCGUUAAGAUCACUAAAAGUAGUGAUCUUAACGAUCUUAUAUUUCUUUACGGAGGGAGUAAUAUUGAAAGGUAGGAAUUUCAUGACUUGAGUGUCCAAAAACGUCUUAUAUAGUAAGUUACAGAGGGAGUAUUUGCCACUCCCAACAUGUAGCUUUGCACAAUUGCCAUUUUUCACAUUAGCUUUGCGGAUUUGCCACUUUGUUUGUUGACUCCUUAAUUAGUACUCCCUCCAUUUUCAGUCUGUAUGUUAAGCCAUAUUGAAAUGUCCAAAACAUCUUAUGUAGUUAUAUUUGUGAACGGAGGGAGUGUUUCAUUAGCACUUGCUAAAUCCACCAUUUCCUUUUUCCUUUUCGAUUCAUUGGCUGGUGAAAGGGCCGCUUUUCUCGGGUGGUGGCCGUCGCAGCUCCCUACUCAUCCGGCCGGCUCACAGCUCAGACUAGUAGGAAAAGGGGCUUUUACCCCGGUUUGUAAGGGCCUUUUGUUCCGGUUUUUGAACCGGGACUAAAGGGUCGUUACUAAAGCCCUAACCCUUUAGUCCCGGUUCUUACACGAACCGGGACAGAAGGUCCUCCACGUGGCUGCUGCUGCCAGCCCAGGCAGGGGGGCCUUUGGUCCCGGUUGGUGCCACCAACCGGGACCAAUAGGCAGGGCCUUUUGUCCCGGUUGGUGUCACCAACCGGGACCAAUAGGCAUCCACGCGUCAGCAGCUGGCAGGAGCUGAGGUUUUUGUUUUUUUAAAGGGGGUGGUUUAGGGGUUUUGGGGGUUAAUUUAGGUGUUUCAUAUAUUGUGUUAGCUAGCUAAUUAAUAGAGAGAAGUGUCCUCUCUUAUCUCCGUGCUUGGUCGACGCUACGUACUAUAUACGUAUGGAGAGGACUAGACACGCUAGCUACUAAUCAAAUGAAGGAAACAGAAGAUCGUCAUGAACAUAUGCAUACAGAGAGAAGUGAUAUCGACCACCUCUCCUUCUCCGAGAGAUUGGUCGAACAACAAGUUCUCGUAUAUCUAUCCGACACUACCGGCUACAUAUAUACAAUAAUUAUCUCUUACAAUACAAUCUCCUAAUUAAAUUGUAGGAAUACAGGGUCCACAUAGUAUUCUCCGUUUUCAGCGAUCACGUGGUCAAGGAAGAAUGCCGCCAAUUCCUCUUGAAUUCCUCGCAUACGAUCUGGUGCUAGGAGUUCAUCCCGCUUCCGAAACAUCUAAUUUGAAGAAGGGGGUCAAUACAUAUAUAUAUGAAUAAAUGAAACUCAACACAAAUGAUGGUAAUAAAAUAAAAUUGUGAAUAUUAUUGCUUACGCACUUCAUAUUGUUCUUCAGUGUAGCCCCGCUCACAGGUCGUGUAGUGGAUGGACUCGCAAACGUAGUAUCCACAGUAAUUAUUCCCGGGUUCCUGCCACAACCACUUUACAAGAAAUAGAGGUCAAUCAAACUGAUAAGCAAGCAUGAUAAAUGGUAUUGAUGAAACUAGCGCUUGAAUCACUAGGAGAUGCGCGGAACAUGCUACUAUAGUACUUACUUUCGGGUGUUUAAAUUGCAGCUUCUUCGGCAGUCCCGGAGCUUUUGUGGUGAAUUUUCUCCAAACCCUGCCAGACAAAGAAAACAAUUACUUGAUAUCAGGAAAUGAACAAAGUUGCUGAUAUGGUGGAUAAUGAUCGAUUUAACUUACUUCUCGAGCAUUUGAGUCAUGUUCGCAUAGUCCUGGGGAUCUUUUUGUCUCGAGUCUUAAUCUCUAGGAGAAUAUAGUGGAAGCUGCGCAUGCAUGCAUAAGUCAUCAAUUACAUUACCAUAACCUGGACUAAUAAGGGAAACCGAAUAUGCACAAGACAGUAACACUCACUUGAAGUUGUAAGGAAAGAGUAUUAUAUCUUUGUUUUGAUUUAAUACCAACGAUUGUAGCAAGUUGGCCUCGGCUUCUUUGGGAUGUUUUUCAACCGUAUAUGCAUCUAUGAGAUUUGUGUUAAUGAACCCAAUAUCACCGAUUUGUCUUUUCUUCAAUUCGGCGAUCUUCAAUCUGCAUAAUAUAGUGAGGAUAAUUAUAAAUACAUGCAAUGAAAGAGUUGACCUAUAUAGAGAGACUUAAUGACAGAAGUAGUACUACUUACAGACAGUAGCAAGUGAUCGUUGUUUUAUCGAGGGCCUUUUGAUUGUAAAACUGGAAGAAAUCCUCAAAUGGAACAUUCAGCGGUUCAAUUCCAACAAGGUCAUGCUCCGGUUUAACUCUCAGCGUCAAAGUACUCGUCCCAUCAGACUCUCUGCAGGUUUUCAUGUACCAAUCAUGUAAUCUUCGCAUCAUCGUUGUUAGAGAUCUUUCAUCUUUGACGAGAGGCUUCCCGUAAUGGUAUUUGUGUUCGUCCACCUCCAUGAUUUCAUAAUGUACAUCGUCGGGCAGGUAAUCUCCAAGAUUGCUAUAACCGAGCACCAUCCUCGGAUCAUUAGCGACGAUGUCUUUUGACACCUUGAGCGGGGGCCACGAUUGGUUCACUUGUUCGCCGAGCUGGGCAAUUUUUUUCCCAACUCGUCGUUCUUUUAACCUUUGAUCACUGACAGUACUUCCCGACCGCUCCGCUUCGGCAUAUGUCUUUGCAAGAAUGCGCUCAUAGUUGCCUCUCGGCGGAGACUUUGGUGGUUUUGUUAGGGCAGCCAGAGUGCGCUUUGCUUUCACCGGAUCUACCUUCUCCUCCGGAGGUGGAUGUUUCUUUGCUUUCACCCCUUCAAAGAAGUUUGUCACUUCGGCUCGCACGAUCUUCCUGGUGUCCUCCUCGGUCCUCUCGUAUGGUAACUUCUCUGGAGUCUUCAGAGAAGGACCGAAUUUGUAUUGCCUCCCGCCUCUGGCAGCUGUACUGCUAGAUGCCGGCAGAGCAGACGGAGCGGCUGCGGCUGUCUUCUUUCCUUGCUUACGAGGCGGAGGAGAAGGACUAUGACGCGCCGGAGCAGCCGCAGCGGCGGCGGGUCUCUUCCGCCCUUGCUGACGAGGCGGAGAAGGAGGCGGAGUGCCGCCACGCGCCGGAGAAGGAGGCUGAGUGCCCUGAUCACUCGCCGGAGGAGGAGGCGGAGGAGGAGGAGGCAGAGUGCCCUUACUCGCCGGAGCCGUCCAGUUCGGAAGUUUGAUGAGCUCCUUCGGCCAUAGGCAUGGAGUCUUCAGAGCAGAACCCAGCCGAGUCUCCCCUUCACCGGUAGGGUGGUCAAGCUGGAGCUCCUCAAAUCCCUCCGUUAUUUCAUCCACCGUCACCCUAGGAUAUCCUUCUGGAAUCGGCCGGCAAUGGUAGGUUGCGCCUGGUUCAGGAGGUAAAACAGAGCCAACAGCCGCCUUGACUUUGAAGUUCUGCCAUUCCGCCAUAAGGUGGCAAUGUUGAGACUCCGUGAUAGCAUCCACGGGGUAGCUAGCAGGAGCCGCAUGCUCCAGCUGAAGCAGCUCGGUGGAAGCCACGCUGCUUCUCCGCGGAGAUGGCGGUGUAGCUUCGGGGGCAGUUUCGGCAUGUCGAUUGCCGUCUCGUUCCUCUAGCGCUUGAACCCUUUCGUGCAGCUUAUGAAUUUGGAUCUGCUCCACUUUUUUCCUCCUCUCCUGGCUUUUGUAACCGCCCGCGUCCGGAAAACCAGCCUUCCACGGAACGGAGCCUGGCGUGCCUCGUGUCCGUCCAGGGUGCUCAGGAUUCCCGAGGGCCAUUGUGAGCUCGUCGUUCUCUCUGUCUGGAACAAACGUCCCUUCCUGCGCUGCAUCGAUAUAUUGCUGAAUCUUCUUGACUGGUAUUCUCAAAAGCUCGUUCGUCCAAACGCACCUCCCUGAUACAGGGUCCAAGGUUCCGCCAGCCCCGAAGAACCAAGUCCGGCAACGGUCUGUCCAGUUCAUUGUCUGUGGUUCGAUCCCUUUUUCAAGCAGAUCAUUCUCAGCCUUGGCCCACUUAGGUCGGGCUUUGAGGUAGCCACCUGACCCCGUGCGAUGGUGAAGCUUCUUCUUCGCAGCAUUCUUCUUGUUUGUCGCUGACAUCUUCUUACUCUUUUUCGAUGUCUUGUGGGCCACAAAUGCGGGCCAGUGAUCUCUGAUCUUCUCAUACCGGCUGAUGAAUUCUGGUGUCUCUUCUUUGUCGACAAACGAUUUCAGCUCAUUCUUCCACCUCCUGAAUAGGUCUGCCAUCUUCUUAAGAGCAUGAGACUUGAUUAAUUGCUCUUUAACUGGCUUCUCCGGAUCCUCCUCUGGCGGUAGGGUGAAAUUUGCCUUCAGCUCAAUCCAAAGAUCACCUUUCUGCAUAUCAUUGACAUAAGACACCUCAGGGUCUUCCUUCUUAGGCUUAUACCAUUGGUGGAUGCUGAUCAGGAUCUUGUCCCUAACUAGAACCCCACACUGAGCAGCAAAUGCAUCCUUUGUCCGGAUGGGUUCAAUCGGUUGGCCGUCGCGCGCGAUUGCUGUGAUCUCAAACCUUUCAUCCGAGCGCAACUUUCUCUUCGGGCCUCAUCUCUUUACCGCAAUUGUGCUCGAUCCGGAGGGCUAGAAAAAAGAAGAAAGACGAGUGUUAAUUAAUAUGUGUACAUACCAAAACAAUGAAUGCAUCAAUUAGCUAGUCAGCACAGGCUUAACUAAUAUAUUUACCUGGCCGGACUCUGUUCAGUCACCGGAGCCGUCACCACGGGCCCCUUCUUGCACCAGCAUUGGGUCACCGGAGCCAUCAUAAUCAUGUCUUUCCUCCUCCACUCUUCGAUCACCGUAGCCUGCUUCUUCACCCUGUUCUUCCAAACCAUCAUUGUCGUUAAGAUACGACAAUAUAUCACCUCCGGCUAAGAUUAUGUCCCCCAACACCUCUUCUGCUUGCUCGUCUCGUUCGUGCUCCAUUGUUUCUGCAAAUAUUACAACAUGGCAAUUAUUACACAAACAUGACAGCAGGUGGACAUAUUAGUGCAAACGUAGACCUAGCUUAUUCCGGGUUUGGGGUGGCCUCGGCAACGCUUCAAGGGUAGGGGCGCGGCGGGAGGGGGUAGGAGACCGACAUCUUUUUUUCUAGGGUUUGGGUGUCCUCGAGAGUUUUGGUCGAGCGAGAGGGCCGGGGGUGCUCCCGUGGUAUAAGUUAUCACGGUCGAGAGGGGGUAUAAAUAUCGACCAUCCAUCAUGUCGAAGUUAUCUGGGAGGGAGUUAUAUAUAUCGACGACGACGACAUACAUACAUGGGAAAAUAAUGUUAUCGAGGAGGGGGUAUAUCGACCCCCCCCCCACGUGUUGAAGUUAUCGGGAGGGGGUUAUAUCGACAACGACGACAUACGUACAUGGGAAAAUAAUAUUAUCGGGGAGGGGGUAUAUCAACCCCCCCUCGUGUUGAAGUUAGCGGGAGAGGGGUAUAUCGACGACGACAGACCCGAUAAAACAUAAGAAAAUGAAGAAGAAAUAAAAAGAGGAGAAGAAGAAAAGGAAUAGAGGAGAAGAUCGAAGAAAAAAAAGAAGAAAAAAAAGAGGAGAAGAAGAAAGGAAUAGAGGAGAGAAGAAGAAAAAAUAGAAUUUUUUCUAUUUUUUCUUCUUCUCUUCUAUUCAUUUCUUCUUCUCCUCUUCUUUUUCUUCUUUUUUCCUCUUCUUAUUUAUUUUUCCUCUUCUUCCUCUCCUCUUCUUCUCCUUUCUUCCUCUUCUUAUUUUCCUUUUUCCUCUCAUUCAUAAAAAAAUGUUCAAAUAGAAAAUUUCGAAACAGUAAAGGUUUUGCCUAAUGCAUUGUUCAUAUGAAUAUACAAACAUUUGCAUAUUCUACAAUAAUUAAUAUCACCAAAAAAAUCUAUGAACAGAAAAAAAUCCUAACUUUUCUAAAAAUCUAUCUUUUGCAUAUAUACAUGAACAUAUAUAUACACAGAGAACAUAUAUACAUACAUAUACUCAUACAUGAACAUAUCAUCAUAUAUAUGAACAUACAUUUUCUUUGCAUAUGCAUAUGAACAUACAUUUUCUUUGCAUAUGCAUAUGAACAUACAUACAUACAUUUUUCUUUCAUAUGAACAUACAUACAUACAUUUUCUUUGCAUAUGACCAUACAUACAUUUUUCUUUGCAUAUGACCAUUCAUACAUUUUCUUUGCAUAUGCUUUGCAUAUAAACAUACAUACAUAUGAACAUACAUACAUACAUAUAAACAUAACAUACAUACACAAAAAUUNNNNNNNNNNNNNNNNNNNNNNNNNNNNNNNNNNNNNNNNNNNNNNNNNNNNNNNNNNNNNNNNNNNNNNNNNNNNNNNNNNNNNNNNNNNNNNNNNNNNNNNNNNNNNNNNNNNNNNNNNNNNNNNNNNNNNNNNNNNNNNNNNNNNNNNNNNNNNNNNNNNNNNNNNNNNNNNNNNNNNNNNNNNNNNNNNNNNNNNNNNNNNNNNNNNNNNNNNNNNNNNNNNNNNNNNNNNNNNNNNNNNNNNNNNNNNNNNNNNNNNNNNNNNNNNNNNNNNNNNNNNNNNNNNNNNNNNNNNNNNNNNNNNNNNNNNNNNNNNNNNNNNNNNNNNNNNNNNNNNNNNNNNNNNNNNNNNNNNNNNNNNNNNNNNNNNNNNNNNNNNNNNNNNNNNNNNNNNNNNNNNNNNNNNNNNNNNNNNNNNNNNNNNNNNNNNNNNNNNNNNNNNNNNNNNNNNNNNNNNNNNNNNNNNNNNNNNNNNNNNNNNNNNNNNNNNNNNNNNNNNNNNNNNNNNNNNNNNNNNNNNNNNNNNNNNNNNNNNNNNNNNNNNNNNNNNNNNNNNNNNNNNNNNNNNNNNNNNNNNNNNNNNNNNNNNNNNNNNNNNNNNNNNNNNNNNNNNNNNNNNNNNNNNNNNNNNNNNNNNNNNNNNNNNNNNNNNNNNNNNNNNNNNNNNNNNNNNNNNNNNNNNNNNNNNNNNNNNNNNNNNNNNNNNNNNNNNNNNNNNNNNNNNNNNNNNNNNNNNNNNNNNNNNNNNNNNNNNNNNNNNNNNNNNNNNNNNNNNNNNNNNNNNNNNNNNNNNNNNNNNNNNNNNNNNNNNNNNNNNNNNNNNNNNNNNNNNNNNNNNNNNNNNNNNNNNNNNNNNNNNNNNNNNNNNNNNNNNNNNNNNNNNNNCACCAACCGGGACCAAAGGUCCCUUUUCAGCAGCCCAAAGGGCGGGAACCGGCGGCCUUUGGUCCCGGUUGGUGGCACCAACCGGGACUAAAGGGGGGGCAUUGGUCCCGGUUGGUGCCACGAACCGGGACCAAAGGGCCUUGCACAGCGGCGUGGUGGUGGGAGUUUAGUUCCACCUCACUAGCUGAGAGAGAGCCGCACCUGUUUAUAAGGUGCGGUGCGCCUGAGCUAUCGAGCUCCUCUCUAAAGCAGGCUUACGGGCCUAACCUCUCUAUACAUGCCUGUGGGCCUACUGGGCCUUCUGCGGGCCUGAAUCCUGGCCCAUGGAUGGGUUUCUAGUCGUAUUCAGGCCGUGGUGGCCCAGUAGGUGGCAUAAUUUUAUUUUUUGCCUGUUUUUUUGUUUUCUUUUUUGCUUUAUUUAUUUUGUUUUGUUUCUACUUACAACAAAAAACUUAUUUUUUUAUUUUUUUCUAAUUACUUAUUUAUUUUACUUUAUGAUAANNNNNNNNNNNNNNNNNNNNNNNNNNNNNNNNNNNNNNNNNNNNNNNNNNNNNNNNNNNNNNNNNNNNNNNNNNNNNNNNNNNNNNNNNNNNNNNNNNNNNNNNNUUUGUUUUGUUUCUACUUACAACAAAAAAUUUAUUUAUUUUAUUUUAUUUUGUUUCUAAUUACUUAUUUAUUUUACUUUAUGAUAAUUCUUUUUGCUAUUAAAGUUUCUAUCAAAAAAAGUUCUUUAUGAAAAUUCUUUUUGCUUUUAAUGUUUUUGAACAGAAAAUACUUCGAUAAUUUUAGUUGCAUCAAUUUUAUAUGAUUUUAGUUUCAAUAGUAAUAGAGGUUUCUUAUAAUGUUUUGAACAGGAAAUACUUUGUUAAUUUUAGUUUCAUAAAUUUUAUUAAAGUUUAUUUUAUUUUGUCGGAACACAAGAAGUCCGGAGUUGUAAUAAGUUAUUAAAAAUAAAAAAGAGGCGCAAUGCUCGUUGAUUUGCUUCAAGCCUUUCGGAAUAGUGUAGACUACACUGCACAUAGCUCCAUGCAGUCUACCUUAUUCCUCAAGGCUUGAAGCUAAGCAACGUGAGCAUUGCGCCUCUUCUUCAUCGUCUCUGCACUCAGGGCUUAUAAACCGCUCCUAGUGCCUCUCAGCUAGCGAGGUGGGACUAAAAAACUGCUUAGUAAGAAACUCUAGUACCGAUUCGUGCCACGAACAGGUACUAAAGGUGCUCGUGGGGCCACAGCCUCAUUAGUACCGGUUCGUGGCACCAACAGGGACCAAAGGGUGGAAUUGGUCCCAGUUCGUGCCACCAACCGGGACCAAUGGCCUUGCACAGCGGCGUGGUGGUGAGUUUAGUCCCACCUCGCUAGCUAAGAGAGAGCCGCACCUGUUUAUAAGGUGCGGUGCGCCUGAGCUGUCGAGCUCCUCUCUAAAGCAGGCUUACGGGCCUAACCUCUCUGUACAUGCCUGUGGGCCUACUGGGCCUUCUGCGGGCCUGAAUCCUGGCCCAUGGAUGGGUUUCUAAUCGUAUUCAGGCCCUGGUGGCCCAGUAGGUGGCAUAAUUUUUAAUUUUUGGCCUGUUAUUUUUCAUGCAUUUACUAAUUAUUUUGAGCUAUAAGACUUUAAAAUUGAAAAGCAUUUCAAAUGAACUCUGAAAAGGUUGAAAGUUGGCAUGGUAUCAUCAUUUCAUCCACAUAGCAUGUGCAAGAAAGUUGAGAGGGUUACGGCAAAAACUAUAUGCACUUCUUGUACAAAACGGACAAUGGUAUCAUACUCGUCUAUUACAAAGUUGGCAUGGUAUCAUCAUAAUAGUUGCGGGAGAAAGUCUUCACUUUUUCUUCGCUUGUGUCAUUUGCUUAUUGCGCCGUAACCAUGGAUAAUCUUCAUCGUUUAUCAGGAUGCUUGGGUCAGCCUUGACUUUGAAGGGAGGAAUUUCAUGAAACUUUUCAUAAUCUUCAGACAUGCCUGUCUUGCCCUCCACUCCCACAAUGUCCCUUUUUCCUGAAAGAACUAUGUGGCGCUUUGGCUCAUCGUAUGAUGUAUUCGCUUCCUUAUCUUUUCUUUUCCUCGGUCUGGUAGACAUGUCCUUCACAUAGAUAACCUGUGCCACAUCAUUGGCUAGGACGAACGGUUCGUCAGUGUACCCAAGAUUGUUCAGAUCCACUGUUGUCAUUCCGUACUGUGGGUCUACCUGUACCCCGCCUCCUGACAGAUUGACCCAUUUGCACUUAAACAAAGGGACCUUAAAAUCAUGUCCGUAGUCAAGUUCCCAUAUGUCCAUUAUGUAACCAUAAUAUGUGUCCUUUCCCCUCUCGGUUGCUGCAUCAAAGCGGACACCGCUGUUUUGGUUGGUGCUCUUUUGAUCUUGGGCGAUCGUGUAAAAUGUAUUCCCAUUUAUCUCGUAUCCUUUGUAAGUCAAUACAAUCGAAGAUGGUCCCCUGGACAACGAGUACAACUCAUCACAAACAGUGGUGUCACCUCUGAGACGUGUUUCCAACCAACUGCUGAAAGUCCUGAUGUGUUCACAUGUAAUCCAGUCGUCACACUGCUCCGGGUGUUUGGAGCGCAGACUGUUCUUGUGUUCAUCGACAUACGGGGUCACCAAGGUAGAGUUCUGUAGAACUGUGUAGUGUGCUUGAGACCAAGAAUGCCCGUCCCUGCAUAUUAUUGAGUCUGCUCCUAGCGUGCCUUUUCCAGUCAGUCUCCCCUCAUACCGCGAUUUAGGGAGACCUAUCUUCUUAAGGCCAGGAAUGAAGUCAACACAAAACCCAAUGACAUCCUCUGUUUGAUGGCCCAUGGAGAUGCUUCCUUCUGGCCUAGCGCGGUUACGGACAUAUUUCUUUAGGACUCCCAUGAACCUCUCAAAGGGGAACAUAUUAUGUAGAAAUACGGGCCCCAGAAUGACAAUCUCGUCGACUAGAUGAACUAGGACGUGCGUCAUGAUAUUGAAGAAGGAUGGUGGGAACACCAGCUCGAAACUGACAAGACAUUGCGCCACAUCACUCCUUAGCCUUGGUAUGAUUUCUGGAUCGAUCACCUUCUGAGAGAUUGCAUUGAGGAAUGCACAUAGCUUCACAAUGGCUAAUCGGACGUUUUCCGGUAGAAGCCCCCUCAAUGCAACCGGAAGCAGUUGCGUCAUAAUCACGUGGCAGUCAUGAGACUUUAGGUUCUGGAACUUUUUCUCUGGCAUAUUUAUUAUUCCCUUUAUAUUCGACGAGAAGCCAGUCGGGACCUUCAUACUGAGCAGGCAUUCAAAGAAGAUUUCUUUCUCUUCUUUCGUAAGAGCGUAGCUGGCAGGACCUUCAUACUUCUUCGGAGGCAUGCCGUCUUUUUCAUGCAAACGUUGCAGGUCCUCCCGUGCCUCAGGUGUACCUUUUGUCUUCCCAUACACGCCCAAGAAGCCUAGCAGGUUCACGCAAAGGUUCUUCGUCACGUGCAUCAUGUCGAUUGAAGAGCGGACCUCUAGCUCUUUCCAGUAGGGUAGGUCCCAAAAUAUAGAUUUCUUCUUCCACAUGGGUGCGUGUCCCUCAGCGUCAUUCGGAACAGCUAGUCCGCUGGGACCCUUUCCAAAGAUUACGUGUAAAUUAUUGACCAUAGCAAGUACGUGAUCACGGGUACGCAUGGCGGGUUUCUUCCGGUGAUCUGCCUCGCCUUUGAAAUGCUUGCCUUUCUUUCGACAUUGAUGGUUGGUCGGAAGAAAUCGACGAUGGCCCAGGUACACAUUCUUCCUGCUUUUGUCCAGGUAUAUACUUUCAGUGUCAUCUAAACAGUGCGUGCAUGCGUGGUAUCCCUUGUUUGUUUGUCCUGAAAGGUUACUGAGAGCGGGCCAAUCGUUGAUGGUUACAAACAGCAACGCGUGCAGGUUAAAUUCCUCCUGUUUGUGCUCAUCCCACGUACGUACACCGUUUCCAUUCCACAGUUGUAAAAGUUCUUCAACUAAUGGCCUUAGGUACACAUCAAUGUCGUUGCCGGGUUGCUUAGGGCCUUGGAUGAGAACUGGCAUCAUAAUGAACUUCCGCUUCAUGCACAUCCAAGGAGGAAGGUUAUACAUACAUAGAGUCACGGGCCAGGUGCUGUGAUUGCUGCGCUGCUCCCCGAAAGGAUUAAUGCCAUCCGCGCUUAAACCAAACCAUACGUUCCUUGGGUCAGCUGCAAACUCAGCCCAGUACUUUCACUCGAUUUUUCUCCACUGCGACCCGUCAGCGGGUGCUCUCAACUUCCCGUCUUUCUUACGGUCCUCACUGUGCCAUCGCAUCAACUUGGCAUGCUCUUCGUUUCUGAACAGACGUUUCAACCGUGGUAUUAUAGGAGCAUACCACAUCACCUUCGCAGGAACCCUCUUCCUGGGGGCUCGCCGUCAACAUCACCAGGGUCAUCUCGUCUGAUCUUAUACCGCAAUGCACCGCAUACCGGGCAUGCGUUCAGAUCCUUGUACGCACCACGGUAGAGGAUGCAGUCAUUAGGGCAUGCAUGUAUCUUCUGCACCUCCAAUCCUAGAGGGCAUACGACCUUCUUUGCUGCGUAUGUACUAUCGGGCAAUUCGUUAUCCUUUGGAAGCUUCUUCUUCAAUAUUUUCAAUAGCUUCUCAAAUCCUUUGUCAGGCACAGCAUUCUCUGCCUUCCAUUGCAGCAAUUCCAGUACGGUACCGAGCUUUGUGUUGCCAUCUUCGCAAUUGGAGUACAACCCUUUUUUGUGAUCCUCUAACUUUUGGAAAUAUGCCCUAGAGGCAAUAAUAAAAUGGUUAUUAUUAUAUUUCCUUGUUCAUGAUAAUUGUCUAUUGUUCAUGCUAUAAUUGUGUUAUUCGGAAAUCGUAAUACAUGUGUGAACACAUAGACCACAACCUGUCCCUAGUGAGCCUCUAGUUGACUAGCUCGUUGAUCAACAGAUAGUCAUGGUUUCCUGACUAUGGACAUUGGAUGUCAUUGAUAACGGGAUCACAUCAUUAGGAGAAUGAUGUGAUGGACAAGACCCAAUCCUAAGCAUAGCACAAAAGAUCGUGUAGUUCGUUUGCUAGAGCUUUUCCAGUGUCAAGUAUCAUUUCCUUAGACCAUGAGAUCGUGCAACUCCCGGAUACCGUAGGAGUGCUUUGGGUGUACCAAACGUCACAACGUAACUGGGUGACUAUAAAGGUGCACUACGGGUAUCUCCGAAAGUUUCUGUUGGGUUGGCACGGAUCGAGACAGGGAUUUGUCACUCCGUAUGACGGAGAGGUAUCUCUGGGUCCACUCGGUAAUGCAUCAUCAUGAUGAGCUCAAUGUGACUAAGGAGUUAGCCACGGGAUCAUGCAUUACGGUACGAGUAAAGUGACUUGCCGGUAACGAGAUUGAACAAGGUAUUGGGAUACCGACGAUCGAAUCUCGGGCAAGUAACGUACCGAUUGACAAAGGGAAUUGUAUACGGGAUUGAUUGAAUCCUCGACAUCGUGGUCCAUCCGAUGAGAUCAUCAUGGAACAUGUAGGAGCCAACAUGGGUAUCCAGAUCCCGCUAUUGGUUAUUUACCGGAGAGGCGUCUCGGUCAUGUCUGCAUGUCUCCCGAACCCGUAGGGUCUACACACUUAAGGUUCGGUGACGCUAGGGUUGUAGAGAUAUUAGUAUGUGAAACCCGAAAGUUGUUCGGAGUCCCGGAUGAGAUCCCGGACGUCACGAGGAGUUCCGGAAUGGUCCGGAGGUAAAGAAUUAUAUAUAGGAAGUCCAGUUUCGGCCACCGGGAAAGUUUCGGGGGUUAUCGGUAUUGUACCAGGACCACCGGAAGGGUCCCGGGGGUCCACCGGGUGGGGCCACCUGUCCCGGAGGGCCCCAUGGGCUGAAGUGGGAGGGUAACCAGCCCCUAGUGGGCUGGGGCGCCCCCCUUGGGCCCCCCCUGCGCCUAGGGUUGGAAACCCUAGGGGUGGGGGGCGCCCCACUUGGCUUGGGGGGCAAGCCACCCCCCUUGGCCGCCGCCCUCCCUCAGAUGGGAUCUCCAGGGGGCCGGCGCCCCCCCAGGACCCUAUAUAUAGUGGGGGGAGGGAGGGCAGCAGUACCCUAGCCCCUGGCGCCUCCCUCUCCCUCCCGUGACACCUCUCCCUCCCGCUUGCGCUUGGCGAAGCCCUGCCGGGAUCCCCGCAACUUCCACCACCACGCCGUCGUGCUGCUGGAUCUCCAUCAACCUCUCCUUCCCCCUUGCUGGAUCAAGAAGGAGGAGACGUCGCUGCUCCGUACGUGUGUUGAACGCGGAUAAGGUGCCGUCCGUUCGGCGCUCGGUCAUCUGUGAUUUGGAUCACGACGAGUACGACUCCAUCAACCCCGUUCACUUGAACGCUUCCGCUCACGAUCUACAAGGGUAUGUAGAUGCACUCCUUCCUUCUUGUUGCUAGUAAACUCCAUAGAUGGAUCUUGGUGAUGCGUAGAAAAUUUUAAAAUUCUGCAACGAUCCUCACAGUGGCAUCAUGAGCCAUGCCUAUGCGUAGUUACUAUGCACGAGUAGAACACAAAGUAGUUGUGGGCGUAGAUGUUGUCAAUUUUUCUUGCCACUACUAGUCUUAUCUUGUUUCGGCGGUAUUGUGGGAUGAAGCGGCCCGGACCGACCUUACACGUACGCUUACGUGAGACAGGUUCCACCGACUGACAUGCACUAGUUGCAUAAGGUGGCUAGCGGGUGUCUGUCUCUCCCACUUUAGUCGGAACGGAUUUGAUGAAAAGGGUCCUUAUGAAGGGUAAAUAGGAAUUGGCAUAUCACGUUGUGGUUUUACGUAGGUAAGAAACGUUCUUGCUAGAAACCUAUAGAAGCCACGUAAAAACUUGCAACAACAAUUAGAGGACGUCUAACUUGUUUUUGCACAUGUGCCUUGUGAUGUGAUAUGGCCAAAAGGAUGUGAUGAAUGAGAUAUAUGUGAUGUAUGAGAUUGAUCAUGUCCUUGUAAUAGGAAUCACGACUUGCAUGUCGAUGAGUAUGACAACCGGCAGGAGCCAUAGGAGUUGUCUUUAUUUUUUUGUAUGACCUGCGUGUCAUUGAAUAACGCCAUGUAAAUUACUUUACUUUAUUGCUAAACACGUUAGCCAUAGAAGUAGAAGUAAUCGUUGGUGUGACAACUUCAUGAAGACACGAUGAUGGAGAUCAAGGUGUCAUGCCGGUGACGACGAUGAUCAUGGCGCCCCGAAGAUGGAGAUCAAAGGAGCAAAAUGAUAUUGGCCAUAUCAUGUCACUAUUUGAUUGCAUGUGAUGUUUAUCAUGCUUUACAUCUUAUUUGCUUAGAACGACGGUAGUAAGUAAGAUGAUCCCUUAUAAUAAUUUCAAGAAAGUGUUCCCCCUAACUGUGCACUGUUGCGAAGGUUCGUUGUUUCGAAGCACCACGUGAUGAUCGGGUGUGAUAGAUUCUAACGUUCGCAUACAACGGGUGUUGAUGAGCCUAGCAUGUACAGACAUGGCAUCGGAACACACGCAAUACACUUAGGUUGACUUGACGAGCCUAGCAUGUAUAGACAUGGCCUCGGAACACGGAAGACCGAAAGGUCGAGCAUGAGUCGUAUAGAAGAUACGAUCAACAUGGAGAUGUUCACCGAUCUUGACUAGUCCGUCUCACGUGAUGAUCGGACACGGCCUAGUUGACUCGGAUCAUGUUUCACUUAGAUGACUAGAGGGAUGUCUAUCUGAGUGGGAGUUCAUUGAAUAAUUUGAUUAGAUGAACUUAAUUAUCAUGGACUUAGUCUAAAAUCUUUACAAUAUGUCUUGUAGAUCAAAUUGCCCACGUUGCCCUCAACUUCAACGUGUUCCUAGAGAAAACCAAGCUGAAAGAUGAUGGCAGCAACUAUACGGACUGGGUCCGGAACCUGAGGAUCAUCCUCAUAGCUGCCAAGAAAGAUUAUGUCCUAGAAGCACCGCUAGGUGAAGCACCCAUCCCAGAGAACCAAGACAUUAUGAACGCUUGGCAAUCACGUGCUGAUGAUUACUCCCUCGUUCAGUGCGGCAUGCUUUACGGCUUAGAACCGGGGCUCCAAAAGCGUUUUGAGAAACAUGGAGCAUAUGAGAUGUUCGAAGAGCUGAAAAUGGUUUUCCAAGCUCAUGCCCGGGUCGAGAGAUAUGAAGUCUCCGACAAGUUCUUCAGUUGUAAAAUGGAGGAAAAUAGUUCUGUCAGUGAGCACAUACUCAAAAUGUCUGGGUUACACAACCGCUUGUCUUAGCUGGGAGUUAAUCUCCCGGAUGACGCGGUCAUUGACAGAAUCCUUCAGUCGCUUCCACCAAGCUACAAGAGCUUUGUGAUGAACUUCAAUAUGCAGGGGAUGGAAAAGACCAUUCCUGAGGUAUAUUCAAUGCUGAAAUCAGCGGAGGUGGAGAUCAAAAAGGAACAUCAAGUGUUGAUGGUGAAUAAAACCACUAAGUUCAAGAAAGGCAAGGGUAAGAAGAACUUCAAGAAGGAUGGCAAGGGAGUUGCCGCGCCCGGUAAGCCAGUUGCCGGGAAGAAGUCAAAGAAUGGACCCAAGCCUGAGACUGAGUGCUUUUAUUGCAAGGGAAGUGGUCACUGGAAGAUGAACUGCCCCAAAUACUUAGCGGACAAGAAGGCCGGCAACACCAAAGGUAUAUGUGAUAUACAUGUAAUUGAUGUGUACCUUACCAGUACUCGUAGUAGCUCCUGGGAAUUUGAUACCGGUGCGGUUGCUCAUAUUUGUAACUCAAAACAGGAGCUGCGGAAUAAGCGGAGAUUGGCGAAGGACGAGGUGACGAUGCGCGUCGGGAAUGGUUCCAAGGUCGAUGUGAUCGCCGUCGGCAUGCUGCCUCUGCAUUUACCUACGGGAUUAGUUUUAAACCUUAAUAAUUGUUAUUUAGUGCCAGCUUUGAGCAUGAACAUUGUAUCUGGAUCUCGUUUAAUGCGAGAUGGCUACUCAUUUAAAUCCGAGAAUAAUGGUUGUUCUAUUUAUAUGAGAGAUAUGUUUUAUGGUCAUGCCCCGCUGGUCAAUGGUUUAUUCUUAAUGAAUCUCGAACGUGAUGUUACACAUAUUCAUAGUGUGAAUACCAAAAGAUGUAAAGUUGAUAACGAUAGUCCCACAUACUUGUGGCACUGCCGCCUUGGUCACAUUGGUGUCAAGCACAUGAAGAAGCUCCAUGCAGAUGGACUUUUGGAGUCUCUUGAUUACGAAUCAUUUGACACGUGCGAACCAUGCCUCAUGGGUAAGAUGACCAAGACUCCGUUCUCCGGAACGAUGGAGCGAGCAACCAACUUAUUGGAAAUCAUACAUACUGAUGUGUGCGGUCCAAUGAGUGUUGAGGCUCGCGGUGGCUAUCGUUAUGUUCUCACUCUCACUGAUGACUUAAGUAGAUAUGGGUAUGUCUACCUAAUGAAACACAAGUCUGAAACCUUUGAAAAGUUCAAGGAAUUUCAGAGUGAGGUUGAGAAUCAACGUGACAGGAAAAUAAAGUUCCUACGAUCAGAUCGUGGAGGGGAAUAUUAAGUCACGAAUUUGGCACACACUUAAGGAAAUGUGGAAUAGUUUCACAACUCACGCCGCCUGGAACACCUCAGCGAAAUGGUGUGUCCGAACAUCGUAAUCGCACUCUAUUGGAUAUGGUGUGAUCUAUGAUGUCUCUUACCGAUCUACCGCUCUCAUUUUGGGGCUAUGCUUUAGAGACUAACGCAUUCACUUUAAAUAGGGCUCCGUCGAAAUCCGUUGAGACGACACCGUAUGAAUUAUGGUUUGGGAAGAAACCUAAGCUGUGUUUCUAAAAGUUUGGGGAUGCGAUGCUUAUGUCAAGAAACUUCAACCUAAAAAGCUCGAACCCAAGUCGGAAAAAUGCGUCUUCAUAGGAUACCCUAAGGAAACCAUUGGGUAUACCUUCUACCUCAGAUCCGAAGGCAAGAUCUUUGUUGCCAAGAACGGGUCCUUUCUGGAGAAAGAGUUUCUCUCGAAAGAAGUGAGUGGGAGGAAAGUGGAACUUGACGAGGUGAUAGUCACCCCUUCCGAACCGGAAAGUAGCGCAGCGCGGGAAGAUGUUCCUGUGGUGCCUACACCGACUGGGGAGGAAGUUAAUGAUGAUGAUCAUGAAGCUUCGGAUCAAGUUACUGCUGAACUUCGUAGGUCCACAAGGACACGUUCCGCACCAGAGUGGUACGGCAACCCUGUCCUGGAAAUCAUGUUGUUAGACAACGGUGAACCUUCGAACUGUGAAGACGCGAUGGCGGGCCCGGAUUCCAACAAAUGGCUUGAAGCCAUGCAAUCCGAGAUAGGAUCCAUGUAUGAAAACAAAGUGUGGACUUUGACAGACUUGCCCGAUGAUCGGCGAGCGAUAGAAAACAAAUGGAUCUUUAAGAAGAAGACGGACGCGCAUGGUAAAGUUACCAUCUAUAAAGCUCGACUUGUCGCUAAGGGUUAUCGACAAGUUCAAGGGGUUGAUUACGAUGAGACUUUCUCACCCGUAGCGAAGCUAAAGUCCGUCCGAAUCAUGUUAGCAAUUGCCGCAUACUAUGAUUAUGAGAUAUGGAAGAUGGACGUCAAAACGGCAUUCCUUAACGGCUUUCUUAAGGAAGAAUUGUAUAUGAUGCAGCCGGAAGGUUUUGUCGAUCCUAAGAAUGCUAACAAGGUAUGCAAGCUCCAGCGCUCCAUCUAUGGACUGGUGCAAGCAUCUCGGAGUUGGAACAUUCGAUUUGAUGAGAUGAUCAAAGCGUUUUGGGUUUACACAGACUUAUGGAGAAGCCUGUGUUUACAAGAAAGUGAGUGGGAGCUCUGUAGCAUUUCUCAUAUUAUAUGUGGAUGACAUACUAUUGAUGGGAAAUGAUAUAGAAUUCUUGGAAAGUAUAAAGGCCUACUUGAAUAAGCGUUUUUCAAUGAAGGACCUUGGAGAAGCUGCUUAUAUAUUAGGCAUCAAGAUCUAUAGAGAUAGAUCAAGACGCCUCAUUGGUCUUUCACAGAGUACGUACCUUGACAAGAUAUUGAAGAAGUUCAAUAUGGAUCAGUCCAAGAAGGGGUUCUUGCCUGUAUUGCAAGGUGUGCAAUUGAGCACGGCUCAAUGCCCGACCACGGCAGAAGAUAGAGAAAAGAUGAGUGUCAUCCCCUAUGCCUCGGCCAUAGGGUCUAUUAUGUAUGCCAUGCUGCGUACCAGACCUGAUGUAAACCUUGCCGUAAGUUUGGUAGGAAGGUACCAAAGUAAUCCCGGCAUGGAACACUGGACAGCGGUCAAGAAUAUCCUGAAGUACCUGAAAAGGACUAAGGAUAUGUUUCUCGUAUAUGGAGGUGACGAAGAGCUCGUCGUAAAGGGUUACGUCGAUGCUAGCUUCGAUACAGAUCUGGAUGACUCGAAGUCACAAACCGGAUACGUGUAUAUUUUGAAUGGAGGGGCAGUAAGCUGGUGCAGUUGCAAGCAAAGCAUCGUGGCGGGAUCUACAUGUGAAGCGGAGUACAUGGCGGCCUCAGAAGCAGCGCAAGAAGCAAUCUGGAUGAAGGAGUUCAUUACUGACCUAGGGGUGAUUCCCAAUGCGUCGGGCCCGAUGACUCUCUUCUGUGACAACACUGGAGCUAUUGCCCUUGCCAAGGAGCCCAGGUUUCACAGGAAGACCAGGCAUAUCAAGCGUCGCUUCAACUCCAUUCGUGAAAGUGUUCAGAAUGGGGACAUAGAUAUUUGUAAAGUACAUACAGACCUGAAUGUAGCAGAUCCGUUGACUAAACCUCUCCCUAGAGCAAAACAUGAUCAACACCAGAACUCUAUGGGUCUUCGAUUCAUCACAAUGUAACUAGAUUAUUGACUCUAGUGCAAGUGGGCGACUGUUGGAAAUAUGCCCUAGAGGCAAUAAUAAAAUGGUUAUUAUUAUAUUUCCUUGUUCAUGAUAAUUGUCUAUUGUUCAUGCUAUAAUUGUGUUAUUCGGAAAUCGUAAUACAUGUGUGAACACAUAGACCACAACAUGUCCCUAGUAAGCCUCUAGUUGACUAGCUCGUUGAUCAACAGAUAGUCAUGGUUUCCUGACUAUGGACAUUGGAUGUCAUUGAUAACGGGAUCACAUCAUUAGGAGAAUGAUGUGAUGGACAAGACCCAAUCCUAAGCAUAGCACAAAAGAUCGUGUAGUUCAUUUGCUAGAGCUUUUCCAGUGUCAAGUAUCAUUUCCUUAGACCAUGAGAUCGUGCAACUCCCGGAUACCGUAGGAGUGCUUUGGGUGUACCAAACGUCACAACGUAACUGGGUGACUAUAAAGGUGCACUACGGGUAUCUCCGAAAGUGUCUGUUGGGUUGGCACGGAUCGAGACUGGGAUUUGUCACUCCGUAUGACGGAGAGGUAUCUCUGGGCCCACUCGGUAAUGCAUCAUCAUGAUGAGCUCAAUGUGACUAAGGAGUUAGCCAUGGGAUCAUGCAUUACGGUACGAGUAAAGUGACUUGCCGGUAACGAGAUUGAACAAGGUAUUGGGAUACCGACGAUCGAAUCUCGGGCAAGUAACGUACCGAUUGACAAAGGGAAUUGUAUACAGGAUUGAUUGAAUCCUCGACAUCGUGGUUCAUCCGAUGAGAUCAUCAUGGAACAUGUAGGAGCCAACAUGGGUAUCCAUAUCCCGCUGUUGGUUAUUGACCGGAGAGGCGUCUCGGUCAUGUCUGCAUGUCUCCCGAACCCGUAGGGUCUACACACUUAAGGUUCGGUGACGCUAGGGUUGUAGAGAUAUUAGUAUGCGGAAACCCGAAAGUUGUUCGGAGUCCCGGAUGAGAUCCCGGACGUCACGAGGAGUUCCGGAAUGGUCCGGAGGUAAAGAAUUAUAUAUAGGAAGUCCAGUUUCGGCAUCGGGAAAGUUUCGGGGGUUAUCGGUAUUUUACCGGGACCACCGGAAGGGUCCCGGGGGUCCACCGGGUGGGGCCACCUAUCCCGGAGGGCCCCAUGGGCUGAAGUGGGAGGGGAACCAGCCCCUAGUGGGCUGGGGCGCCCCCCUUGGGCCUCCCCCUGCGCCUAGGGUUGGAAACCCUAGGGGUGGGGGGCGCCCCACUUGGCUUGGGGGGCAAGCCACCCCCCUUGGCCGCCGCCCCCCCUCAGAUGGGAUCUCCAGGGGGCCGGCGCCCCCCCAGGACCCCUAUAUAUAGUGGGGGGAGGGAGGGCAGCAGUACCCUAGCCCCUGGCGCCUCCCUCUCCCUCCCGUGACACCUCUCCCUCCCGCUUGCGCUUGGCGAAGCCCUGCCGAGAUCCCCGCUACUUCCACCACCACGCCGUCGUGCUGCUGGAUCUCCAUCAACCUCUCCUUCCCCCUUGCUGGAUCAAGAAGGAGGAGACGUCGCUGCUCCGUACGUGUGUUGAACGCGGAGGUGCCGUCCGUUCGGCGCUCGGUCAUCGGUGAUUUCGAUCACGACGAGGUAACAAUUGAUCCAACGGCAUAAUGAUACCAAGCCUCGGUAUGAAUGGCAUAUUUUCUAAUCUUUUUAAUCUUCAAGCGCAUUGCAUCCAUCUUGAUCUUGUGAUCAUCGACGACAUCCGCAACAUGCAACUCCAAUAUCAUCUUCUCCUCCUCAAUUUUUUUUAUUUUUUCCUUCAAGUAAUUGUUUUCUUCUUCAACUAAAUUUAACCUCUCGACAAUAGGGUCGGUUAGAAUUUCCGGUUCAACCACCUCCUAUAUAAAUAAAAUCUAUGUCACGUUGGUCGGUAUAUUUGUCAUAAACAAUAAAUGAACCAAAUAGUUAUAAAAAGAUAAUAUAUACCACAUCCGAAUCAUAGACAGGACGAGGGCCGACGGGGGCGGAUACCAAAACCAUCGCACUAUGUAAUAAGAAGGAAUAAUAAAAGUAACAAAAUUAGACAAGUAACUAUCUAAAGUAAGAAUUUUUUUCCUUUCAGAAAGAAGAUAAGAACAAUAGGCUCACCACGGUGGUGCUGGCAACGAGAUCGGCGCGGGCGAUCGACGGCGGUGAAGACGGGGACGGGACGUGACGGACCGCUAAACCUAGACAAAUCUCGGGGAAAAUGGAGCUCGGAGGUCGAGUUUCGAGAGGAGAAAGAUUAACUAGUGUGGCUCAGACAUUUCAUCGAACACCUCAUGUGCAUAGGAGGUGAGCUAGAGCACCCAAAUGCCCUCCCCUCGCCGGCCAGAAAAAAUAGAGCACUCUGGAGUGCUCUGCUGUGGCGAUGGGGUAUAUAUAGGGAACUCAUUGGUCCCGGUUCGUGGCACCAACCGGGACUAAAGGCCUUUGGUCCCGGUUGGUGCCACGAACCGGGACCAAUGCCCCCUUUAGUCCCGGUUGGUGGCACCAACCGGGACCAAAGGCCUUGUGCUGGAACUGGCGCGGUGCGGUGGGAUGUUUAGUCCCACCUCGCUAGCCGAGAGGCUUCGACAGUGGUUUAUAAGCGCAGCUGCGCUGACCACUUCGAGCUCCUCUCAAAUGCAGGCUUACGGGCCUAUUCUGUCACUCUUUGCCUNNNNNNNNNNNNNNNNNNNNNNNNNNNNNNNNNNNNNNNNNNNNNNNNNNNNNNNNNNNNNNNNNNNNNUUCUAGUCGUAUUCAGGCCGUGGUGGCCCAGUAGGUGGCAUAAUUUUUUUCCUCUGUUUUUUUUCUCUUUUGCUUUAUUUGUUUUGUUUUGUUUCUACUUACAACAAAAAACUUAUUUAUUUUAUUUCUAAUUACUUAUGUAUUUUACUUUAAUUAUUUUAUUUUUAUUUAUUUUACUGCUGCUAUUUUUACUUAAUUUAUUAAGGUUUAUUUAUUUUAGUUACUAUAGUUUAUUUUAUUUUAUUUUAUUAAGGUUUAUUUAGUUUUAUUUAUUUUAUUAAGGUUUAUUUAUUUUAUAAAUAUAAAAAAAUGAACAUAGAUGCGCUUAUAGAGGAAAUUCAACCUAAAUUCAUAAUAAAUUUCUAUGAAAUUUACUGUGAAUUUAGGUCAAAUUCCCUGUAUAAGGGCAUCUAUUUUCACUUUAAGACGAGCUCAACAAGGCAGAGAGGGACGGGCUUAUAAACUGGUGUGAGCGCCCUUCGGUUGGCGAGGUGGGACUAAACACUGGCCGCAACUAGGACCAGCCCUUUAGUCCCGGUUUGCGGUAGGAACCGGGACUAAAGGGUGGUGGGCCAGGAGCGUGGCCCAUUGGUCCCGGUUUGUCCCACCAACCGGGACCAAAGGGUCCGGACGAACCGGGACCAAUGCCCCACGAGGCCCGGCAGGCCCUGGCCGCACGAACCGGAACCAAUGCUCACAUUAGUCCCGGUUCGUGACUGAACCGGGACUAAUGUGAAUAUUGCCCUGUGACCAAAGCCCAGUUUUCUACUAGGGUCACGCUGGGGAGGACGAGAGGAGGGAGAGGGAGCUGGCCACGUCGGCCUGCGGAGGCUUGCCUGGAGGCAGCAGCAGGUAGCUGCAUCCAACAAAAAAACGUGUGGGUAUGCAUGCAGCUUGGAUUGAGGCAGCAUGCAGGUUUGUUGGUGAAGUUUGUGCAUGCAUUGGCUUGCUACCGAUCGAUGCUCACAUGCUUUGCCUGAUCGCCCUCACGUGUUCACACCCUUUGUCUGUUCCGUCGGUAAACGCCGUAGAUAACACCAAUACAACGUGUUCUCUCCUGGCCGGAUCGAUAUCAGGGGCACGCAUCAAUACUAAUGUGGCAAAACGAGAGAUAUGAGCUUUUACAAUCCAGACCAGCUUCGUCCGUUGGUUCCAACCGAAGUAUCGCUGCACAGCACCGCUAGGCACCGGAGAAGAAGAAGCUAGCGUACGGCCAAUUUGCGCGUCACGAGGGAGGCAGGCCAUAUCCAUAUGUUGAGGGUUGCCACACAUACCAAGGAACAGUUGAUGUGGCCACUUUAUAUUUCCUUGCCUUGACGUGCGCGCGUAUGCAUGACCUUCUUCCGGUACCUACCGGAACUCCUCUCCUGGGCCUCCCCUUCUUCCAGCUCUUCUUGAUAAGGCCACACUCCGUAGAAGAACAGCACCUUGCGAUGAAAAUGGCGAGAGCCCUGCUCGUCGCUCCUCUUCUCGCCUCGUGCUUUGUGGCGCUCGGCCUGUCCGGCCGCGCCGAUGCGGCGGCCGAGACGAAGACCGUCGGUGUCUACGAGCUCAAGAAGGGGGAUUUCUCCAUCAAGGUCACCAACUGGGGUGCCACCCUCAUGUCCGUGAUCCUCCCCGACUCGAGAGGUGAUGAACUGACACGCUUCUUUCUUUGUUCCCCUUCCGUUACCGUUACUUCUGCAAAAUAACUGGCAUCUCACCCUUGUUCGCUUGUAUAGGAAACUUGGGGGAUGUGAUCCUGGGCUACGAUACGGUUGCUGAGUAUGUGGUAAGAUCAUGCAAAAAAUGCCUCCGUUUCUUUUCCUAACACAACAUGGUUCAGUUUUUCUUUAGCCGCUGACAAAGUUGGUUUCUGCUUUUGCAUCUGGAUCGUGCGUACUGUGCAGAAUGGCACCGCCUACUUUGGAGGGUUGAUCGGCCGCGUCGCCAACAGGAUCGCCAACGCCCGGUUCACGCUGGACGGGAAGGCCUACCGGCUGGUUCCCAACGAUGGCAACAACACGCUACACGGUACGUACAAGAGGAAAUUUCUCCUCCCCUCCUCCUACGAGCUGCGAUCGGUCAUCUUUCUGCUCUUGUGCUCUAGGUGGUCACCGGGGAUUCGAUAAGGUCGUAUGGACGGUGAAGGAGCACGUCGCCGGCGGCAGCUCCCCAUUCAUCACUCUGUACUAUCAUAGCUUCGACGGAGAGCAAGGCAAGGAAUAAUUUUGAGCCCUUACAAUUUCUGAUAUUUUCAUCGAGAGAGGGAUUGCACAUGUGGGUUCAGUCUUAAAUGAUCAAUCUGGGGAAUUUUCAGCCAAUUUAGCACAGCCAUUUAAAAUUGGACAGUUUUUGUAAGAUAGAACUGGUUGAUUUGUGCUUUUUGUUACUGAUAAGUCCCGGAGUUUUGGUUUCUGUUAAAAUUCCCAAGAGUUGCGGUUUCCUGUUACCUCAGUCCCAAAAGUUGUAUAUUUGUGCAAUUUCCUCUUAAAUCAAAUUGAGGAGCUCUUCGCUUCUCAUUUUAUUUCAAAACACAAACAAUUUUAACGAAAUAGCUGAACUUGAACAGGGUUUCCAGGCGAUGUGGACGUGCACGUGAAGUACCAGCUCUCCGGCCCGCACGAGCUGAGCGUGCGCAUGAACGCGACGGCGCGGGGCAAGGCCACCCCGGUGAACCUCGCGCACCACGCCUACUGGAACCUCGGCGGCCACGGCAGCGGCAGCGUCCUCGGCGAGGAGGUCCGCCUCUUCGCCUCCCGGUACACGCCCGUGGAUGCCGCGCUCAUCCCGACGGGCCACCUGGCGCCCGUGGCCGGCACGCCCUACGACUUCCGCACGCCGGCCGCCGUGGGCUCGCGCAUCGGUGGUCUCCUGAGCCGGGGCGUUAAUGGGUACGACAUCAACUACGUCGUGGACGGCGGGGGCCUGCGCCCGGUGGCAGUUGUCCGGGAUGGCGCGUCCGGUAGGGCGAUGGAGCUGUGGGCGGAUCAGCCCGGGGUGCAGUUCUACACCGCCAACGGGCUGAGUGGCGUGAGGGGGAAGGGCGGCAAGGUCUAUGGCCGAUACGGCGCGCUCUGCUUGGAGACGCAGGGGUUCCCCGACGCCGUGAACCGCCCGAGUUUCCCGUCGCAGAUCGUCCGGCCGGGGAAGGUGUACAUGCAUCACAUGGUGUUCAAGUUCUCCUUCUAGUAUAGCUAGUGGUAGUGUGGUACCCGAGCUUGGUCGUUUGUCAGGCAACACAGCCGCUCUUGUGUUUUGUGUGCUGUCUGAAUUUGAUCGGUUGAGCUUCAAUGGAGGAAUAAAAGCUUGCAUGCUGCAGGUUCAAGCUUUUUUUUUUAUUGAAGAGUAAAAUGCACUCAAGGUCACUCUUUCAAUCUGGAAAAAUUUCAGACAAUUUAGGCCAACCAUUUUAAAAUUUGGACAUUUUUUUGUAAGAAUCGGUCAAAUUUUCAGAAAAUCAUCUAAAAAACAUGUUAAAUGGUCAAUCUGGGGAAUUUUCAGCCAAUUUAGCCCAACCAUUUGAAAUUUAGAGUUUUUGUAAGAUAAAACUGAUGGAUUUGUGUUUUUUGUUACUGAUUAGUUCUAGAGUUUUGAUUUUCUAUUAAAAUCCCCUAGAGUUGUGGUUUUGUGUUACCUCAGUCCCAAUAGUUAUGUUAUUUGUGCAACAGUCUUGCUAAAUCUCAGUCGACCGAGUCUUCGUUAAGUCUCAUUUGAUGCUAUAUCCAUGAGAUCACAUGUUGAGAUCCAUGCAAUUUUUUUCUUCUAGCUUUUUUUCCUUGCAUAUUACGUCACUUCGUUGGGACUUGGUUAAAUCUCAAUUGACUGAGACCUAGCCACACCCUUUGUGCAAUUUCCUCCUUCAUCAAAUUGAGGAGCUCUUCACUUCUCAUGUUAUUUCAUAACAUUUAACGAAGUAGCUAAACUUGAACAGGGUUCCCAGGUGACGUGGACGUGCAGGUGACGUACCAACUCUCGAGACCGCACGUGCUGAGCAUGCGCAUGAAUGCAACGACGCGGGGCAAGGCCACCCCGGUGAACCUAGCGCACCACGCCUACUGGAACCUCGGCGGCCACGGCAGCGGCAGCGUCCUCGGCGAGGAGGUCCGCCUUUUCGCCUCCCGGUACACGCCCGUGGACGCCACGCUCAUCCCGACGGGUCACCUCGCGCCCGCGGCCGGCACGCCCUACGACUUACGCAGGCCGGCGACCGUGGGCUCGCGCAUCGGGGGCCUCCUGAGCCGGGGCGUCGAUGGGUACGACAUCAACUACGUCGUGGACGGCGGGGGCCUGGUGGCGGUCGUCCGGGACGGCGCGUCCGGCAGGGCGAUGGAGCUGUGGGCUGACCAGCCCGGGGUGCAGUUCUACAAGGCCAACGGGCUCAGCGGGGUGAGGGGAAAGGGCGGCAAGGUCUACGCUCGGUACGGCGCGCUAUGCCUGGAGACGCAGGGGUUACCCUAUGCCGUGCCCAUGAACCGCCCGAGCUUCCCGUCGCAGAUCGUCCGGCCGAGGAAGGUGUACAGGCAUCACAUGGUGUUCAAGUUCACCUUCUAGUAGCUAGUGGUAUCCGAGGUCCCGAGCUCGCUCAUUUGUCAGGCAAAACAGUUGCUCUCGUGUUUUGUGUAUUGUCUGAAUUUGAUCGAUUGAGCUUCGAGGGAGGAAUAAAAGCAUGCUGCAGGUUCAAGGUUUUUUCAUCUUGAGCUUCAACUUUCUUUAGCAGCGUGUUUUGUUGGUGGUAAUUAGAACUAGAGAAUGAGAAUUGAAGGGAUAUGAGACUUCAAAUCUAUUAUUUAGUUGGAGGGAUUGUGAACUCAUAAGAGGAUAGACAUGAGACUUGGUAAUUCAACUCACACCAUUUUAUUAAAAGGGGAGGGGUGAGAGUUAGAAGGGAAUUAUUUCAGUGAGUAUAUCUUUACCCUUCAUCCUAAACUUUCUUGUCUAGUCCUUUGUCAAUUCCCAUGAACCAAACAAGGGAGUACAAUUUCUUCUCAAAUUCUCACACGUAUUUCCUAUCAUGCAUCAAACAGAGGAUUGAGAAUAGAAUGACUCGUCCCAUGUCAAAUCUCAACAUAACUUCCUACUCUAAACUUGCAUUCUCCUUCCCAAAUAUUGCCAAACACGCUGCAGGCGUUUUAUAUAGGUGUCUCAGAAGGGACCUCCUAUUUAGCGUGUAGUGCGCCGGAUAGUGCGCAAAACUGCACCCUGGCGCAAGUUGGCCCCCACCUUGGGCUGGCCAACUUACCCAAUUUGUUGUUUCUUUUCCUGGCAUGAAGCAGACUAUUAGAUUGGUUUUUUAGUUCCGAAAAAAAAUAAACUAGACCCUCUUUGAGUCUGUUUUUUCAGAAAAGAAACAUGUUACUGUAGCAACUUAGAAAAUGAACGUUGAUUCAAAAAAUGUUUAUGAAUUUCAAAAAAAUGUUCAUGAAUAAAAAACUGUUCCAAAAUUUCAAGAAAUGUUUUUUUAUUCUAAAAAUGUAUAAAAAUUCUUUCUCAGUUUUAAAAAAACCAUGAAUUUAGAAUUCAAAAUAUAUUCAUGAAUUCAAUACAUUUUUGGUAAUUUCAUAGAUGUUCCCAAAUUUUAAAAAAUGUUUCUAAGUCAAAAAAUCUCGAAUUUAAAAAAAAUUCCGAAAUUUUGAAAAAAUGACCGUUGAUUAAAGAAACCACAAAUUUAGAAAAUAUUCAUGAAUUUCAAAUAUUGUUCCAAAAUUCAAAAAAUGUGCAUGAGUUUCAACAAUUAUUCCCGAAAUUCAAAAAUUAUUCUUAAAUUCAAAAUGUGUUUACGAAUUUAAAAAUUAUUACGAAAAAUUCAAUAAAUUAAAUUGAAUUGUAAUAUGAAACAAAUAAAAAUAAAAUACUCAAAAGAAAGUAAACACAUAGAAAAAGAAAAUUCGUUUUCUGAAUAUGCGCCGGCCCAUAUGCGAGCGGUCGGGGAGGUAGUGCGCGUUUGCUUUGCUAUUCUCCGACACGCAUGAUUAAUAGGAUUCCCGGUCUCAGAACUCAACUUCUCCGAAUUAAUUACUUGGGCCCAGAACAUGUUGAUUAUUUGGGCUGAAAUUAGAACUCACCAGCCGAGCCCGUCUAACGAUCCCAUUAUUCUCACGGGGUCGCAAUGACGGCGCCGACGACGAAACAACCGCCGCCGCCCCUCCCAAACCCUCGAUGAGCCGGCCUGCGCCGACGGCCGGUGACGGUCCCCUGCCGAGGGCGCCGAACCGGAGGUGGCAAUGCCGCCAGGAGGAAGAGGCGGGGGCGAGCACGGUUACGGGGAACCGGCGACCGCCCACGGAGGCGGGGACGACGAGAACUCAUCCCGUUCUUCGCCCCGGCCGCCGUUACCGUUGCUACCUGGCCUCACCGUAAUUCCCCCAGCGUCUGAGGUUUGCUCCCAUCCUCCUUCCAAUCUUAGGUCUAUGAGAUGGUACUGGGAACCUGAAUGAACUGUCUCCACAAAUUAUAGAAGGAGCAGAAGAAGAAACAUAAGCAUAUUUGUGCAAUUUCCUCUUUUCAUCAAAUUGAGGAGCUCUUCGCUUCUCAUUUUAUUUCAAAACAUAACCGAUUUUAAUGAAGUAGCAGAACUUGAACAGGGUUUCCAGGCGACGUGGACGUGCACGUGACAUACCAGAUCUCGGGUCCGCAUGCGCUAAGCGUGCCACCCCGUGAACCUCGCACACCACGCCUACUGGAACCUCGGCGGCCACGGCAGCGGCAGCGUCCUCGGCGAGGAGGUCCGCCUCCUCGCCUCCCGGUACACGCCCGUGGACGCCGCGCUCAUCCCCACGGGCCGCCUGGCGCCCGUGGCCGGCACUCCCUACGACUUCCGCACGCCGGCCGCCGUAGGCUCACGCAUCGGCGGCCUCCUGAACCGGGGCGUCGAUGGGUACGACAUCAACUACGUCGUGGACGGCGUGGGGCUGCGGCGGGUGGUGGCCGUCCGGGACGGCGCGUCCGGCAGGGCCAUGGAGCUGUGGGCGGACCAGCCCGGGGUGCAGUUCUACACCGUCAACGGGCUCAGCGGGGUGAGGGGGAAGGGCGGCAAGGUCUACGGCCGCUACGGCGCGCUCUGCCUGGAGACGCGGGGGUUCCCCGACGCCGUGAACCGCCCGAGUUUCCCGUCGCAGAUCGUCCGGCCGGGGAAGGUGUACAGGCAUGACAUGGUGUUUAAGUUCUCCUUCUAGUAGUAGCUAGUGGUAUCCGAGGUCUGUCGUUUGUCAGGAACACAGUCGCUCUUGUGAUUUGUGUAGUAUACUGUUUGAAUUUGACCGGUUGAGCUUCAAGGGAGGAAUAAGAGCAUGCUGCAGGUUCAAGGUUUUUCAUCUCGAGUUUCAAGUUUCUUUAUAGGUGGCACUAAAUGGACCUUCUAUUUAAUGCGUAGUGCGCUGGAUAGUGAGCAAACGUGCACCCUGGCGCAGGUUGGCCCACACCAUUGGCGGCCAAACCUAUCUGAUUUGUUGUUUCUUUUUUUGACACUAGUAAGCUUGCACGUGCAACGCACGUCUCAAAUCUUAACCAAAUGAGAUGCACGCUAAUAUAGAAAAAUAAUUCUCGAUAUAUAUGAAUUGAAUAGAUACACAAUAUUUGUGAUGUUGCUCAAGUUAUAUUUUCAAAGGUGGGAUGUCAAUGUCAUGUUGCUGCAUAGAGAUAAUAAUAUAUUCUUUCAUUCAUUCGGUCUCUGAUAUGUUGUAAAUUUAUAGCAUUAAAUCUAGUAAUUGAUCCUCUGAAUCGCCAUUGUAAAAUAUAUUGAGUCAUUCGACAAGCUAAUUCCAGUGUGAUACGUCUCAAUACAACAUGAUUCACUACACGGCAUGUAUUAUCCCGAGAAAGAUAUGUUUGGAGAGCAAAAUACAACUACUAUUUACACUCUUCGAUAUCCUAUACUAUAGAUUGUUACCACUUUUCCAGACAAUAGCAUGUAGAUUUUCCGCAUACUCUCAGUAAAACUCUCCAUUUCCUAUGAUUCAUUCAGACUCAAAAGAAAAUUGUUAAAUAGGCAUAUAAAUACAUUUCUUAGAAGCUGAACUCAUUAAGUAGAUCCAUCAUUCUAAAAGAACUCGAUAAUUAGAAGCUGUAGUUGCAUAGUAAUAGCAUCUACAGUGAUGGCACAAAUUGUCGUGAUAGAUAAAAGUAUAUGCAUUUUGGACAUUGUCAUUUUUUUGCGCCUGAGAGGGGGAGGGGCAUUGACUAUUCAAAUGUGCCAAACUAUAGUGAGUAUGCACCCAUGUAAUGAAUGACACUGUAUUCAAAAGAGAUUACUCACAGCUGUAAAUUGGUGUUCUAAUGCCUUUCACCGUGAUCUGUGAUUAGUAAUCUAUCAUAUGCUAGUACUACACAGCGCUUAAUUACAUUCUACUCCCCCCGUUCCUAAAUAUUUUUCUUUCUAGAGAUUUCAACAAGUGACUCAUACGGAGCAAAAUGAGUGAAUCUACACUCUAAAAUAUGUCUAUAUACAUCCGUAUAUGGUGGUCCAUUUGAAAUCUCUAAAAAGACAAAUAUUUAGGAACAGGGGGAGUAGUUGUUUUACAAACAUAAGCAACUGGAGUACACUUGUUCAGUGUUCUCUCUAACUGACAAGAAACAAAUAGGAUAUGAAUUACUUGCUAACAAAUCUGAAAGCAAAGGAUCAACCUAAAUUCCAUCAAACUGUCAAAUCAUGUUAGGCUAGAUAACAGCAAGAGCAUCAAACUCCACAAAAAAAUGGUCUCGACAUUUUAAGAAGUCAAUAAUGGGCUCAUAUACGACAAAACAAACACUAUGCCAAAAAAUAAUUACCAGUACCUAAAUAUUCCUCUGUAAAGUAAUGUACAGAGGGAGUAUCAUUGAACUACCUACUGUGAUGCUCUUGUUUAUUCAGUCAAUGGAGCGAAGAGCAAGAUUUUUUUCCUUUCAGGGUGAUGUUUGGAAAUACAUGUAGGGUAGGGAAAUAUUUGUUUUCAACACAAUAAUUGAGAUGUCAAAAAGGACAUGUUUCAUCUGAAACGAAAGUAGGUUAUAGACAAUGUAGCUUAUCUUACAUAAUUUACUCCACCGAUGUGAGUGGCCACUGUUUUACAUGAAUGCUCACUGGAUUUGAAAAAGGCAAUGUUUGUAAUGAAAGAUGAAACAGUUACACAACAAUUUUAACACGAAAACAUAAAGAAAAGCAAGGAUAGCCAUCAAUAGUAGUCCAUACACAUGAGAGCUAUAACCGCCAUGCUACCAGUAGAUAUAAAAUAUGAAAGGAACAGAAGAGAACUUCCUAGGAGACUUGUUGAAUAUCCUUCACUUUGAGUGAUGAUCUUUGAAGAAAGUUCACAAUCAGGUUAUAAGCAGAAUACCUUGCUAGUUGCAAGAACUCCUCCACCAAUCAACAUCCUUUUUCUAGCUGCAACCAAAAAUAAGAUUGAGUGAUGAUCUUCUAAGAGCAAGGGCAUUGGGGCUAGCAGUGCCAACCAUCAAUAACAUUGUCAACUUAAAUUUAUUCGUCAUUCGAAAAUCACAUACUAUGUUCUUCUUAACUUUCUCCUACUCAAGUGCGGGUACAGAGCUUUGCAUGGAAUUCAUUAUUUAAAAAUAAUAAUACCAUAGCUUGCAAAUAAUCCAAUAUACACAUAAAAGCAAAAAAAAAAGCUUAAAAAAUGACAUUAUUUCAUCUUUUUGUGAAGGUGAUAAAUUCCAUGUUGAAGUACCAAUUCUUUGGUUGGAGCUCACCUAUUAAGUAGUCAUACGUCUUAGAGGUCAUAUUCUUUAACAUCCGAUAUGACAACCCCAUGGCCUCUCUCUCUCUCUCUCUCUCUCUCACACACACACACACACACACACACACACACACACAAAAACCAAAUUUUGCAUGUUAUGGUAGCAAAACCAGUAAUAAUCUUCCCAGAUAUAACACGAAUACAGGAAAGAGCUUUAUUUUCUCAUACAUGAUUCUGCUUGACCAAAUACAGAAAAACAAGAACUGUGUAUCCAUUGAAAGUUUUUUUUGGAACAUAGAUGCUAGAAGCGUCCGGCUUUAACUUAAUAAAGCCACUAGGCAGCAUCCACACAUAAAGUCUUACAAACCGAAUAAAAACAGUCAACGAGCCCAUGGCUCAGGAUAUAACUAAGUAGAGCGCAGCCACAAGUUCAAUAUCUCAAAAGCGGAGCAUCAAGGCAAAAGCUAGCAAAAAAGAAGGGGUCUCAUGAUGCAGCCAUCAUCCCUUGCCGAGCCUUCACCAUGGUUGUCUUGAUCAGCUCCAAAGUCUCGUUCAUGCGUUCGACGUCACGCUUCUUCCCCUGCGGUGCCCAUACCUGAAGGAAAAUAUGACAUUUGAAGAUAAUAUCAGCGGGGUGGGCCGGGAACUUGUGUUCAAUCGUAAUUUUGUUUCGAACCGUCCAGAGGGACCAAAGUAGCGCCCCAAUGCAUCUCCAAACAAUCCUAGCAUUGGCCCCUCUUUGCGACAUUAAGAUAGACAGCACGUCGUGACAAGACUGUGGAUUCCAAUUUUGUUUGAAGGCGUCCCUCACCGCACUCCACGCAAAUCUAGCGAGCACACAGCCAAAGAACACAUGGGUCACGUUUUCCCCUAAACCACAAGUGGUGCACGUUCCGUCCACCGGCCCAUUUCGUUUGGCAACGUUAUCCGACGUAGGUAAGCGAUUGCGAAACAUUUGCCAUAGGAAAAUCUUGAUUUUGAGAGGAAUGCCAGCCUUCCAUAGCCCCCUAGCUAUAUCUAGCGUGGUACCCUUGGAGAGCUUGUCGUAUAGGGACUUGACCGUAAACCUAUUUGAGGCGGUCAACUUCCACGAUAUCGUAUCCGCCCCAUUACUACGAGUCAGCCCUCCCAAGUUAGCCGACAAAGCGACCCAGCUAGCGGCCUCCGUAGACUCUAAAGUCCUAAUGAAAGAGAUGGCUGGAGGUUGGACGCGCAUAGCAUCGGCCACCAUAAUGUUGGUGUCCGUUGCCAAUUGGUACAGUUCCGGGUGUGAUUGCCAUAACGGCUCCUGACCCCACCAAUGGUCGAGCCAGAAACGUGUGGACUUACCAUCGUUUACCCGGAACUGCGCACCCACUGUAAACGCCGGUCGGACCGCUUGGAUCCCGUUCCAAAAGGCCGAACCGUUGAUUUUAGCCUUGAACAAAUUCCCCUCCGGGAAAUAUUUAGCUUGGAGGAUGUCUGCCCAGAGUCCCGACUCGUUUUGGGCGAGACGCCACCACCACUUAGUAAGCAGGGCCACGUUCAUGAGUUUAGAGUUCGUAAUACCUAGGCCGCCAAUUUUUUUUUGGCCUACACGCCGCUGCCCAUUUCACUAAGUGGUACUUGCGCUUGGUCCCAGCUCCUUCCCAAAAGAACCGGGAACGCGGAGUAUCGAGUCUUGCGUGAACCCCGUCCGCGAGUAGGAACAUUCCCAUUGUGAAUAUAGGAAGGGAAGAUAAGCUUGAGUUGGUUAGGAUGAGCCUCGCCGCCGAGGACAUAAACCUACCCCUCCAAGGGCUCACUCUGUUAGCGACUUUCCCAUACAGCGGUUCCCAUUCCGCUAUGGUAAGUUUCUUGGUCGAGAUCGGGAGGCCCAAGUAUUUAAUCGGAAAGCUCCCUAGCUUGCAAUUAAGUAGAUUCGCAAUCCGAGUGCUAGCUAGAUCAUCCAUCCCAAUGGUGAUCACUUCGCUCUUCAGAAAGUUGAUCUUAAGUCCCGAUAAAAUCUCGAACGCAAGUAGAAGUAGCUUGGUAGUAGCUAUGCUGUGGUCGUCGGGUUCGAAUAAGAGCAUCGUAUCGUCCGCGUAUUGCAGAUGCGUGACCCCACCCGGAAUAAGGUGGGCUACCAGCCCUUUAAUGUGCCCCGCUACCCUUGCUUUAUUAAUCAUGGCCGCCAGGGCAUCCGCAACAAAGUUAAAAAUGAGCGGCGAGCUUGGGUCUCCCUGACGGAGACCACGUUUGUUACGGAAGAACCUGCCCAUUGUGCCAUUGAUAUUGACCGCCAUGUGCCCACUACACACGAGGUGCAAGAUGCGAUGUACGAAUCCUGCCUCAAAACCCUUUUUGAGGAAGACCUCUCGCACGAACUCCCAGUUCACGCGAUCGUACGCUUUCUCGAAGUCUAAUUUGAGCAGCACUCCCUGUGCCUUGGUCCGUUUCAACUCGUGAACGAUCUCUUGUAACGCAAUUGGUCCCUCGAGGAUGUUGCGGUGUUUGAGGAAACCCGUUUGACUAGAGCUAAUAACUCGUUGAGCGACCGGAGCCAAGCGCGAGGCAUAAGAUUUCGCGCAGAUUUUGAACGGGACGUUGAUCAAGGUAAUGGGUCUAAAAAGCUUAAUGUUAUCCGCCCCUUUCACCUUAGGUAUAAGGCUAAUGGCUCCAUAGUUCAAACGGGAUAGGUCCACCGUGCCUAAAGCGAAGCCGUUGACAAUAUCAUAAAACAAGUGCUUAAGGCAGGGCCAAAACUUCUUAAAGAACUCAACAGGCCAGCCGUCCGGCCCAGGCGCCGUGCUCGUUUUCAUGCCGUGUAAGGCCUGGUCUAUUUCCUCAGGUAGGAAAGCAAGGGCUAGCCUGUCGUUCUCCUCCUGCGAGACACGCUCCGCGGUAUCCCACAGAAUCCCACAGAUCUCUGCGCAAGCGUAAAGGUUUUUCAACGGCCGUCCCCAAAAGACCUAUGAAAAACUCGUAGAUAUGAGCCACAAUUUGAUCCUGCACCAACAGGAUACCGUGGUCUGUUUGGAGACGCGGAAUGGUGCACUUCCUUUUCCGCCCGUUUGCGUAGGCAUGGAAAUAUCCUGUGUUUGCGUCUCCUUUCGUGACCCAUUUGACUCCGCCCCUGCGUCGCCAAUAUUCCUCUUCCGCGCACAAAAUCGCCGUCACUUGAUUUUCUAAUGCGUACCUAUGUGCCCACUCAGCCUCCGAGAAGGGACGGCGAUCUGCCUCCGCAUCUAACAGCGCAAUUGCCUCUACAAUGCACGCACGCUCUUUCUUGGACUCGCUACCGUGGUUAGCGCCCCACCCGCGAAGGAAGGCACGCAGCUUGCCAGCAGCCGCGUUCCAGCUCUCUGCUAGACCGCGUUGGGGCCCCAGGUGAGAGCAAAUCUCACCCCAACGCUCUACCACCAUCUGGUCAAAACCCUCCACUUCGAACCAAGCCGUUUCGAAGUAGAACCUAGGGCUAUGACGGAUGCGGUCCUCCCCUGAGGAAAAUAUAAGCGGGACAUGGUCUGAUCCAAUGCGCGUCUCCGCCACUAGAGAGCACAUGGGAAACAUCACCUCCCACUCAGGCGUAAAAAAGACCCUAUCCAGCACGCUACGACCGGCUGCGUUUGUUUGUUAGUCCAGGUAUAUCUGGCACCAGUCCGUGCUGCUUCCCGCAAUGCUGCUGCCGCAGUGGCAUUAUUGAAUAAGGACACCCUCGUCCAAUCAAUAUUAGCAUUAUUCUUAUCCGCCCCCGAGCGGAUCAAGUUAAAAUCACCCCCUACCACCACAGGGAGGUUGAUAGCCCUUUUGGCCCCGACCAGGCUGGUGAGUUCUAGCAGGAACGCCGGCGAUCCGGAGUGGUCGGCAGGCCCAUAAACACAAACGACCACCCACGACAAACCAGAUACGCGAUGUUUAAUAGUAGCAGAUAAAAGGAAAACGCCAACAUCCCAAUGCAGAACAUCACAUACAUCCUUAUUACAACCCAACAGAAUGCCACCAGAAUGACCGACAGAGGGAACCCAAUGCCAAUCAAAACGUUGAAGGGGGUCAUAAGCAAGCAAUUCUCUGAAGGUAAAAUCAGUUUUAAUCGUCUCUUGUAUCGCUACCACGUCAAUAUGUUCUUUGGCCAUGUAUUCUUUAAGCUGCGUGCGCCGGCCACCGUGGCCACAGCCACGGAUAUUCCAGAACAUGUAUCUCAUCUAAAUCACCCUGUUACAUAGGCGCACACCCCUAGAGGUCACCGCCUUCGCCACUCUCUUCCUAGCCGUCACUCGGCCAUUAGAAGGAAGGACACCAGCUUCCCUAGCUUGUGUCACCUCGUCGGGCACUCUCUCGUCACCAGCCUCUACUGGCACAAUGGCUAACUCGUUGUUGUUAGCGCAGUGCACGGCGGCGGCCGCCAGCGCAGCCUGCGCCUCUUCCCUAGCAUGCACAAGAGAUAUAAUUUUGGACUGGGACCCUCGGGUCUCCACACCGCAGUCGUCUAGAAUGCUCACCAGGUGCUCAUCCGAGAAGGCAUUUAGAAUGCGGAAAGAUGGCAAGGGAUUACCUGCGGCGUCCAUGUUCUUGUCGGCGAUGCGGAGUUUGGCGCUUUCCAAGGAAGAGAGAUCGCCGAGCUUGGCCUUGGCCCGAACGCUAGGAGCGCGCUACACCACCGGGAUUGCCUUGGUGCGCCUGGCCUUGUUGUUAGUUCCCGUCGCCCCCAGCGCCGCCCCCAACUCACCACCAAGGUCAGAAGUCUCCACCUCCGCCACCACCAUCGCCUGCUUGUUAGCCAGCUUCCUCCCCGCCGUUUUCUUAGGUUGCCUGCCACCGCUGUUGGAGCCCCGACGCGGAGCAGGCGUAAGGUCAGCACCCUCGAUCACCACGCAACCAGAGUCCGUCCCCACGGCCACUGGAGAGGAAGAGGCUGGAAGAGAGGCAGCAGAGGAGACCCUGCCCGCGCCACUCAGAGUCGCCGCCACCUGGGUCGGGGCAAGGUUGGUCCCGUACUCAUUGAAGGAAAGCUCCAGCGACCUGGCUAGCGGAGGCACGCUCACCGCGGUGUCCUGAGUCGCCACCCCCAUGGCACCAGUCUCAGCCGACAACGCACCCAGCUUAUCCCAAGUUUCCGUGUCGAUGGAUGUGUCCUGGAUGCUGUCGUCUUGAUCCUCUCCCCUGUCUUGCAUCUUGGUGUCCUGGUUCACCGCACCAGUAGGGCCGCCCUCGCGCCUGUGCGGCUCAAUGCCUGGUUCAGCCCUGCCAUGUUUGCCAUUGUCCAGCGUCCGAGCGCCUGGAUUCGCGUCCUUGGCAGGAGGAUUGGAAGGGCCGGCUCCCAACACGGCCCGCUCACCACCCCUUUUGGGCAAGGUCUCGCGCUCCACCUUGAUUUGAUAUCCCUCGUGGUUGAACCACACCUCGACGACACCAUUCAGCUUCUCCGGGGCUUUGCAAGCAAGCUUCAUCCGAACAGGCCCCAACCUGAUCAAAGAUAGUUCAUCAACCACAAUUGGCCGGCCCAGCAUCCGGAACCCCUCCCUGACGCGGUCUUCACGCCUAUGCUUCUUUGGAAUGCCAUGGAGCCGCACCCAAGUCUCCGGCAUCGCCAUGGGCUGGACCUCCUCGUGUAGCAUGUCGCGCACACGCGCAGUAAUGUCAUUGAUGGACAAAAACAACUUACCACUUGACUUCGCCAUAUGUAACAGAUCUGCAGAAGGAUAGACCACCACGAAAUCGUCAUCGCCCACUUGUGUUACCUGCCAAUCCCAAUCUCCUGUCACCAUGUGCUUCAGUUCUUGUUUGAGAAUCCGAAGAUUAAGCUUCCCCGGCUCCGCAGAUAGGAUGGCCACGUUCUUGAUGCGAGCAUCGAUGGGGGCUUCGGUCUCGUCCGCGUCCUCGAACUCUAGGCAGAAAAAUCCUUCCCCAGAUAUGGCACUUCCCAUGAUUUGAAGGUGAAGCUGCCGGCCCCUCGUCGGACAGUGAGCGGACGCGUGCCCUUCUUCCUUGCAGAGCACACAAAGGGGCAAGAACUUGCACUUGGAUUGGAAGUGGCCGAGGCGCCCACACUUGAAGCACUCCACGUCCGGUGCCUCCUCCACUCGGAUGGGUUCCUCCGCCGUACCCUUAGAUGCAGAGGGAAGCGCCACCGCCAGUGGAUCUGCACGCGGCUUCUUGGCCAUUGGGUCCCCGUGGCCCCCACCACAGUAGGGAUGCGUCUCAUGCUUCCUCUCAAGCUCGCGUCGCCGCUGCUGAACCUUCUUUUUCUUCUUGCGCUCCUGCUGCUGGAUCCACCACGGGGGAGGACCCCAAUCCCCCUCACGCCCGCCAUGGUCGCGAGCUCCGCCACGUUCUUCUCUGGCCUCGCGGCCACCCGAACGCUCGCGCAUCACGCGCUUCGCCUUGUCGCGCAGCUCCCGCUCCCUACGCCGUUCCGCCUCCGGAUCUGACACCUCCAUCGGCCUCUUGUCCGCACGCCGAUCUCCCAUCACCACCGCCGCGAAAGAUUGGAGGAGAGGGGGAGGAGGGGGGCAGAUCUUGAUCGUGCGGGCGGAGUGAGCGAGGCGCCGCACCUCGCGAGUGGUGGCUGGAAACCCUAAAAGGGGAUCCAGGCAACCCCUCCUCACCCACUUAUAGCCAGUGGUCGGGCGAGUGACGUGCCGAGGCGCGUUGGGCCGAUGUGGCACUUGAGGCCGCGAGUCCGAGGCCGUCUCCAGGCCCAGCCCCACUGGAGGGUCAGAAAAGGCCCCAGACUGUCCCCCCAGCCCAGGCCCAGAGCCCUCAUCCAGCCCCACACCCGACGUCAGCCCAGGAAGGGCCCCCACCGUCGGCCCAUCCGUCCCAACCCUAGGGCGCAUCGUCUCCGGACCGCACGGCACCCCGCCGCCUCUGCCGCCGCCACCACAGGGGCGCCGGCAGGCACGGCCAGUCCUCCCUGGUCCACUCCGUCUGCUCCACCAUCAGGCUCGCCGCCGCCUUGGCUCGAAUAAGCGUCGCCGCCCCCGACGAACCGCCAGCACCCGAGCCCGAGCUGCACGCCCUCGACGACAGCCAGAUGCGUGAGGCCAUGGAUCUGGAGCCACGGCCGCCCGGCGCGAAGCGUCUCCCACGCCCCGAGCUCGAAGCCGCACCGCUCUGCUUCGCUGCAAAGGCCACGAAAUCUCCAAUCGACGGCCCUGCAGGCACCGCGCACAGGCCCCGCUCCGGAUCCAGCUCCCCGCCAUCGUCCUCCUCCUCCGAGUCCUCCGCCGCCAGCGCCCAGAAACGAUUGUGGCGGCCGCCGUUCCCCGCUGCAGGCGAGCCGGCGCGGCCCUCCCCGCCGCUCACCCGGUGUUUGCUCGCGCUGCGCCGGACCAUAGACCAGCCCGCCGUCCCCGCCGCGGAUGGCUGCCACACCGCAGCAGGCGCGUCACCAGUGCUGUCGCCCGCGUGGUCGCCUACCUUAGACAUCCUGUGGAGAAUCGAAAACCCUCUAUUUUCAUUUUCCAGAAUAACUUCAUCCAUUGAAAGUUUACCUAGAGCACAUAGAGAAUGUCAUUUUACUCUUAAUAACACUUUAAGUGCUUGAUGAUAAAUGAUACUACAAACAUGUUUACAACAGAACAGAGCUUAUCAUGAUGUCAUGUGAAGAGUUUUUCUUCACUUCCUCCUUUCUCUUGUCAGUACAUGUUUCAAGAUUUUUCAUGAUCAUGCAUGAUCUCUAGAAUAUAAGGAAUACCUAUUUCCACUUCUUGUGUCAUACAUUUUUCUUCUCCCUCUUUUCUCUUAUUAAUUGGCUGGACCAUUAGGAGAAGCGGUGAGAAAUUUAAUCGGAAUGAAGAGAAGAUCAAGGAAAGGUACAACAAUGAAUAAAUCAAUUUGAAAGAUUGGAAUGAGCAGAAGGAGGGAUUUCACAUCCUCACCAAAAUUACUGUCGAAUUCAUGAACAACAUCCUAUGCUUCCCGGUAGUUAUAAUCCUCUGCUUCAUGCUAGAAAGAAGACCAUUGACCUGAAGGUGAAGUCCAGCCCAUGAAUAACCACCCAAAAAAGAUCUUCACAAUUAUGGAACAGACCAGAAGCACAUUGGUUCCUCUAUUGGACCGUAAUUUCAUCAGCACAUUGAGAUCCGCACCAAAUCUUUUCCAUUCUGCUCAAAAUAUCACUAUAACAAACUAAUGAAUUAAGCGUAACAACUUUUUCUCCAAAUGAAUUGCACAAACUAAUGAAAAUAUGAACAUAAUUCUGUUAUUUAUCCAUCAUUUCUCAACUCUGAAAAACAAAAUUGAAUGAGAUGACAGUAUUGCAACAAUUGGAGACAACACAACAAGUGAAAUAAGCGUAGAGAGAUGCGUGAGUAUUCUGACCCACACCAAACGGCGACCUCUCUCACUUCUCUGGCGUCGCUAAGCGCACACUAUCACACUGAUAAUUGCUGAAGCAGCAUGUAAAUGUAGAUUACGAGUAAAUUCGCAUUUAACAGAGUAUAGUGUGCACCACAUUACUUCAUAGCCAUUGUGAAAUGAGCAAGCGAAAAGAGCCUUUGACUAUAUCACCCCCGCUAUGGACAGCAAGGUCCUGCAGAUUGGCCUUUCUUAUUUUGUUUUCGAAACCAGAAUAUGUGAGUAAACUUUAUAACCUCUUCCUUUCAUGAAGUUAUGCUCUUAAAUAAAAAUCAUCCAUGAGUGUAUAUGUGAAGGCAAUAAGAUAGUUAAUAAAUACAAUUGCAAGAAGAAGAAUGUAAGUGUGCAUAUACAGGACAAAAGAAGAUAUUGUUUAACGUCUGGGCUAUCAGAUUAACAUACCAGCAACCAGCUCCAUCAACUGUUAUUUCUAAUUGGGUAAAUUUGGUACCAAACUUCUAUAAUCCAGCCCUUAGUACCUCAAGAUUAAUUAUCCCUUUAUUUAUCAAUAUCCUAUGAUUCAAAUUCUCUAAAGACUGUCGUCUCUUCCUCUGACAAGAUUUCUUAAAAGAUGUGCCUAUAACUGAAGAAAUGAGAAGAUUUGUUAAGUAGUGUAGAUUAUACUACCAAGCAAGCACAAAAAGAGUUUGAUGUUCAGAUCGUUUCAGUACCUUCAAGGAACCCCUCUUAAACUUGCCUAGAAAACCUUAUGCGUGUCGUUGUCGUGGCCGCACACAACUCCAUUGACUCGGUGUCCUCAAUGCACGGUGAUCCCUGCAAGUAGAACCAUAAGAAGAGUACUGUCCUCUGAAAUAUGUGCAUCCGACAGAAAUCAGCAUGGACAAACAACUUCUUGUAAAAUCCCUAGGACCCGGGAAAAAAACCACAUCGCCCAGCCAACGGCGGUAUGUCCCUCAUCGUCGGGAGCGGCACCCGAGUCCGCGUCCUAGCCCACAACCGGGUAUGCGGGAGUGGCCGUGCCCGCCGAGUCCAGCGCCCCGGCGUCUUCCCGCACCACCAAAGAUCAAUUGACUUGACCCACGGUUGCAUCCGCUCUGCUCUCACCCGCAAUAGCGAGUGAUAGGAAGGCGGUUAAUGACCAAUUCAGUUUGGAUAUAGAAAAAUUCAGUACAACUCAUAGUUCGACACGACCGCACAACUGAUAUGGACAUCCCCUGUGCGCCCGCGGUGCAGCAGCGCAGAGGCGCGAUGGCAUGUACGGCAUCGUUCGCCAGCAGUCGCCCUGUGUGUGUCCAUGUCCCCGGUGGAGGCGGCAGCUCCCGGGUGCGGCAUUGAAUCAAGGAGUGUAAGUUUCAGUGAGACAGUAAUAUGGAGAUGUCUAAAUAGACAGUAACACCAUGAAUCAGUUGAUUCUGAGACAUUUUUCUAGACGAAAAGCUUGCAAGUGCACGCUCUCUAAUCUCUACCUCUGCGCAUCCAUGUGAGGGCAAAAAAAAAAAAGGAUUAGGAGGGAUAUGGGGUUGUUCGCCGUACCUGCACAUUAGAUGGCGUGCCGGUGUGGUGGACGGCGGCUACAUGCGUGACGGCCACAGGAUGGUGCAGGAUCAACCGCGGCUGCUCCUUCGUCGCUGGCGAACACAUGAUGGUGCAGGAUGAGAGGACGAACAAGAGGACGAAGCCAUGGCGAGGCUCCUUCGUCCCUCGCCCCAAGGGCCGCCGCGUCAGGAAGGCCUGGAGACGGCAGACCCGUGGUGCCGCGUCUGCACACAUGUUGAGGACGGGGAGAGACGAUGAUGGGGUAGCCAGCAAUCACGGGCGGCGUCCCCGAAGUCCGGCCAGGCGGUCUAGGCGGCGUCCCCGACGGCCGAGGCCUGGCGAGGCGAUGGCUGGGGGCGACACGGAGAUGUGAGGGGCGGCGUCGAUGAAGCUGCGGUGGGCCGAGGGCCGAGGCGAUGGUGGUGGUUUCGCUGAAGCUGCGGCGGGUCGAGGCGAGGGGCGGGCGAGGGGGCGGCGCCGAGCGGGAGAGGAGGGAGGUUGGGGAUGGAGCGCUCCUGUGCGUGCGAACGUGCGAGGAGGAAGUGGUGCGCGGCGCGGGAUAAGUUCUGUGGUAAACGCAAUUGAGACAUGCGUGCGAUCAAUCUAGGCAGUUUUUCUUAGAAGAGACGGAGGAGUUUAGGAGUGGCAGGGUGGGUAAUUAAAGUGUAAAAUGCGUUUGAUAUGUUGGAGUGAUUUAGACCAUCAGAUCAUAUGCUUCAAUGGAUGAGAUGAUUCGGUUCUUCGCCCUCUCGUGUUUUUAUCUCUACUCCUAAUGGACGACUUGGUGAAUAGUCUGCACGGUUUAUUUUCGCUGGUUUUUUCGUCAUCCUCCCACCUCCGGUUUUUUUUCGUCCCCCUCCCACCACCACCACCCCUCCCACCUACGCAGCCAAAAAACCAACCCGCAAAAAACCAUACCUAUCGAUCCCCUAGACGACACAGAGCCGCCGUCCUCUCGUGCGAUCUCGCUGCCGCCACCCUCCGAUCCGAUCCUCCUCUCCCGAGGAUCCGGAUGAUGGGGCGGCAGAGAUGGCCACGGAUCUGUUACGGCGACGACGGCGCCGGAUCCGCACCCGCAGCAUCCGGAUGGAGGCCGGCGACGAACCCUAGCCUAGCCGUCAGCAUCGGGAUCCAACCCCUGCUCCCAGUGCUGGGGCAAGGCAUAUGGGGGUGCUUGCUGCCGCGGUGGACCUCGACGCCGGCGACACCUGCAGCAUCUCCCUCCCGUCGGGCUGCAGGCCGACGACGAACCCUAGCCUAGCUGUCAGCAUCGGGAUCCAACCCCUGCUCUCGGUUCUGGGGCAAGGCACAUGGGGGUGCUUGCUGCCGCGGUGGACCUCGAUGCCGGCGACAUCUGCAGCAUCUCCCUCCCGUCGGGCUGCAGGACCUGUACGCCCAAGGUACGCCUCCUCCUCCUUCCUUUCCCCUCCCUAUCAACACUGUAGCUUGCUGAUGUGUCGAUUAGUGGUAGUGAUGGAUCUAGGAUGAGGAUAAACUGGCGAAUAAUCCAUCAUGGAUUAGAUUAUUUCCUACGGCAGCUUGAACUGGCCAUGUUUGGUUGAGCAUAUAUACGCAGUUUGAUUAAAUCUCACUAGCAGUCUACACAACACUUGAUGGGAGUUUGAAAAUAACAGCAGCUAUCUAAUCCUCCCGCCUAGCCUGCAUGUGAGGAACGAAUCAAGCCCUUGUGUCUGUCUCUCUCAAUGUGUAAAGCAAGAGCAAUCUCUCCCACCUAGCCUAGGAUACAUCGCCCGUCACGGAUCAGCAUCCCCAGGACGCCGCCGCCGCCGCCGUGGAUCCACUGCCACGCACAGCUUGGGCCCAAGCCGCAUGCGCCCUUUGUCUGGAUGUCGAUCGGGGGCGACGUGAGGAGGGACAAGGUAGAGAAAGGGGGUCAGGUUAGCGCCGCAGUAGAGGUAAGUGAAGGGGCCGGAGUUGCGUCGCCGCCGAGAUGCGCGAGGGGAUCAGAGCUGUGCAAAGCGGAUUCAUCAGAGCACUUCGCUCCCGCUGCCUUUGGCCUGAUGCUUAGAUGGAUUGAUGCGUAAGUUUGAAUCCUUUCAUUUUUCACUUCUCUAAUGGGUGGCUGAUGGCUUAAUGCUUUGAUGGAUCGAUGCAUGCUAGAACUAUGUGCUUGUGUGUGCACAUUUUUUUUCUUUUGGUUUUUGUAGAGAUUGGUUCAGCUUCUCUGCUUAUUGAUUUUUGUAGAGAUUGGCCAAGAACAACCGCAAUCCGUCAUGGUCGUGUGGCAAGAUACAGAGGGAAGGGAAGCAGGAUUGGGAUGUGAGGUAGAGAUACAGCCAGCAAAAGGGCGAGGAACAGAGACGUAAGUGAGAUUCAAAGUUUAGGUCGUGGCCGUUUCUUUCCUUUGGUUAAUUAGCCUACCGAGUGUUCAUGUCCGGCUCAUAUUUUUGCAUCUAAUUGCACUACAAUUUUCGCAUCUAGAAAUGCCUUGUCAUUGUUGUGCCCUAUGUAUUAUUUUUUGUUUGUCGUAAUCAUAUUUGUACAUUGUUCUAGAAAAGUGGAGUAAAUAGCAUAAAACUACUACUUUACAGGUUAGGGUUCCAAAAAACUACUGAUUUUUAAUUUUUUUCAUAUAACUAUCAAAUGGGUGGUCGGCUGUUUCAAAAAACCCAAAUCCCGCGUUGCUAACAUUUUAAACCGAUUUAUGACAGGUCGGGCCCACUCCUAAACAAUCCGUUAGUUGACCGUUUCGUUUGACCGUUAACUUAAUGGGGACCCACGUGUAAGAUAUCUCUUCUUCCUUCUACCAUUUCUUCUCUCCUUGUCUCUUUCUUUCCCGUCUCCUCCUCCUGGCAAAGGCCCAAGCUCCAGCAUCCACCACUCACCGACGGCCACCCCCACCAUGCCCUGCGCCCAGGAGCAAGGGCCGGCCGCCGCGAGCCGCGCCCAGGAGUAAAGGCCAUCGCACCCAGGGGCAUGGGCCGCUGCGCCCAGGAGCACAUGCUGCCGCGAGCCCCGCGCCGCGCCCAGGAGAAGCGGCAGCGGCCGGCAAGGAGCUCCGCCUGGACCCAGCCCGUCGGCCGCCUGGAGAAGCCCAACCUUUCGCGUUGAGGAACGCUGCGGCCGAGCCGCCUCCUUCCGCCUGGCCCACAACCUGGUCGCCGGCGAGCUGCCGGUGCUGUUCCUGUGCGACCGAAGCGAGCUCAACGCGUCGCCCAGGCCCAGACUAUCUGUGCUGUUGAAAUCGAUUUACUGAAUCUUUCCCAGGCCCAGACAUGAUCAUUGAUAGAGAAGCAGAAGAGGCAAUGAUGUUAAUCAUACUGAAGAGCUUUCCUACUCAUGCUGUCUGAGCGUGUACUCCCAAUCCCAAUAUGCAGUUCACUUUCAACGUGCGUUGCAUGAUAAAUAAUGCUACCUUUACUGGCUUCAUGCAGUUUCGGAGAGGAGAACGGUUGGAGUUGUGCGGAGAACUCUGCUAACUAUGUUUGGUUCUUGGACCCCAUAGAUGGAACAAAGAGCUUCAUUAACUGUUAUUGAAAUGUAACAGUGUGCAGGCCAAUUAAUUUCAGCUCAACCAACUAUGAUGGAUGUUGAUUUGUUAUUCAAAGGCAAGCCUAUUUUUGGCACGCUUAUUGUGCUACUUCACAAUGGAAAGCCGGUAUGCUAAUUUUCUCUUUCUGAAACCAGCUCUCCUUGUUUUUGUCCAUUUUUGUUCAGUACUACCUGAAGGUAACUCUACUGGAUAGCAGCCUAUCAUAUAUAAUUACAUGUACCCAGAUUUAGCAAAGAUUAUGUUGAUACUGUCAAUAGCGAACUACCGCUACAUGAUAUUUGUUGCAAUCUGUAAAUUAUUUUUUGUUUUAAUUUCAGCAUACCAUUUAUAUACUAAAGCCUCUUCUGGACAUGUUGCCUAAGUGCGUCUAUAUUAGUUGGCAUUGACUAUUCUUCUUUUAUUUAGGUUAUGGGCAUUAUUGAUCAGCCAAAUCUUGAGAGAGAGAUGGGUUGGGGUGGACGGGAAGAAAACUACCUUAAAUGUACAAGAAGUACAUACAUAGCAAUGUUUUUAUUUAGGUUAUGAUCAUUAUUUUUCUUCUCAUUUUUCUAGCAAUUUCACUUUAGUUUUCUUCUUUGCUUUUAGGUAUUUGUGUGAUUGUUCAGGACUACAUACAAAGCAAAGACACAAUCUAAUUUAGCAUUUUCAAGGAUACCACAUGGAGCAGCAAAAUGGAGGAGAAGAGCUACCAUAUGGUGGGCAGGUAACUCGAGGAUGGAGGUGUUGGAAAUAUGCCCUAGAGGCAAUAAUAAAUGGUUAUUAUUAUAUUUCUUUGUUCAUGAUAAUCGUCUAUUAUUCAUGCUAUAAUUAUAUUGUCCGGAAAUCGUAAUACAUGUGUGAAUACAUAGACCACAACGUGUCCCUAGUAAGCCUCUAGUUGACUAGCUCGUUGAUCAACAGAUAGUCAUGGUUUCCUGACUAUGGACAUUGGAUGUCAUUGAUAACGGGAUCACAUCAUUAGGAGAAUGAUGUGAUGGACAAGACCCAAUCCUAAGCAUAGCAUAAAAGAUCGUGUAGUUUCGUUUGCUAGAGCUUUUCCAAUGUCAAGUAUCUUUUCCUUAGACCAUGAGAUCGUGCAACUCCCGGAUACCGUAGGAGUGCUUUGGGUGUGCCAAACGUCACAACGUAACUGGGUGACUAUAAAGGUGCAAAGUGUCUGUUGGGUUGGCACGGAUCGAGACUGGGAUUUGUCACUCCGUGUGACGGAGAGGUAUCUCUGGGCCCACUCGGUAAUGCAUCAUCAUAAUGAGCUCUAUGUGACUAAGGCGUAAGUCACGGGAUCAUGCAUUGCGGUACGAGUAAAGAGACUUGCCGGUAACGAGAUUGAACAAGGUAUUGGGAUACCGACGAUCGAAUCUCGGGCAAGUAACAUACCGAUUGACAAAGGGAAUUGCAUAUGGGAUUGAUUGAAUCCUCGACACUGUGGUUCAUCCGAUGAGAUCAUCGUGGAACAUGUGGGAGCCAACAUGGGUAUCCAGAUCCCGCUGUUGGUUAUUGACCGGAGAGGCGUCUCGGUCAUGUCUGCAUGUCUCCCGAACCCGUAGGGUCUACACACUUAAGGUUCGGUGACGCUAGGGUUGUAGAGAUAUGUGUAUGCGGAAACCCUAAAGUUGUUCGGAGUCCCGGAUGAGAUCCCGGACGUCACGAGAGGUUCCGGAAUGGUCCGGAGGUGAAGAAUUAUAUAUAGGAAGUCAAGUUUCGGCCACCGGGAAAGUUUCGGGGGUUACCGGUAUUGUACCGGGACCACCGGAAGGGUCCCGGGGGUCCACCGGGUGGGGCCACCUAUCCCGGAGGGCCCCGUGGGCUGAAGUGGGAAGGGAACCAGCCCCUAGUGGGCUGGGCGCCCCCCAUGGGCCUCCCCCCAUGCGCCUAGGGUUGGGAACCCUAGGGUUGGGGGGCUUCCCACUUGCCUUGGGGGGCAAGGCAACCCCUUCCCCCUUUGGCCGCCGCCCCCCACCCUAGAUGGGAUCUGGCCAGCGCCCCCCCUCCCAGGGGGCCUAUAUAAAGGGGGGGGGGGGAGGGAGGGCAGCAACCUAUAGCCUUGGGUGCCUCCCUCCUCCCCUGCUACACCUCUCUCUCUCGCAGAAGCUCGGCGAAGCCCUGCCGGAGACCCGCUACAUCCACCACCACGCCGUCGUGCUGCUGGAUCUCCAUCAACCUCUCCUUCCCCCUUGCUGGAUCAAGAAGGAGGAGACGUCGCUGCACCGUACGUGUGUUGAACGCGGAGGUGCCGUCCGUUCGGCACUCGGUCAUCGGUGAUUUGGAUCACGGCGAGUACGACUCCGUCAUCCACGUUCAUUGGAACGCUUCCGCUCGCGAUCUACAAGGGUAUGUAGAUGCACUCCUUUCCCCUCGUUGCUAGUAGACUCCAUAGAUGCAUCUUGGUGAACGUAGGAAAAUUUUUAAAUUAUGCUACGAUUCCCAACAGUGGCAUCAUGAGCCAGGCCUAUGCGUAGUUACUAUGCACGAGUAGAACACAAAGCAGUUGUGGGCGUUGAGUUUGCCAAUUCUUCUUGCUGCUACUAGUCUUUUCUUGUUUCGGCGGCAUUGUAGGAUGAAGCGGCCCGGACCGACCUUACACGUACGCUUACGUGAGACAGGUUCCACCGAUUGACAUGCACUAGUUGCAUAAGGUGGCUAGCGGGUGUCUGUCUCUCCUACUUUAGUCGGAACGGAUUCGAUGAAAAGGGUCCUUAUGAAGGGUAAAUAGAAAUUGGCAAAUCACGUUGUGGUCAUACGUAGGUAAGAAAACGUUCUUGCUAGAAACCUACAAACCACGUAAAAAACUUGCAACAACAAUUAGAGGGCGUCUAACUUGUUUUUGCAGCAAGUGCUAUGUGAUGUGAUAUGGCCAGAAGAUGUGAUGAAUGAUAUAUGUGAUGUAUGAGAUUGAUCAUAUUUUUGUAAUAGGAAUCACGACUUGCAUGUCGAUGAGUAUGACAACCGGCAGGAGCCAUAGGAGUUGUCUUUAUUAUUUUGUAUGACCUGCGUGUCAUUGAAUAACGCCAUGUAAUUUACUUUACUUUGUUGCUAAACGCGUUAGCCAUAGAAGUAGAAGUAAUCGUUGGCGUGACGACUUCAUGAAGACACAAUGAUGGAGAUCAUGGUGUCAUGCCGGUGACGAAGAUGAUCAUGGUGCCCCGAAGAUGGAGAUGAAAGGAGCAUAAUGAUAUUGGCCAUAUCAUGUCACUAUUUGAUUGCAUGUGAUGUUUAUCAUGUUUUUGCAUCUUAUUUGCUUAGAACGACGGUAGUAAGUAAGAUGAUCCCUUAUAAUAAUUUCAAGAAAAGUGUUCCCCCUAACUGUGCACCGUUGCGAAGGUUCGUUGCUUCGAAGCACCACGUGAUGAUCGGGUGUGAUAGAUUCUAACGUUCGAAUACAACGGGUGUUGACGAGCCUAGCAUGUACAGACAUGGCCUCGGAACACACGCAAUACACUUAGGUUGACUUGACGAGCCUAGCAUGUACAGACAUGGCCUCGGAACACGGAGGAUCGAAAGGUCGAGCAUGAGUCGUAUAGAAGAUACGAUCAACAUGGAGAUGUUCACCGAUCUUGACUAGUCUGUCUCACGUGAUGAUUGGACACGGCCUAGUUAAAAUUCGGAUCAUGUAUCACUUAGAUGACUAGAGGGAUGUCUAUCUGAGUGGGAGUUCAUUGAAUAAUUUGAUUAGAUGAACUUAAUUAUCAUGAACUUAGUCUAAAAUCUUUACACUAUGUCUUGUAGAUCAAAUGGCCAACGUUGUCCUCAAUUUCAACGCGUUCCUAGAGAAAACCAAGCUGAAAGAUGAUGGCAGCAACUAUACGGACUGGGUCCGGAACCUGAGGCUCAUCCUCAUAGUAGCCAAGAAAGAUUAUGUCUUAGAAGCACCGCUAGGUGAUGCACCAAUCCCUGAGAACCAAGACGUUAUGAACGCUUGGCAGCAGCGUGCUGAUGAUUACUCCCUCGUUCAGUGCGGCAUGCUUUACAGCCUAGAACCGGGUCUCCAAAAGCGUUUUGAGAAACAUGGAGCAUAUGAGAUGUUCGAGGAGCUGAAAUUGGUUUUCCAAGCUCAUGCCCGGGUCGAGAGAUAUGAUGUCUCCGACAAGUUCUUCAGCUGUAAAAUGGAGGAGAACAGUUCUGUUAGUGAGCACAUACUCAGAAUGUCUGGGUUGCACAACCGCUUGACUCAGCUGGGAGUUAAUCUCCCGGAUGACGCGGUCAUUGACAGAAUCCUUCAGUCGCUUCCACCAAGCUUCAAGAGCUUUGUGAUAAACUACAAUAUGCAGGGGAUGGAAAAGACCAUUCCUGAGGUAUAUUCAAUGCUGAAAUCAGCUGAGGUAGAGAUCAGAAAAGAACAUCAAGUGUUGAUGGUGAAUAAAACCACUAAGUUCAAGAAGGGCAAGGGUAAGAAGAACUUCAAGAAGGACGGCAAGGGAGUUGCCGCGCCCGGUAAACCAGUUACUGGGAAGAAGUCAAAGAAUGGACCCAAGCCCGAGACUGAGUGCUUUUAUUGCAAGGGAAGUGGUCACUGGAAGCGGAACUGCCCCAAAUACUUAGCGGACAAGAAGAAGGCCGGCAACACCAAAGGUAUAUGUGAUAUACAUGUAAUUGAUGUGUACCUUACCAGUACUCGUAGUAGCUCCUGGGUAUUUGAUACCGGUGCGGUCGCUCAUAUUUGUAACUCAAAACAGGAACUACGGAAUAAACGGAGACUGGCGAAGGAUGAGGUGACGAUGCGCGUCGGGAAUGGUUCCAAGGUCGAUGUGAUCGCCGUCGGCACGCUACCUCUGCAUCUACCCACGGGAUUAGUUUGAAACCUCAAUAAUUGUUAUUUGGUGCCAGCUUUGAGCAUGAACAUUGUAUCUGGAUCUCGUUCAAUUCGAGAUGGCUACUCAUUUAAAUCCGAGAAUAAUGGUUGUUCUAUUUAUUUGAGAGAUAUGUUUUAUGGUCAUGCCCCGCUGGUCAAUGGUUUAUUUUUGAUGAAUCUCGAACGUGAUGUUACACAUGUUCAUAGUGUGAAUACCAAAAGAUGUAAAGUUGAUAACGAUAGUCCCACAUACUUGUGGCACUGCCGCCUUGGUCAUAUUGGUGUCAAGCGCAUGAAGAAGCUCCAUCCAGAUGGACUUUUGGAGUCUCUUGAUUACGAAUCAUUUGACACGUGCGAACCAUGCCUCAUGGGUAAGAUGACCAAGACUCCGUUCUCCGGAACAAUGGAGCGAGCAACCAACUUAACAAAUUGUUGGAUUAAUGUAACACUCCUGAAUAGAUUGGUGUGUGUGCCAUGUCAUUUCGUUUGGUUUACACUACCAUAAUCAUUUUGUCAGUGCCUGAUCUAUUAAUACUGAUUUGAGAGAAAAUGCUUCCAAAAUGUUAUCUUGACAGCAACAUUAUAGCUAUUUUUUUCCGGCAUGUAUGAUAAGCAUAGGUGUCAAUUUUGGAUACAUGAUAGAUUGUUAGCUGUUUUGAUUCCAUAUUUUAAUGACUAUUGAGAAUUAUGAUGUGCUUGGAUUAGAGGACUGGAAAUGUUGCAAAUGGUUAUGGUGUGAAUCUCAUUCAUACUAAAGGGACUCUUGUGGUUGCAGGUGACCGGGGGCAGAUUGCCGGCAUUCGCCCCACUAUGGGCAAUCUAUGUGAUGAUCUGCUCUCCGCAAUCGAAGCCAGGAAUGAGCGGCAAGAUCUCUUCGGGAAUGGCUGAUGAGGAAGAAUUGACUACUGGGGAAUGGUGGAUCUAGGUGGAGUUCGCUUUAGCCAGUGAGGGACGAGCUUGAGUUGUGUAGGGGAAGGGAAGCCACCUGCAUGAGUCAGACAUAAUAAAUCGGCUCGAAAAUGACUCUGUUAGUCCAGAAUCUCGUCUUGGACGACCCAUAUGGUGGACUGACAUUCGAUCCGGUGUGAAAGUGCCUCACAUAGUCAUGUUUCAUGGACUUCGGAUGUGGGCCAUAUUCACUGUUCAAAAGGAGCAUACAUAGAUUAUUAGUGGCCUAUGUGUGUUGGGCUGUAAAUCCCGGGGCAACUUGAUGGGAGGGAUAAAGAGCACACUUGUGCUCCAACACAUAAUAGAGUGCAUAUAACAUGGCUUUCUCACGACUUUAUGCCACUAAUAAGAAGUCCUUUCAUUUUAGAUCAUGAGUUGAUGAAAUUUAUUCCUCAAUAUAUAUGAUAAUUUAGGAUGUACCCAAAUCUCUCAUUUUUGACUUUAAACAAAUCGUACUACUUUCUUAGAUAAAUGUGUUUUGAAUAAACUAUUUUUAUCAUAGGCAUAUUUAAGCAGUUGAUCAAGUCUUCGGUCAGUAUCACAUGUUCAUUCUAUGGAAUGUGAUUAUGUCACAAUCUUGCUUCAAAAGUUUACCUUGAAAACUAAUUGUAUAGGCAGAUGUCACCCUGAAUUCUUAUCUCUCACACGGCGUUUGCACUACAAAAAAAAUACACUUCCGUGAUGAUACGUGUUUGUCACAGUAGGUCACGUUUUCUGUCAUGCAUGUACAUCAAUGACAAAUUUAUGACAGAAUCAAGAUAGUCAUACCUGUGCUGUCGUAGAAGUGUUCCAUAACAUUGCCAAAAUUAUCAUCACGGAAGUGUCCACUUCCAUGACGAUAAAUCGCGCGUCACAGAAGUGCUUUCGUCAAGGGUGACCGACAUGUGGACAUUCACCGUAACGGAACGCCGUUAAGCUAUCGGGUCGGAUUUUGGAUCCGAUAACCCGUUAACAGCCACGACCAAUGCCGAUUUUCCACGUGUAAAAUUCUCAUUGGCUGACGGACCGACACGUGGACCGGCCCAAAAGUGGCCCACAAAGUUUAAAUGGGCCGGCCGAACCGAAGGCCCAUAAGAUUUAGCGGACCAUAAUGGGCCGACCCAACUAAAGGCCCACAAAAUUUAGCGGACCAUAAUGGGCCGGCCCAGCUAAAGGCCCACACGAUUUUGCAGACCAUAAUGGGCCGGCCCAGCUAAAGGCCCAUAAGAUUUUGCGGACCACAAUGGCCGGCCCAACUAAAGGCCCAUAAGAUUCUGCAGACCAUAAUGGGCCGGCCCAGCUAAAGGCCCAACAUUCUCUGUCAAAUCGGCCCGUCAACGGCCUGUCCUAAACUUGUCAUCAACGCGGCCCAUGGUCACUUCUGGCCCGUUAACAGUCCGCUAAGUUAUUGGGCCGAAUUACGACCCGGUGUAUUUCCGGCCUGUUAAAGGUCCGGCUUCAUUUGGGCCCAUUUACAGGCCAUCAAAACUUUCGGUCCAUAAACGACCGUGAAGGAUUUGGGUCAUAUUCGGCCAUGUCUGACAUUCGGCCUGUUAGAGGUCCACUAUAGCUUUGGGCCACUUUCGGCUUGUUGUCAUUUUCGACCUGUUAACGCCGGACGUAAACCAUGGGCCAUAUGUGGCCCAAUGUCAUAUCGGGCCCAUUAACGGCCCAUAUAAAAAUGACGAUAAUCUAGCACGAUCGAAGUUCUGGCCUGUUAAAGGCCCGUGUAUUAGGUCGGCGCAUUUACGGCCCAUCCGAAUUUCGACCUGUCAAAGAUCAGCAUCGUAAAUGGGCCACCAUUUCGGCCUGCUAAGUCCAGUGGGUUAUUUGGCACAAUCAGGGCCCAAUCUCACUUUCGGUCUAUUAAAGGCCCAUGUUUUUUAUGGGCUCGAGAUAUUUACACCUGUAAACGACCUAUUUUUACUGAGGGCCCAAAUUAUGUUUAGGCCUGUUAAAGGCCCACUAUGGGCACAGGCCUACCAGAAAAAUAUGAAAGCUUAUGCUGAUUUAGGCCCAGAUAUUUUUAGUGGGCUACAUGCCAAUUUCGGCCCGUAAUCGUUUUUAGCCCAAUUGGAAUGGGCCUGACGAAUGUUGGCAUGUUGGUGAAGGAAAUAUGCCCUAGAGGCAAUAAUAAAGUAUUAUAUAUUUCCUUAUAUCAUGAUAAAUGUUUAUUAUUCAUGCUAGAAUUGUAUUAACCGGAAACACAAUACAUGUGUGAAUACAUAGACAAACAGAGUGUCACUAGUAUGCCUCUACUUGACUAGCUCAUUAAUCAAAGAUGGUUAUGUUUCCUAGCCAUAGACAUGAGUUGUCAUUUGAUUAACGAGAUCACCUCAUUAGGAGAAUGACGUGAUUGACUUGACCCAUUCCGUUAGCUUAGCACCCGAUCGUUUAGUAUGUUGCUAUUGCUUUCUUCAGGACUUAUACAUGUUCCUGUGACUAUGAGAUUAUGCAACUCCCGUUUAUCGGAGGAACACUUUGUGUGCUACCAAACGUCACAACGUAACUGGGUGAUUAUAAAGGUGCUCUACAGGUGUCUCCAAAGGUACUUGUUGGGUUGGCGUAUUUCGAGAUUAGGAUUUGUCACUCCGAUUGUCGGAGAGGUAUGUCUGGGCCCACUCGGUAAUGCACAUCACUAUAAGCCUUGCAAGCAUUGUGACUAAUGAGUUAGUUGCGGGAUGAUGUAUUACGGAACGAGUAAAGAGACUUGCCGGUAACGAGAUUGAACUAGGUAUCGAGAUACCGACGAUCGAAUCUCGGGCAAGUAACAUACCGAUGACAAAGGGAACAACGUAUGUUGUUAUGCGGUCUGACCGAUAAAGAUCUUCGUAGAAUAUGUGGGAGCCAAUAUGGGCAUCCAGGUCCCGCUAUUGGUUAUUGACCGGAGAGUUGUCUCGGUCAUGUCUACAUAGUUCUCGAACCCAAAGGGUCCGCACGCUUAAAGUUACGAUGACAGUUUUAUUAUGAGUUUAUGUAUGUUGAUGUACCGAAGGAGUUCGGAGUCCCGGAUGAGAUCGGGGACAUGACGAGGAGUCUCGAAAUGGUCGAGACGUAAAGAUCGAUAUAUUGGACGACUAUAUUCGGACUUCGGAAAGGUUCCGAGUGAUUCGGGUAUUUUUCGGAGUACCGGAGAGUUACGGGAAUACGUAUUGGGCCUUAUUGGGCCAUACGGGAAAGAAGGAAAAGGGCCUCAAGGGUGGCCGCACCCCUCCCCUUGGUCUGGUCCGAAUUGGAAGGGGAGCGCCCCCUUCCUUCCUUCUCUUUUUCCCUUCCUCUUUUCCUAUUCCAUAUGGGAGGUGGAAUCCUACUAGGACUAGGGAGUCCUAGUAGGACUCCACACUUGGUGCGCCCCCUCCUAGGGCUGGCCUCCUCCUCCCUUGCUCCUUUAUAUACGGGGCAGGGGGCACCCCAUGGACACACUUGAUAUACGAUAUUUUAGCCGUGUGCGGUGCCCCCCUCCACCAGAUUACACCUCGAUAAUACCGUCGCGGAGCUUAGGCGAAGCCCUGCGUCGGUGGAACAUCAUCAUCGUCACCAUGCCGUCGUGCUGACGAAACUCUCCCUCGACACUCGGCUGGAUCGGAGUUCGAGGGACGUCAUCGAGCUGAACGUGUGUAGAACUUCGGAGGUGCCGUGCGUUCGGUAUUUGAUCGGUCGGAUCAUGAAGACGUACGACUACAUCAACCGCGUUGUGAUAACGCUUCCGCUGUCGGUCUACGAGGGUACGUGGACAACACUCUCCCCUCUCGUUGCUAUGCAUCACCAUGAUCUUGCGUGUGCGUAGGAAUUUUUUUGAAAUUACUACGUUCCCCAACAGUUGGGCUCCUACGAAGCUUUCGGCCGAAUACAUUACUAAGAUAAACCUACACUAUACAAAAAUAGCGUCGUAAUUACUGCAGCCUGAGGCAGCAUCAUAAAUGUUGUAUCACAGCAAAAUAAAUUCCAACCAUACAACAAAAGGCCUGUUGGCAUAAAGUUUACAGUCCUUCUAGAUAAAAGCACCAUCAGAUGUAUAGAAGCACAAAUCAUUUGACCUGAGUGCUAAUGUUUCAGGCUGUAGAAUCUGAUGGAGCAGCACGAUCUCCACCUUUUUUCCGCCAUUGAUCUUGAACAACGAAGUGAAUGUCUGAUAGUCUGGUUUCAAAACCAUUUAUAUCUUGAUGACAUUUCUCAACCACUAUUCUUGUUUCCGAAACAACGUCCAUUAGGGAUUGGACUUGUGUCUGGAGCACAGAUAUAUCACUCUGUCUAGCAGGAAGAUUUUGUUCAGUAGGCGAUUUGGACGAGGUUACCUUGACAACCAACCCAGAAUUACGCAGGAAGGUGCUUUUUGCACUGUUAGUGGAGAGAUACUGACGCACUGCAGCAAGAGGUGACAUUGUGCCUGUAGCAGCCUCGUCACCUUCAGGUGGUUGUGGCUGUUCAAUCAUUUGUUCCAUAGCUUCCUGAAAGUUUGAACUUGUAGAUUAGUGUACCAGAUAAGUUACUAAUGAGACAAAAACAAACAAAGUAGGUUAAACGUUUAUACAUAACUUAUUUUGGUGAACUACUGUAAUACAUUAGCAUGUAUUGUAGUGCCAACUACAUAAUAAAAUCACUUUCGGAACAUAUGUCCAUGUAGCAUGCCUACUGUAUUGUCUAUUUCCUCACAUUCGUUGACAUCUAAGGAUAAAGAGACAUGGUUUAAAGUAGGAUGAACAUAGUAUGACAUCAUUCAUAUCAUGAGCAAACAGAUAUAAAACAAACAGGCUAUUUUAUCAUUGUGUGCGCACGUGAACAUAACAACUAGAUUACAGAUCAAGACCAAAAGAAUAUCCUUCAUCUCUUUUAAACCAUGUAAGGUGAAAUGAUACGUUAAGACAACUGUGAAUAAAAGUGAACAGAGCAACUGACAUUGGCUGCAAACCAAGUAGUUAAAUGAACACAUCACAGUACCAAUCAGUUCAAGGCAGGAGGAGUAAGGACUUACAACAGCGGCUUGAACUGGUGUGCUCAUGCCCUUCAUCUUGCUGGUGUGGCAAUCCUUGAAGAUUUACACUGCAUUCGGUUUAGGUUCUUUUUGGUCCGCACGGGCUUUUCUCUGUAUUUGGAACAAGUCAAUAUAGAUACGAUAAUAUGGCACAAAAAAGAAGAAAGUAGCAGCUAUUUACAAGAGCCUCGCAGUGUGCAAUGUAGCUACGAGAUCCUGUUGUCUGUUGGAAUUUCACUUUAGAACGGUUGGUUUUGUUCUUCAAACAGUUAGCCUAGAAGAAGAUACACUUGUAAGGCACAUACAUAAAUACAAGUUCAAUAUGUGGUCUGAUGAAAUACAUAUGGCCUACCUGAUACUUUGGAUCAGACCAGUGUUUAACGAGGCCUGUCCAGUCUUCAUCUGUAAUAUAUUCCACUGGAGAUGUUUGGGCGAUUUCAUUGUUAGCCUUGCCUUCAAAGUGAGAUUUUCUAAGGUGGUACCGAUACUGUCGCGGAGCAGACUAAAAAACAUGAGUGCAUGCUUGUUUAGUUGCAUCAUCUUUCGGAUCCAACUUGAACCUCAUCUGUUGAAAAAAGAAUGCGAGUCUUAUUAGGAGGAAGCUAGAAAGUAUGGGACAGAGCAAGACAAUAUUACUAAUUGCGAUGAAUAACAUUACUUACGGAUAAAUGGUCAAGGAAGGUGUUAAACUGGGUAUUGUCUUUCUCAUUCCUAUACUGGAUCCACGUUGGGAGGAUACGUGCAUGACACCUAACGGCAACGGCUGCCUCUGAUACUAACUUCGCUGACUCUGUAGCAUCAUGUGGCCUUUUUAAACCUGCCUCAAAAUGGAUCUCUAUUCUUCCUCCUUUAGAUUUUGUUAAUCUGUCAAGCAUUGUCCCUGAUGUCUGUUUCCGCUUGCGCCGUGGUGCUAGUUCAACAACGAAUAUGGAAAGUGUUAGUGUACAUCAAACUGUGAGAGUACAUAUAAAGGAGCAUGCAACUGCAACUUGACUCGGUCAGGUACCGCCUUGGUGUUGAUGCUCAUGAGGUUCAUCUGAUCUUGCCAAGUCCUGUUGUGUCAGCAGUGCUUCGGAAGUAGUGUUAGGUGUGAAGGCAGCUUGGGAACUGGCCAGUUCCGGAGCAAACGAACGAGUAACUGGUUGAGAUGGUACAGUUGAAGCGGAUGCUGCAGCUGGUGGAGCAGGUGAUACUGUGUUUGUAGAUUUAGCUGGUGGACUUGGACCUUCUACUGCACUAUAAGUACCAGCAGAAUCUCGACGGCAUAACCUUUUCCGUUUCACCCGACGAGUAACAGCACUCCCUACUAUAUUAUUUUCCUUGCUCUUUUUUGACUUUGCCAUGUCAAGCUGUACCCACAACACAAAAGAAUAAAAUCACUCUUCAGAACUCAUUGAUGCAUGAUACAGACAAGCAAUACUUUGAUGUAAGACAACCGUAUGAGGAUGGAAUAUGUAAGAAAAACAGGACGGCAUGACAUAUUCACAGCUACGAUGUGCAAACUAAGCAGAAGGAUUUUCAAGAAAAUAGAAGUAAUGCAAGCUAGACACCAUAUGAAAGAUGCAACCAAUAUUACUCUGCCAAGUUAAAAGUGUCUUGUCAUAAGUGGCAAUUCGAAAAAUUAGAAGCAGUACAACGUAGAAAUCAAUGCAAUAUGCAACCAAUAUCAAACUGCCAUGUUAAAAGCGUCCAAUCAUGAGUGACUGAUGGGGGAUACACAACAGCAGUACUUUGAUGUAAGAACAUGGUAUGAUAGAUAGAUGCAGUGUAUUCUAGACACAUAAAGCCAUGUCAUAUGCACAUGUAUAACGUAUGAACUCAGCACGUGCAACUUAAUCAAAAUAGAAGAAAUACAUGCUAGACAACAUAUGCAACAUGAAACCAAUUAUCACACUGUCAACUUAGAGCAAGCACCUGCGAUGGUGGAGUAUGGGAGAUGAACUCGUCAUGUAGACUUGGGACUUCAACUUCAUUAGCAGUAGCAGUGGCAAAUUUAGAGUCUCUGUUUGCGUCGGUCCGGAGGACCACCAACAUCCCCUAACUUACUCUUUUCCUUCCUAUUUUCUGAUAUUGCCUUAUGAAGUCAAAACCACAAGAAGAUGAAUAAAAUUAGCUCUGCAUAACUGGUUGAUGCAUGAUACAGACGAACACUACUUUGAUGUAAGGCAAGUGCAGGAUAGGAGGAUGGAAUAUAUACAAAAAAGACAGCAUUUCAUAUUCACACGUACGAUAGGAGGAUGGAAUAUGUAUGAAAAAACAGUAAGCAGAAGGCAUUUCAACAAAAUUAGAAGAAAUGAAAGCUAGGCACCAUAUGAACAUGCAACCAAUAUCACUCUAUCAGGUAAAAAGUGUCUCGUCGUAAGUGCCAUUUCAAGAAAUUAGAAGCAGUACAAGCUAGAAGACAAUGCAAGAUGCAACCUACAUCACAGUCCCAAGUUAAAUGUGUCUUAUGGGUAAGUGAUCGUUGCAGGUAUAAGUUGUAAGCUAGGCAGAUGCAAUUCAACAUAAUCAGAAGCAAUACAAACUAGACAUCAUACAGAAAACGCAACCACGUAUAACAGUUCCAAGUAAGAGCAAGCACCUGUGAUGGUGGAGUAGGGGAGAUGUGCUCAUCAUGUACACGUAUGUUCUAGAAACAGGAACACGUGUCAUAUUCACAGGCAUUAUGUGUAAAGUAAGCAGAUGCAAUUCAAGUUAGAAGCAAUACAAGCUAGACAUCAUACGCAACAUGCAACCACAUAUAAUAGUGUCAAGUUAGAGCAAGCACCUGUGAUGGUGGAGUAGGGGAGAUGUGCUCAUCAUCUACACAGCUACGUUGACUGUCCAGCCUUGUGUUGUCUUGCGAAUCUUGUUGGGAGGAUGGCGGAGUAGAAUAUGUAGAGACCCCCUGUUUGAGUUGCUCCGAAGGACCACCAUCAUCCACUGCCGGACUAAUUUCCUUCAGCUGUAAUGAUUUUGCAUUGUGAAGUCAAACCGAUAAGAAAAAAGAAUUAAAUUCGCUCUUCAGAACUCAUUCAUGCAUGAUACUGACGAACACUACUCGGAUGAAAGGCAAACACAUGAUGCGAGGAUGGAAUAUGUAUGAAAAACAGGAUGGUGUGACAUAUUUACACCUAUGAUGUGGUAACUAAGCAGAAGGCAUUUCAACAAAUUAGAAGCACUGCAAGCUAGACACCAUAUGAAAGAUGCAACCAAUAUCACUCUGCCAAGUUCAAACUGUAUGGCAUUUUAACAAAUUAGAAGCUGUACAUGCUAGAAAUCAUAUGCAAGACACAACCAAUAUCACAGUGGCGACUUAAAGGUGCCUUAUCAUAAGUGACUGAUGCGGGAUAUGCAAGAAUAGUUGUCUGAUGUAGAAACAGGAACACAUGUCAUAUUCAUAGGCAUUAUAUGUAAAGUAAGCAGAUGCAAUUCAACAAAGUUAGAAGCAAUACAAGCUAGACAUCAUACGCAACAUGCAACCACAUAUAAUAGUGCCAAGUUAGAGCAAGCACCUGUGAUGGUGGAGUAGGGGAGAUGUGCUCAUCAUCUACACAGCUACGUUGACUGUCUAGCCUUGCUUUGUCUUGCGAAUCUUGUUGGGAGGAUGGCAGAGUAGAAUCUGUAGAGAACCUCCGUUUCAGUUGCUUGGAAGGACCACCAUCAUCCAAUGCCUUGCCAAUUUCCUUCAGCUUUAUUGAUUUUGCAUUGUGAGGUCAUACCGAUAAGAAAAAGGAAUAUCAUUCGCUCUUCAGAACUCAUUCAUGCAUGAUACUGACGAACACUACUCUGAUGAAAGGCAAAGUCAUGAUACGAGGAUGGAAUAUGUACAAAAAAAUGG
rnacentral:lncRNA from 1 species